rnacentral:lncRNA from 1 species
ACAUUGGCAAUUGGCUAACUCCAAUUUUAAUAUUUUAGGAAUUACAAAUUGGACUAAAAUCAUCAAAGAAGGCAAAGAAAUAAAGAAAAUCAAAAGUUUUCAACUUUAUUAGUAACAUGAAAACUGAAAAAGGUCAGAAAAAAAACUUUAAGAAAAGGAAGAGAAUAUAAGACCUUAAAUAAUUUACAUAACCUAAAACAUGAGAACUAGUACAAGGUUGUCUUGUCUCAUUCAAAAAAAGUGUCUUUGAGUUCUAUUCUUCAUCUUCAUCUUCUUCAUCAAUCCAAACCAUAUAAGAAAGUGGGUUUGAUGACAAUUUAGAUUUGUUAUUGUCAACAACAUCAAGAGAUUGUGUCUUGUGGGUAUAUACCAAAGAAGAAGUUGAAGGGGUGGGUUUGAUCAUGGUAGUAGCUGAUUGUUGUUGUUGAUUCUGAGAAUGAUCUUCAGUGUUUGGCGUUUGGAGAGGAAGCACGGUGGGAGAAGCAGUGGAUGGUUGUGGUUGUGGACGAGGGUAGAAGAGAUCAGUGGGAAAAAAGUUGUAUUGUUGAAGACCAGCCAUGAAAGAGUGAAACUAAUAAUGAUUUUUGGUUUGUUGCAAACCAGAGAAAAGAAAUUGAAGGAGAAGUUUUAGGAGUAUUUUAUUUUUUUUCUUAGUAAAAGUGACUAUGUGAAGAGGUGUAUUUAUAGAGAAAAAAAAAUAAAAGGAAAAGUGGGUUCUAAACUUUUCUGUUUGGUGGCUUGGGAUUCAAAGGUUUUCUUUUUCUUAUGUCGAUAUUUACAAUUACGGCUUACUUUGUCCGGUUUUCACUCUUGAUAUACUGCGGCUAGAGCGUAAAAUGGGCAAACUUCUCUUGAUAUACUGCGGCUAGAGCGUUAAAAUGGGUAAACUUAUAUGGGUCGGUUUCGUUAAGACCAAAAAAUCAUAGGAUUUGGAUUUUAUAAAUAAAGGUGUAAAUUUUUAAAUUUUUUUAAUCCAAUUUUAAAAAAUCAACUAUCCAUUAAAUUAGUGCGAGUAAUUGUUAAACCCGUAUAAUUGUAAAUUAAAAAAAAUUAUGAUAAUUUUUAUUUUGUCUCACUUAAAAAAAAUACAUUAAUUUUUAACUCUUUAAAUUUUAUUUUUAUUUUAUUCAAUUUUUAUAAAAAAAAUUAUAUUUAAUUUAUAAUUUUCUAAUAUUCUAUUAUUUUUUAUUAUUUUAAAUAUUUGAGUAUUAUUAUAUAUAAUUUAGAUAUGUGUUAUAUUUAAAAACAUAUUAUAGUAUUUAUAAGAAAUAAUUUAAUAUUUAAAAAUAUAUUAUGUUUAAAAUAGUAUAAUUUUUAAUAUAUUUAUAAUAAAUAUUAUAUAGUUUUGAUUUUAAUUUUUAUAUAAAAAAAUAAUUUAAAAAAAAAAUAGAGUUGGAUAGUCCGAAAUCUGUAUAAAGUCGGAUUCGGCUAAUAAUUUUUUAGUCCAUAUUAUAAUAAAAUUAUUUUGGUCUAACCCAAAAAAACUCGAGAUUCAUUAAUACCGACCCGUUUAUGACCAAAUAACCUGUUUUAACCGCUCUAACUACGAUAAUCAGAAAUUAGUUACACUUUAAAUUUGUUUGGUUAUUAAUAUUAAUUAUUUAUAAGAUUAACUUUUUCUCUAGUUAAUUUAUAAAUAUUAAUUCCUCUUUUCAUAUUUAUAAUAAAAGGUUUGAGUUUUAUAUUCAAGCAAAAACUAAUAAAUUUAGUCUAUAAACUUUUGUUAUUAAAUAAAUUUAAAAACUAACUUUUUUUUAUAAGUAGGACUAGAGAGAAUAAUAUUUUAUUUAUAUCAAUGUUUUAUAAGAAAUUAUAAACAAAUAUCAUUAGUAGAUGUUGAACUUUAUACCAAUAAUUCACGACCAUUGAUAUAGGUUCUAUCUUUUUAUUUUAUUGGCUUCAAUUUUAAAGUGUUAAUCUUAUAAAUGCGUCACUCUGAAUAUCAAAGACAUUUAACACAGUAUUAAAAUCUUUUUUGUAAUGAUUAUCUUAAAUCUAUUAUUUAUAUUUAGUUCUAAUACGAAAUAUCAGAGUAACUUAUGGAAACCGUCUUCCGAUUCUCAAAAAUUAUGAUAAUGUUUUCUUGAUCUCUUCCAUUGGGCCACUGUAACCGUUUCAGUUAGCUAGUCUAGGAGUUGUAACUGUUUUUCCUUCAUCACAUCAACCUCAUCUUGCAUCGCCAUUCAAUUCUUUUGGACUAGAUUUCUCACACAACCUCAACAACUCCAAGCAACACUAAUAAUACAAAAUUCUAAUGAACCCGUGGCAAGCAUCUACAACAUAAUUCAACAAUAAAAUAUGAAUCUUUUCAGUAAAAGAAUCAUUUGCAUACAAUAAAAUAAACAAAAAAUUCCUUCUUAGCUCGCAACUCAACUAGAGAUAUUGCAACACAACCACUCUGAAGCAACCUAGAGGGACGUUCUCGUCGAUGCCAUUUCACAAUCAAAAAAGCGCCAAAGUUACCAGAAAGACAUCAUCGUCUUCGCCAUGAUCUCAAUAGUCAUCCUCAUGACUCUGGAUGUGGUGAUAGCAACCAUAUACCACUCGAAAACCACCAUGUUGGGAAGUGUCCCUUACACCAUUCUCAAAGUGGAAACAAGCACGAUGUAAGCAUAUUAUUGACUACAGGAUACCUAAGUCACUAGAAAACCACUAAAUCUAGAUAGUUACAACGAGACUAGGGAUAAUGACAAAUACAUUGGGCAUGAAGACAUUAUACUUGAUCACCAUCGGGCCAAGACUGUAGUGAAAUGCAAAUUGUUUUUACUAACCUUCAAAUGAGUCGUUAUGACAUGGAUCAAGACCUUGGAGGACAAUCCCAUUAGUUCUUCAAUAGAUUUAUGUGAUGAAUUCAUUUCAUAAUUCAUAAAAAGGUUUGUUUGCAGAUGGUUUAGAUGGUGAUCUGAACUGACAAAAUUCAUGGAACCACAAACAAUAGGUUGACAACAAGAGGUCAAAGGACAAAUUGCAUGAAAAAGGUUUCAUUCUCUUUAAAUGAUUUAUUCAUGAUUAAUGUCUGACUAUCUGUGAAAUAUAACAUGAUAAUGAAUUUCUUGCUUCAUUUAAAGUUUGAUUUUCUACUGUCUAGAGAAAGCAUGUUGACAUAAGUCAAGAAUCAUAAGCCUACCCAAGGGAGAUGUGUACAAAUUCGUGUUUUGGUUAAAUAUUGAGAGAAGACAUGCAUACUAACUAUGUAGACUUUGCAUCAGUCUUGCUAUUACUUGAUAUGUUUGAAUGUCAUGGAUAUGAUCAAGACAUUAUUUGUUAUUGAGUGAAAAACUACUUGACCUAAAAAGUCUACCUUGUGAGGGUGCGAAACCUUUGAAAAACCCAUUUGAAUUGUAAAAUGAAAGUUUUCAUUCUUUCAAAGUUACAACCCUUAGCCGAUUUAAAAGAAAAACAAUGUUCACUACCUUAUCUUAAGGAUAGAAGAACAGGUAAAAGCAAUGGUAUUGCAAAAACAAAAGUUGGGGAAGGAAAUAUUUUUAAAAUAGAAAAUUCAAAUAGUACUAGUUUAAAGAAAAAGAAAAGUGUUUUGACAAAAAUAAGUCAAAACUCAAAAGUCAGGCAUCCGUAGAAAAAGACACCAAAAGAAAAUGGUGUAAGAAAAUGGAAAUAAAGAAAGAUAAAUUUUUGAAAAUAAAUACUUUAUGCUUUCUUAUCUUUAGGUUUUUGAAUCCAAAGAAAAACCAAUAUAUUUAUAAGCCCAACCACAUUACAACCUAAAUAAAGACCUUAGUGAUCAAUGAAUGAUGAUAUAUCUUUUCAUAUUGUUAGAUGAAGUGCAAAGUGUUUCAAUAGUUCAUGUAUUGUCUAAAUUUUUAGGGAAACACUAACCAUUGAGAGAUACUCAGUGAGAUCAUGAUCUUGGUAAAUGAUUAAUUGUUAAUAUAGACAUAUUUUAAAAAUAUUACUCUGGUCAAGCAAAUGGUUCAUCUAUUAUGGUUCAUGGAUAGUUAUUGUAUUUAUUAUGAACUUUCAUUGAAAAGAAUAUCAUUUCAUAAAAUAAAAUUCAAAGUUCUUGACUUGAGUCAGUCAACCCUGUUAGUGAAACAUGCAUACAAAAUAUUUUCGAACCAUUUGAUUGAUUUUGUUUGAGAAUAAAAAAAAAGAUAAGUUGGGGAGGGUUGAUAAGUGUCAUAUUUACAUAAAAUACGUAGGAACUUGUUAACUUAUGUUACAAGAAAUAGUUACAAAAACUCCUAAUUUAUCUAUGAAAAGUGAGAAAAUACCUAUUUGGACUUUUCUAUUAUUAAUUAAUAAAAAGACAGGAAAAGAGGAUUGGAAAACCACGAUUCAUCGCGCAAAGGACAAUCUAGAGCAAAACCUUAGAAAUCCAGGCUCGCUAGGCCCAACCAUAAGUGCACUAAGCGCAGAUAGCAGGCCAGAUGGCAUGUCCAUCUUCAAGUACUUCAAGUUGAAGCAGGGCUUGUGCUCUAAGCAUAAAGAAAAUACACUUAGCAAGGAAAGAAGGCUAUGGACACCUUUUAUACAUCCAACACUUCUUAGUGAGGAAGAAAGUAGACUCUUUAGGCACAAGGGUGGUACACCUAGAGAGAGGUCCGAAAUUUUGCUUAUAAAUAGAGGCUUCCAGUUCAUUGCAAAUGGGGUUUUGGUGGAGUGAGGUAGUACAAAAUUAGAGUAUGCUCACCUUGGUCUAAAAUAGGAGAAUAAGAGAGGGGGUUUGGAGGAGGAAGCCCUGCUCAAGUGACACGGAAGAUAAACUUCCAAGAUUAGCUUCGCGUGAUUACUGGCAAUUACGAUGAAUAAGCAUAGCUAAAAUAUUUUUGUUGGGUGUCAGAUGUAUUCAUUAUAUUCAUUUACUAAAUAGGUCAUGGAGUUGUAUGUAAUUCUACUCAUGCUUUUAUAUAGAUAACUCUUUAAUAUUAGUGUUUGUUUUAGCUUUGCUACCUAAAACUUGUUUUCAUGGUGUAACUUGACAUUGAAAUGUGAUUGUCAUUACUAGAUCUAAGAUAAUCAUAUAUUGGAUACUAAUUCCUAGAGAUAGGGUUAGGUUCAAAUUUCACAUGCAUUGUAUUAUGGAUUGACAUGGAGUCUAGAUGGUUUAUAAUUGUUGGAACUUAAUGCUCUUCGUUGGCUAAUAGACCGAGAUAUCAAUUAUUAGGUACUGCACUGAUGACACGAAGUUAAGACGAAAAAGAGAUAUGAAUGAUAAAAACAUGUGAUUAUAUUAUAGAUGAGUAGAGGAGAAUAUUAUUGACCUAUUGAUGUGCAUGAUAAAUACAUAAUACCGAAAUCUACCCCCAACAAGUUUUCUUACUGUUUACACCAAAAUAUCGAUUUUACUCUAUAUAAUCUAUUUUAUGUUAUUUACUUUAAUGCAUCACAACAAAUAUAAACCUCUUCUCUACUUAAGAUCGUAAAAAUGGUUGAACGUUCUUUUGAAAACCACCAGUCUUUUUGGAUAUGAUAAUUAUAAAAUUGACUUUCGUCUCACAACGAACAAUUGGUUGGGUCCUAUAUUUCCCGAUCCUCAUCUAACCCCAGAGGACAAGAGUUUUUAUUUGUAGCUGAUACAGGGUUGCAAUUUAGUCAACAACUACUCAAGAUUAUGGAUCUCUUUGCGUCCUAAUUUUUCUCGAAACACACAGUCCAACCUUAGGCCCCUUUCAAAGAUCCAGCACUUCAAGCUUUCAUAUGAGUCAUCAAUAGCCAAAACCACUUUCGUGAAGCGGUCAAUAUAUCCGUGCAUGUUUUCAUUCUUACCUUGUGUAAUUCCUCUAAGAACGACCAUGGUAGUCAGUUUCCUCUUCCUGGUAGUGAAGUUGGCGGUGAAAAAUUGGCACAGGUCACUCUAAAAGUCUAUACUUCAAUCUGGAAGAUAUUUUGUACCUAGCCACGACUUAUCUGAUCUGAUAUGAAAAAACUUUUAGGGUUUAAAGUUUUUUUUUAUUUGGAAUCAAUAAAAAUAUAUUGAUAAGAAACUAAAAUGAUACAAGCAAGGCGAUCCUCUAGAUCCAUCCCACCAACAAACUAAAACAGCCAAAUCCUAUAAGUUAAGGCAUUAAUGAAUUGGCUAUAUGGUGCCUUGACUUAGGUUUGGUCCAUAAUCUAUUUACAAUGUAUUUAAAAUAUAUCUCCUAUAGUAUUGGUGCUAUGUGUAUUACCAAAAUAGUGAGAAUUCCUAUAUUUCUAAGUCUCAUAUACGAUUUCAACAAACACACACUUGAGAUGUUGUGCUCUCCAACCUUUCCAUUUACAUCUACUCAAGAUCCAAAGAAGUUCCUUAUGCCAGCCAACUGGCUUUCGCUGAAUUUGCAGCCAAGUUAGCACAUGGUUCCAAAUAACCAUCAUAUCUUCACAUUCAAUCUUUCCUUUGUAUCCAGACUAUCUUGGCAAGCCAUCCAAAGCACAAAUAUUGCUCUAGGCCUCUCAAAGUUGUCAUACACCAGCUUCCUCCAUGGGACAACAUGCUUAGGCCCUUUAAGAACACGAUACACCAUGUUGGUUUUAUAAGUGUUAGCUUGUUGCGGUUUGCUCCAUAUAUUUUGUUGCUGCAGAAUUUGUCUCUGUUUGAGAAUAGCUUUCAGCAGCCAAGAACAUGACUUCCUUAUUGGCACAGUCCCGAUGUCACCAUCUUUUACAUGGUAGCUAUGAACCCAUAUAAUCAAUCAUCUAUCUUGUUUUCCACUAAGGUUCCAUAAGAGCUUAAUCAUGCAAGCUUGGUUCAACUCCUUAAUAGAGAUAAUUUUUAGCCCGCCUUGAUUCUUAGGAACACAAACAUUAUGCCAAGUAACAUGGGACUUUCAAUUGAUGGUUUCCUCUCCAUUCUAGAGGAAAUACCUAUAGAUUGCCUCAAUGUUAUGAAUGAAUUUUUUUAGAAAAGGGGAUACAUUUCCCUCAAAAGUUAGUAACAACAAAGAGAACACACUUAAUCAGUUGAACUCUACCCGCAAAACUAAGGACCCUGGCACUCUAAUGUCUAAUUCUAGCUAUAGUUUUAUCAACAAGAGUGAGACAUUGAUGGAUAGUAAGUUUCUUACUGGUAAAAAGUAUUCCAAGAUAUCUGAAUGGGAUAGUCCCUUCUGAGAAAUUUGUCAUAUCUUGAAUUUCCUGCUUAGUGUGCAUAUCUACAUUGCCAAAGUAGAUCUUAUACUUGACUGAAUUAACUCAAACUAGUGGACUUAGAGAACUCUUCAAAAGUAUCCAUGAGAAGACUGAUGAAUGUUGUGUCACCCCUGGCAAAGAGCAACAGGUCAUCUGUAAAACUCAAAUUUUCAUAUUUGGAGUGAAAAUUAAAGUUUGGAAUUAACUUCAAUCUUUGCAUAAUUCUGUUGAAGUACUCCAUAAUAAUUACAAAGAGUAAUAGGGAGGGUGGAUCCCAUUUCCUGAGGCCCCUUUUGGACUUAAGGAUUCUAGUGCACUCCCCAUUGACCUUAAAUCUAUACGAAACUAUGGACAUAGUAAGCAUAAUCCAAUUUAUGAAUUAGUUGGGAAAGUUGAGCUCCUUCAAAAUAGAUUCAAAAGUAGACCACUCAACUAUAUCAUAUGCUUUCUAGAGGUUCAUUUGUAACACACAUCUAGGAACACCACCUUUGGUAUAAUAUCCUUGAUAAGUUCAUAGGCAAGCAGGAUGUGAUCUUGGAUGUGUUGGCCAGGGACAAAAGAAGCUUGACUCUGGGGGAUGAUUCUAUUAAGCACUUUGCCUAAUCUGGUAGCCAUAAUCUUAGCUAUGAUCUUAUACAUGGUUGAGCAGCAAGAGAUUUUCCUAUAGUCUUUGAUAGUAUUAGCUGAAGCAUAUUUGGGAAUCAGGGUAACCAUAGUUCUAUUGACAACACUAUACAUUUGAUCUUUCUAAAAAAAACUCGUUGACAACUUGAAUGACAUCAGUUUUUAUGAAGCUCCAAGUUGCUUAGGAAAAUUUGGCUCCAUAACCAUCAGUCCCAGGGGCUGUGAAGUCAUUUAUGCUUUUCAAAGCUUGAAGGAUCUCCUCAUCUUUCACUUGGGCUAUAAGGCUUUGUCUUUGUUCCAUGGACAGUUGACUACCUUAUCUCAUGGAGGGUUUAAAGUUGUCUUUUUAAACAUGAAAAGUGCCUAAAUUAACUAUUUUAUAAUAGUAUUAGUAGGUCAUUUAUUGACUUAUUUUAUAAGAAGUUAUGAUAAAAAGUUCAAGUUAUUGCACAUAUUUAUAUUAGUUAAGUUUUAAUUAUGAUAUAAUAUUUAUGAAAUUUUUCAACAUUUUUUUGGUAGGAAUAUACACAUAAAAUUAUCUAAGAUCAAAGACACUGAUUUGAAGAAUAUAAGCAAAUAUCUAGACGAAAACAUCAAUAGCCUAGAGAGAAAAGUGAGAGAGUCUAAAAGAUUUUAGGUCAAGGAAGCUUGCAAAGAGAAUAAUAUAGUUUGCUUAGAGAGUCAAUGAUAGAGAUUUUUGGAGAUUUUGCAAGAGCACAUUCACGAUGUGAGUAAGGUUUCCCUCCUCUCAUCUAUCAGAAGGGUGACUAAGAGUCGAUGUUCUUGUACGAAGGUGUAGGAGUCAACAUGUGCAGAUAAUUUAUUGAACUAGUACAACAAGAAAAUGUGGUGUUCUUUGUUAAUGAUUAUGCUCUAGGAUUUUAGAUGAAAGGAUAAAACUUUUGAACAACCAGAUGUGUUCUUGGAAAUGUUGAUGCUUGACUGAGGAAUAGAAAUGUCAUGAAUGAAUGGUGCCUCCCUUCUAGGAAUCAGAUGACUAAUAAUGGUUGCCAUGUCAAGAAAAGUGGGUGAUAAUGCCUCAUAAGAAAAUAAAGGCAUUGAUGCUAACGAUCUAGUAAUCGAGAAACCCAAAUAUGUGUUCCAUACCAAACCUUAUAUCUUGAUCAUAAUGUUUUAUCAUGUCAAUACUCUCCAUUUAUUCCAAUUUCCCCCCUAGAUAUUUGCGUCAAAGUUAAUCGGGCUUGAUAGUUGACAGUUGGAUGAGGGAAGGGUUUGAAAUCACCUGAUAUCCUUUCAAAGGAUAACCAAUCCUUGAUAAUCAGUGUAAUGUUCGGAAGAUGGUAAAAUAAGACCUCAAGAAUAUUUUGCCACCAUAUACACUCAAGGAAGAAGGAUAUAGUAUGGAUUUAUGUGCUUGUAGGUACAAAGUAGAAAAACCCGCAGAAGAUUCAUUUGAAGUUUUGAUAGUGACAAUGAUUAUUAAAGUCGGUGCCAAACAACUUUUCAAACUUAAUGAUGGUGAUCUAACUAAAAGAAACAUCACGUACCUCAUCAAUAAAAGGAGACUCAAGAUCAAAGUGUUUAUAUGAUCAUAAGCAUUCAUCAAUAAAAGGAGACUCAAGAUCAAAGUGUUUAUAUGAUCAUAAGCAUUUAGCAAAGAAUAUUGAAGUCGUGUGAAAGCUUGUCAAGUCAUGUAUAUCCGUCUGUUAGAAUGAAAUGAGUAUUGUAAAAGUAAGGGAGUAACUUAGAAGUACUAAGGCAACUCACACGCACACCUAAAAAUAUCUUUUCAAAUGUUUUUAUCGUAGUAAUUACUUUUCUAAGGCAAACCAAGUUAUUAAAGAGUUGUCUAAACCUUUUCAAAACUAUUUUUGAACUAACCAAUCGAUUGGUAAGUAGUGUAAAUCGAUUGACAUAAUUUUAUGAGUCAGCCAAGCGAUUGGAGAAGUGUCAAUCGAUUGGAGAAGAGAUAAUCGAUUAAUCUAGAACUUAUGACAAUAUAUUAAUGCCUUGCAACGACUUUAUAUCCAAUAUUUCCGUUUAGGGCUUGCUAAUCGGUUAAAAAUGAGAUGGUCAUAAGCAUUUAGAAAAGAAUCUUGAAGUCGUAUGAAAGCUCGUCAAGUUAUAUAUGUUUGUCUGUACAAGUGACCUAAGCAUUGUAAAAGUAAGGGAGUAACUUAGAAGUACUAAGGCAACUCUCUCUCUCUCUCUCUCUCUCUCUCUCUCUCUCUCUCUCACACACACACACACACACACACACACACAAAGUACUAAGGCAACUCUCUCUCUCUCUCUCUCUCUCUCUCUCUCUCUCUCUCUCACACACACACACACACACACACACACACACACCUAAAAAUAUAUUUUCAAAUGUUUUUAUCGUAUAACUUUUUUCUAAGGCAAACCAAAUGAUUAAAGACAUAUUCAAACCUUUUCUAAACUAUUUUUGAACCAACCAAUCGAUUGGUAAGUAGUAUCAAUCGAUCGACAAAACAUUUAUGAGUCAGCCAAGCGAUUGGAGAAGUAUCAAUCGAUUAAUGUAGAACUUAUGACAACAUAUUAAUGACUUGCAACGACUCUAUAUCGAAUAUUUCCUUUUAGGGCUUGCUAAUCGAUUAAAAAUGAGAUGGUCAAUGAUUGGAGAAGUGUCAAUCAAUUGGCUCAUUAACUUGGCCCAUGAAUUAUUUCCGUUCUUGGAUUUCUAAUUCCUAUAUAUUUUUGUUUUUGGAUUAUAGUCCAAAUCUCAAGAAGACUUCUUGGGUACAGGACUAGGCCAACAUUCGGUCAAACCUGGAUGACUCUCUGGUGUAAUCUCUCUAACUCUUACUCUCUUUAAAUUUUUACUAUUUGUUUUAAUUCAACUGCGUUUUACUCUUAAGAAACCACUAACACAAACUAAAUUGAGAAAAAUAUAAAAUUAAUUACGAAUUUCAAAAACCACUUACACGAACAGAAUUAAUAUAGUUUAAGACUUUUUUAUGUUUAUUUAAAAAAUCAAUUUAAUUAAAUUUCUAAAAUUAUAAAGGGUUAAAUAUGUUUGUGGUCUCUAUAAAUAAUUUAAAAUAUGGUUUUAAUCCUUAUAAAUUUUUUUUUCAAAGGAUGGUCUCUCUAAAGUUUUUCGUCCACACUUUUGGUUUCUGCUAUCUAUUUAAUCUAAUAGAGGUUGGAGUUGCACGCCACAUCAUUUGAAGUCAACAUUAUAAUUGACUAUAGAAAAACACGUUGAAUUUCAAACUUCCCUAAAUUCCUUCAAAUAUGGUGAAGUGUUGUUCAUGUGCUUGCAAAAUAUUCUCAAGUGAUCUCAAUCAUUAACUUUAAUAGAAAUGAAAUUAAAUCAUCAUAUUCAUAGCUAGGAAGUACACUUUCUUUUUCAUGUAUUUGUUGUAAGGGCAAGCAAAUAGAAAUUGCCACAGUUUUCAUGAAAAAUAUAUUGUCAAAGUUCUCAUCCAUGGCCAUGUUUAGAUUACCUCAUACCCAAUAUCUUACUUCUCCUGGAUUUCCUUCAAAAAUCCAUUUGCAAAAUGAUAACUUUUUUUAUAACAAUCAACGACUUGCCACCUUGUGUUCCAAAGGUCGCAUAAAAGAAGCCUUCGAGAGCUUUGUAUACGAGUUAUGGUCAGAAUCUCGUUUGUUCUUAAAUUUUGAUGAAUUAAGAGUGAUAUCUAAUUCCAAGGUUUCACCGGUCACAAUUGGGUUAUUCUAUGGUGCAAAAGUAUUGAUAACUGAGAAAGAUUUGAGGGGUGAUAAUCUGAACCAUAAGAGUAAUGUUAUUGUUCCUUCUGAUUGCACAACAAGGUCUUCUCCUAAGGAAGCUUGUGAUGUUAAAAUUUGAGUUGAUCAAAAUGAAUCAAACAAGUUUCACCAAUGGGGAAAAUUAUGGAAUAAAUUGGGAUUAGUACAAAAGAGAAAGGAAGAUAAGUUGGGAGAGGAAGAAUGUGCUUAUGAGGGUUGUUAAUGGACAAGGGAGUGAAUCGAUUAGUGGGAAGCAUAUUCGUAGUCGCGACUGCGUGCUGCUGCAAAGCCACUGACUACUCGUGACCGUUUCAAGUUGUAGUAGGAGUCUAUGACACACAAACGACCAGGAAAACAAGUUGAAACCUUAGAUGCUCUUCAAAAUGCCAAAAUGUAUAAAAAGAAGCUGAAUUUAUUAACAUCUGGAUGAUGAUGAAAUCAAGAUUUCCACUUCAUGGUGCAAAGUCCUCCUUUGUUCAAGCUUUUAGUAUUUCCUUCUUUUUAUUAGUUUAAUUUGUGGAUAUUCAUUGAAGAAUGACUAAAAGGCACUAUGUUAUGUUCAUAACUAUUGAUGAAUAUACACACACGAGGCCAUUCAUAAGUUUCCAUUUUUUUGAUGAAAAUUAUAAAUGUUGUUCUAAACAUGAAAAUAAUGAAUUUGGUAUAUGUUUAUUACGGUGUUUUUAAAUAAGGAAAUAUCUACAAGCUGGUGUAUUACAGGAAUCCCAUUAUGCCACCAUUCAGAUGACAUAUACUUUCUUCGCCAUAUGCAAGCAGAUACAUUGUCACGUUAAUUUUUUAUUGUUUUUUCAGUUAUUUAAAGGAGGUUUGUAACCCCCGUUAUCUAUCUCGUUUUUUUUAAUGUUGACCUUAAAUGGCGUGUCAUGUCACGUCAACUUCCGUUAGUGGAAAUACACGGUAGAGACUAAAAUUGUGGAUGAAAAAAUUUAAAAAGACCAUUGUUAGAAAGAAUUUUAUAGAGAGACUAAAAUUGAAUUUUUGAUUAUUUAGAGGGACGAAAAACAUAUUUAACCCAAUUUUAUAUUAUGAAGUUUAGUCUAAGUUUUAGAAUUUUCAUUAAAAAAUAGUUUUAUAAAACUGUAAUGUCGUAAUUGCAAAAGGCCCCAUCUAGGGCGGUCCUUUAGACCGCCCCCAUAAGAGGCGACGUUGGAAGGUUUCCCAAAGGGAGGUAUCGCCUCACCUCGUAAAUGUCCUAUUGCUAGGUAGUGAGAAAUAUGGAAUAAGCCAUUUUUGAAACAGAGAGAAAUCAGGGUCAAUAACGGACCCACGACUUCCUAGGAAAUAGAGAUUCAACGGUCUACCAUUGACUGAGUGGAUGAUGACCCUUUAGAGAAUCCUAGGCCCUAAAAGACCUCUAUAAAUACAUCUCCUAUAGAAAAUAAAGGACAGGUCCUAAGCCAUGUGGAUAAUUAUGCCCUAAAGUAUAGCGCUUACCAAAGAUCAUCUCUCAUAUGAUCACACCCCUCAGAAGCUUAUACCUAAGGACAUUGUCCAUCAACAGGGCCUCUCACCUCACAUUAUAAGAAUCCCUAAACCUAUAUAAAACACCACCAUACAUGGCUUUUCACCAUUAUGGAAAAACCCUAACUACCCACAAUUGUUUUAAAUCUACUAAGGCCUCUAAGUCCCCAUGUCCUUGCAAGGGGAACAUGUACACAUGUACUUUUUGACUAGUAUGGUGGAGUCAUCCGCGUAGCCCUAGUAAAACUAACUUAUGCCACACACUUACUCCAACUCCCUCCAUCUUCCCUCCAUAUAUGGCCAAUAAAGCCAUAACCUGCAACACAAACACCAUCAUCGGAGGUUUCACCAGUGGAGGUAACUCUAGAUUUCUAGGAGAAAAUACGUAAGGCGGGUGUUUGAGGCAAAUGUAAUAUCCCCUCGCUUCCCUAGAAUCUCUCAAAGGAAGACAAAGGUUAACAUCAAAUUUCCCGAGGAGGACGCCAUCUGCUUCAACCCUCACUUUGAUGAUCCUCUGGUCUGUUGGUGUAAGCCCUAAAGGCCAAUACUUUUGGUACUUGUAUCAAAUUAUUUAUUAAUAAUAAAAGGCUUUUUCUUUAUUAUGUUUGUUUAAUAAAGUCCCUAGAAUAGCUAGUCCGUUUAAUGUAUCAAGUGUGACUUAAUCAUGAGAUCCCAUUAAACAUAAGGACAUUAUUCUUAAAGUAUCCGUAGUCGAGCUUUGUUGUGAAGUGGGAUAACAUUAAAGCAUUAAGAUUAUUAUGUAUAUAGACUGAUGAUGACAUCUCAUGGAUCAUGGAUAUGGAGUUAUCAAGUCUUAAACAUAAGUAUGAAUAUUGAGAGUAAUAUGUAUACUAGAUUGACCCGCUAUGAGAAUACUAUAUAGAAUGUUAUGCUAAGUGUCAUAAGUUAUUAUCAUGGUGAUAAUGGUGUAUACCACCCUUUGACCUGAAACCACUAUGUAUCCUAGAUGUAGAGUCAAGUGCCUUAUUGCUAAUCAAACAUUGUCCGUAACUGGAUGACCAUAAAGACAGUUGAUGGGUACUCCACGAAGCAUGAUGAGGGACAUGAGUGACCUAGAUGUAAUUUGCCCAUCCUGCGUAACAGGAUAAAUGUCUACAGGCCCAAUAUUGAACUGGACAAGGAUGACACGGUCUAUGCCUUGUGUUCAAUAUAGACAUAAGGGCAAAAAGGAUAAUUAUACACACAAGUAUUAUCACAAAAAGGAUUUGUCAGAUCACAUGAUAUUUUCGUGUCUUGAGUAGCAGUGAUGUGUUGUUAGAUACGGCUCACUGUUUAUUAUGUUAAAUAUGUGAUUUAAUAUAAUUGCUAAUGUCUCCAAAACCUAUAGGGUCACACACAAAAGAAUGAAUUGAUGAGAGAUAGAGUAACUAAGGAACACCGUAAGGUACGGUGCACUUAAGUGAAUUGUAGAACAUCGUAAGGUACGGUGUACUUAAGUAGAAUACGAAAUAUGGUAAGGUACCACACGCUUAUUUUGGCAUAUCAUAAGCAUAUGGGCCACAAUAUCACUUAAGUGGGCUUUUUAGCUUACAACCCACGCAAGUGUUUAUAAAUAGAACCCUUGUGCAUAAGCAUUGAGGUAGUUGUUCUCUCUCUCUCUCUCUCUCUCUCUCUCUCUCUCUCCCUCACUCAAAGCCUUCAUUCGUAGCAGCUAGCACUAAGAUUGAAGGAAUCCGUUCGUGUGGACUGGGUAGAGGUGUUGUCACCAUUCAACGUUCGUGAUCGCUCCGUGGAUCUGCAUCAAAGUUUUCAAUCGCCACAAGAGGUAACGAUUCUAUCACUGAUCGUGCCCAUUCGUAAGGAUCACUAAAGGAGAAAUUUUAAAAUUUCGCUGCGUUUUUGGAUAGUCAUUCUCCUUCAUGGUCAUCAUUAUGAAAUAGGGGAAAUAGGACAUCAAGUGCAUUCUAAUAGACCCUGGCAGUUUUGUUGACGUCUUGUUUUAGGACGCCUUCCAGAAACAGCAACUCAACUCGAGCGACAUAAAAAUGUCAAGUGGCCCUUUGACGGGGUUAUUAGGCGAGCAUGUGCAAAUACUGGGCCACAUAACUCUAGAAACCAUAUGUGGUAAGGUAGAGGGCGCCAAAGUAAUUAACAUUAGCUACCUCAUUGUGGAUGUCUUAUCUCCAUACAACCUCAUUCUAGGGCAACCAAAUAUCAACUCCUUGGGAGAACUCGUGUCCACACUGUACCUAACCUUAAAAUAUAUGCUCCCUGAUGGGGGAGUCGGUAUAAUCCGAGGAGACCAACAAAUAUAUCAAGAGUGCUAUCAAAGUAGCAUGGAGAAAGCCAGAGAAGAGCCCACCCUUGUUGAUGUCCCUCAUUUAGAAUUUCCAAAUAUUGGCUUCGAGUGUUAGGAUCUUAGAUUGGCCACAGAGGAAGAAAGUAUCACUCUCACUGAAGAUUUGAAGGAGGUAUAGAUAGGUCCUCAUGCCCAUUAGGUAGUGAUGAUAGGUACUUCGUUGUCCAUAGAGGAGCAAUAAAAACUAAUCGACCAAAUCAUUAAGAAUGUCGACCUGUUUUCCUAGACCCCCUAUGACAUGCCAGGGAUAAACAAUAAAGUGGUAAUCCAUCGCCUCGCCUUCCACCCUUCCUCUAUAAAAAUGGCACAAAAGAAGCAAAAAUUUGGCGAGGCAAAGAGGGUUGUCGUUGAUGAAGAGAUGGGAGCCUCCAGAUUGAAGGCCAAAAGUGACUCCAAAUUAGUCCCCAACCAAGUUCUUGGGCAGUACCAAACCAAUGAGCCCCAACUGUUAAGGUAUCUGCAAAAAGUUUAAAACCUAUCUUCUCGCUUCUCAUCCUUUGAAAUAGAGCAUGUCCCCUACGAGCAAAAUUUCAUAGCAAACCUUUUGUCCAAGCUAUCUACUUCAAAUAUGGCGGGGUUCAACAUAACAUUUAUCCAGAAGACCCUUGCCUCCCCCAACAUUGAGGUAGACGAGGUGAACUCCCUGGAAAUUAUCCCAAAACCUAGCUGGAUGUUGCCCAUACUAAGUUAUCUACAGACUAGCAAACUUCCACUAAAUGAGUGAAAAGAAAAAAGGAUCCCGAAAUAGGAUUCCAAGUACACCCUACUCUUUGGAAGACUAUAGAAAAUGGGGAAGGCUUAUCCCAUGUUACGAUGUCUGUUGAGAUCACCCUAGUUCUUGCGGAGGUAGACAAGGGUGCUUGUAGUAGCCACAAUGGAAAAAAAAUUCCUCACAUACAAGUUGUUAAGGGUAGGGUAUUAUUGGCCUACCCUAAUGAAAGAUAGAAUCGCCUUUUCUAAGAGGUGCGAUCAAUGUCAGAGACAUGUUAGCCUUCACCACGCCCCAACAAAACUUCUCAAUUUGAUGACUUCUUAUUAGCCUUUCUAUCAAUGGGCUUGGACAUUCUAGACAUGUUCCCCUUGGCGUUGGGCCAACUGUAAUUCCUCAUAGUAGGAGUUGAUUACUUCACCAAACAGAAAGAAGUAGAGGUUGUUGCCAAAUUCGUAGUUGAUAGAGUGUGCUAUUUCUAUUGGUAGAAGAUUAUGUGAAGAUACAUAAUCCAGAAGGUAUAACUCCAAAUUCAAUCCAAGAGAAAUGCAAGAGAGCGACUUGGUAUUGAAAUAAGUAGUUCUACCUACCCAACAGGGAAAGUUACAACCUAAUUGAGAGAGACUGUACUGCAUAUUUAAGAAACCUCCUCACGGAGCAUACAAGCUACAUGAACUGGAAAGCUCACUAUUAUUCAAACCCUGGAAUGCCCUUCAUCUUAGAUAUUAUUACAGUUAAAUUAUUUUUAAUUCUCUAAUAAAUAUCAUGUUUAUGUACAUGUAAACAAUUAUUAAGUUAUGUAUUUCCCACAUGGAUGUUUUCUUCUGACUAUUUUAUAUGUUGGACUUCAUGGUGAAGAUCCUGUCUGCCCCUUGUAACACCUCAAAAUUUGCCCUCCUCUCUUGGGACUAGUUUAGCAUAUUGCAUUUCAUUUUGUAGGUCAUUAGGCAUUGCGUCUUUGCAUAUCAUGUGGCAGCAUAAGCAAGUCAUCCUCCUAGGUCUUGAUCAGAAGAUAAAGAGGUUGGGAUUCAAGCUGAGGGUUUCAUUGAACUGAUCACUAAUCAUCUGAGGGUUGGUGCAUCAAUUAGGGUUUCUUGAUUCCUCAAGGAGGUUGAGCUUUAUCUUGGUUGAAAUGGUACAUCAUCAUCAUCAUGGUCUUGUCAUCACCAAGAGGAUUCUUCAUGCUUGAUCAGAUACCUUGGGAUUAGGGUUUUGACUUCUGGUCAACCCUAAUUAGUUGAAUUGUGUCAAUCGGGGCUUGUCAAGGAGAAGAGGCUUGCAAUGGAUAUGGGGAUCCUCAUAUGGUUAUAUUGAGCUUAUGGAAGCUAGGGUUUCAUCAUUGAGCCAUUUCAUCAGGAGUUUGGAGCUCAAGUUGAUCAGUGCAUGGCCAGUUCAUCUAUCAGUCAGAAAAAGUCAACCAAAGGUCAACUGAUGGAUUUGGAGGUGGGAGAGGGUUAGAGACACUUAAUUCAUGUCUAAACAAGUUUCAUUUGACAUUUCAAACAUCAACAAUGAAGAAAAUAAAGUCAGAUGAAAACUUUCCAAAAAUAGAAAGUGACUUGUAAUUCAAAACUGCCAAAAAUGGAAAGGUUUUCUCCUCAAAAUUACAUGUCGCAAAAUGCUUCAAAUUAAAUUUUGUCCAACAUGAAAGUUGUAGAUCUUUCUCUCACUUUUCAAAAGUCCAAGAACAUGUAUUUCUCAUUUGGUUGGCAAGUUAUGAUCAAAUCAUUGUCAGAAAAGUGAACUUCAAGGAGGCAUAACUUUGAUUCACAAGGCCAAAUGAAGUGAGACUUUUGGAGCAAAUUUCUUUUGAAUGUCCUCUAUCCAAAACAAGCAUUACAUUUCAUGAAUUUUGCUCACACAAAAAGUGCAUUUUCAAGUGAACCAAUUUGAAAAAGUGGAGGGAAAAGGUCAUUUUGCAAAAUAUCAUUGUUUCACUCCAUCCACCUUGCAUUAGCUCACAAACAUGUUUUAAAAACUGCUCAAACCAGAAAUUGGCACGUUAAAUUGCUUGCACAUGUGUGGGUGAAUUGACCAAAUUACAUUUAGCAUGAAAUGCAUUUUCACUAAUCACUUUGGUUUUGGCUAAUUAGUGAUUAAGGAAAUGAUUAAGCCAUGCUAUAUUGCCUAAUCCUAACUGUUUUUCAGAUUAACACUUCAUUCUAACAGAUCUAGAUCUGAAAAUCACAAAAUUCUUCAACUUCUUCUCUCACUUUUUUUUGCAAUUUUCUUCAAAAGCCUUGCCAAGAUCUUCAUCAAUCCUUCAUCUACAUGCAUAAUGGAAGCUAUUUGAAGCAAAAUUUUGGAGAAAUCUUGAGGAAUUUGGAACUGUCAAAGUGAGCUUCAUCCAUGGCAAAUCGAAUUUCUGAGCAAAUCAAGCACUAUUGAGCCAAGGCCUUGCAUUCAUUCAUCUUCCUUAUCAUUAUUGAGUUGCUGUUUUGCACUUCCAUAGCUUGAAACAUACGAAUCAACAUCUGCAAUUCCAAGAAGGUUAGUUUUCGACCUUAACAAUUCGUGCAAUUAGGAUAGGUGUUUGAUAGAUCUUUUCAUGUGGAGAAUACUGCAAGUUGAAUCACUUAAUUUGGUUGAGGAACAAGAGAGUUAUGUUGAUUUUCGUUUUGAUGCACAAAUAUGUUUUGAUUCGAAUCUUUGAAAUUAGGAUGAAUUAGGUCAAAAUAAUUUGAGAUUGUGAAUGUGCAUUGAGAGAUCUUUCUAAUGGUAUGCGUUUUGUUGAAUUUGAUGAACAUUUGUUCAUGAGCUGGGUUUGAGUGGAUGAACACGCGAUGAACUUCAUAGAAAAUUUUCCAGGAAAUGCGUUUGAUCCGUUUCUCCGCUUGCAUGCAUGUUUUUGUUGUUAUAGCGUGUGCGAUUGAGCCACGUGUCCUGGCCGGUAGAGUGAGCGCGCGCAGAGUUUCAAAUCCCUACCCCCUUCGAUUCCUUGUUCAGCCAUUUUAUGUUGCCAUUUGCUUUUUAUUCCAAUUAUGCCUUACAUAUGCAUGCUCCUUGGUUCAUCUUUUUUUAAAUUUUUUUUCAACAUGAAAAAAUCAUAUCUCCUAAACCAGUAGUCCAAAUUGACUGAAAUUUUUUGUGCUAUGAUCCUUGCCAUGUCCUCUUUUUUUUGGUGAUUUUUGUGGAAAUGGUGCACGUGUGGUUUUUGGAAUGGCCUAGGGUUUGUUCACAUGUAUUCUUUCAUGCACAUUGCUUGGUAUUUUGAUCAUGAAAUGAUGAUGCUUAAUUGGAUGGAGCUGAAAUUUUGCAUGCUCAAUCUAGACACCUUGAGGAGCAUUUUGGUAUAUAGUUUGUGAUUUUUGCAUUCCUGGAUUGUGAGAUAUGCUCUGAUCAUUAGAGGUGUGACAAUUUGUGUCACACCAUUUCAUGUCCAACUUCUUGAUUUUUGUUACCAUGCCAUAUGAACUCAAAAUGACCUGAAUUUUUGCAUGUUGAUACUUCUGUAUGUUAAGUCUGAAUGUGAAUUUUUGUGGGUUUUUUGAGUACAUUUCCAAUUUGAUUGAGAUUUUCUCCCCUGUUUGAACAAUUGUUGACUUCUUGUGAGUCAUGAUUUUAUUUGAUUUGUGAAAUUCUUGUUGUGUAUUGGAUGAGCCUGAAAUUUUACACAUGUAUUUUAGACAUCUUGAAGUGUUCCAUGGCUUUGAUUUGGUUCAUUUAUCUUAUGCCAAUUCUGUUUUAUGCUUGCUUGAAGUGGAUACAUGAUUUGGUGCCUUGUAUGAGCUUGUUUGAAUAUGCUUUGACUUGAUGAAUUUAAUUGACUUGCUUCCCUUUGUCCAAAUGGCCUGAAAUUUGGUGUGUAGAUCAUGUUGUUAAUGCUGUUUAGACAUGAAUUUUUUGGGAAUUUAUUGAAAUGUUUGUGAAUUGAUUUGAAUUGGAUCUUUCUGUUUGGUCCUUUGAGGUUCUAAAUUGCAUGCUUUGCACUAUUUCUUUCAUGAAAUGAUAAUGGUUGAUGAUAUGAAUGUGAGACCACCUGGAUUUGAUUCUUAUUUGAUUGAUCUUGAUUUUUGAUAAGUGUCAUGUUCUGUUUUGACUUGUUGAUCCUAUUUUGACCCUAGUCUUGUACUAGUGGUUUGUGUUCUCACAUUUGAGCUUUGUUUCAGGUCAAAGAGCACAAUUGCUUAUGCUUGAUGAUGUGCACUCAAUUGGAGUUGGUUUAUUGAUUGUUUAUGACUAACCUUGAGUUUGUUUUGUAGGCAUUGAGACUUAUGCUUAGGCCUUGUGGCUUGCACCUUUGUGCAUUGAUGCUUGUUAUCUGUUUGUGCUGUGGACUUGUAAUUUUCUGUUUGACUUUUGUUUGUCUGGUAUACUGAUUAUGUUGGAUUGAUUUCAGGUACCUUAGUUGCUAUAGUUCCCUUGUGAACUUGUGUUUGCUUUGCUUGCUAGCUUGAGCAUUGAGGUAUAAUGAUCUCUUCUCCAUGUAGUCUGGAAGACCUGGCCUGUUACUUGGCCAGGCACCUGUCUGAAGUCCUCCUUAAGAGGCAAUGCUUGUGCUUGUUUAUUUUUGUCCCCAAGCAGGAAAAGACCUUUGAUAAGGCAAUUGGCAGAUAAAAGAGAUGUGCAAUCCAUCUCCUGCUAUUCUGUUGAGUCGUCCCUUAGCUCACAUCACAUGUUGAUGCCUUGUGGACAUUAACCCCAAGAUCUAUGUUGAGUCAGUGUCAUAAGUGUAGAAGGGUUCCCACUUUCUGAACCCACACUUCUUUGUCUGAAGCUCUCCCAGGCCAGGGAUAAGAGCUGUGAGGCACACCCCUCACUUCCACUUCAUCUUGCUUCACCCUAACUCUCAAUGUUAGGGUUAAGAGCUAACAUCACCUGAUACAGUUGGUUUGCUUUUGCAGCCUAACCCUUUGUUUGAGCCCACUUUGUCUGGAUAUAGUGUGUGCUAAUUGUGAAUGUUUGCUUUGUUUUGAUUAUGCUUGCAUGCUUUGCUUUGCCUGUUUAGGAUUAGCUUGCUGCCUGAGCAAGUUAGGAUAGAAACCAUAACUUAGGGAUGAUAUGCAUGAUAACAUCUAGGCUCGAGUACAGCUCCCUAGUAAUGUGUCUCCCUUUGUAUCUGGUUAGGUGAGAAUUUCUUUCCCGUUCAGGGGAACUACGUUGCCCUGAUCCUCAUACCAGAUGAGGUACGUAGGCAGGAGACCGUGUGAGAUCUCUCCGGGCACCCUUUUUCUUUUUGUGUGUGUUUGCUUGACAGUUGCUAGGCUCGAGUUCCUGACUCCUUAGUAACUUGUUGCUUGUUUCUUCUUGUGUGUGAGUUAGGAGACGGAUGUAAGCCCAGCCAUUGGCAUUUCGUAUCCUCUUGUUAUGUGCUUGGAGUCCAGUAUAAGUCCAUCAAGUGGCAUCUGGCUUCCAGUGUGGGUUUGUUUGGUUCGAAAGCUGAUGUAAGUCCAGCGAUUGGCGUUCGGGUUCUAUGUUUGCCUUUUUGUGCGUGUGUUUUGUUUCGGCGUGCGUGAGCCGAACUACGGUAGCUCCGAUUCUCGUUCCAGACGAGAUACGUAGGCAUAGGAUGCGAUAUCCUAGCGAGCCCUCUCCCCUCUUCCUCCACCUGUGUUGUUUCAAUGUGUGUGUGUGAUGUUUGUUUUAGCAACCUUUUCCUAUCUUUGAGCGUGGAUCCCGUCGAGUACGACGGAUGCGUAGGGGUGCUAAUACCUUCCCUUCGCAUAACCGACUCCCGAUCCCAUUCUCUUUGGUUGCGAGACCAUGCUUUUCCCAGGUUUACUUCGAGCGUUUCCUUUCCCUCUUUGGGAUAAAUAACGCACGGUGGCGGCUCUGUGUUGUUUUGUUUCAGCCCGCCGGUUGUUUUUCGCGGAUGCGACACCCCUCGAUGCAAUAUUUUCUACGAUGGACCUUCAUGGUGAAGAUCCUUGCUUCCCUUUGAGGAAAUUUUCUUAUGAUGGACUUCAUGGUGAAGAUUAUUUCCGCCCCUCGAGAAAAUAGUUUUUAUGUUGGACUUCAUGGUGAAGAUCCUUGCCACCCCUCGAGGAAAUAUUUCUUACCCUAGAAGUCGAGGAGCUUAGUGUUUCCUCGGGCAGAUGAAACUCAAGAAUCAUACCCAAGAGGUGUUACAAAUAUUAAUUUGAGAGACUUAACCACACGUCUUGCAUGAUGGGUUGAUGUAAGUCUCGUACAAGCAGGUCAAACGCCUCACUUGAGGGACUCAUAGUCUCAUCAUCCAUGUUAUAUACAAUUCUUCCUGAAAGACUUGGAUUAUCCAUGAUACACUCUCGCCUAAGGGACUUAGCGUUUCCUCAAGAGGGACAAGAAUCAAGAAUCAUGUCUGAGAGGCGCGACAGAUGUACAACUUGAGAAACUUGAUCAAAAGUCUUUCCUGAGGGCUCGAUGGAAGUCUCGCCCAAGUAGGUCAAACGCCUCUCUUGAAAGACUCAUAGUAUCAUCAGUCGGGCUAUAUACAGUCAUGCCUGAAAGACGUAAAUUCUUCAAGAAAACUAAACUUUUUCUUGAGGGACUUAGUGUUACCUCAGGUGAGACAAGACUCAAGAAUCACACCUGAGAGGCGCAAUAGAUGUCCAUCUUGAGGGACUUGAUCACAAGUCAAGCCUAACGGCUCGAUAGAAAUCUCUCCCAAGCGGGUCAAAUGCCUCGCUUAAGGGACUCAUAGUCUCAUCGGCUGGACUAUAUACAAAUCUGCCUAAAAGACCUAGAUUCUCCAAGAUAAACUCUCUCUUGAGGGACUUAGUGUUUCCUCAGGCAUGACAAGACUCAAGAAUCACACCCGAGAGGCACGACAAAUGUCCAACUUGAGAGACUUGAUCAUAAAUCUUGUCUCAGGGGUCGAUGGAAGUUCCGCCCAAGAAGGCCAAACGCCUCACCUGAGGGACUAUAGUAUCAUUAGUCGGGCUAUAUACAAUUGUGCCUGAACGAAUUAGAUUCUCCAGGCCAAACUCUGGCCUGAGGGAAUUAGCGUUUCCUAGGACAGGGCAAGACUCAAGAGUCACGCCCGAGAGGCACGACAAAUAUCCAUCUUGAGAGACUUGAUCAUAUUUCUUGCUUGAGGACUUGAUGGAAGUCCCUCCCAAGUAGGUCAAAUGUAUCGCCUGAGGGACUCAUAGUCUCGUCAACUGGCUAUAUACAAUUCUGCCUGAAAGACUUAGAUUCUCCAGGCUAACUAAACUUUUGCCUGAGGAACUUAGUGUUUUCUUGGGUGGGACAAGACUCAAGAAUCACGCUUGAGAGACGCAACAUAUAUUAUCUUGAGAGACUUGAUCGUAUGUCUUUCCUAAGGGCUUGAUGGGAGUCCCACCCAACUAACUCAUAUGCCUCGCCUAAGAGACUCAUAGUCUCAUCAACCGGGUUGUAUACAAUUCUUCCUAAAAGACUUAAAUUCUCCAGGAUAACUAAAAUCUCGCAUGAGGGGCUUAGUGUUUCCUCAGGUAAGAGAAAACUGAAGAAUCAUGCCUGAGAGGCGCAAAAAAUAUCUAGCUUGAGAGACUUACUCACAAGUCUUGUCUAAGGGCUCGAUGAAAAUUUCGCCCAAGUAGGUCAAACGCCUGGCUUGGGGAACUUAUAGUCUCAUCAGUCAGGCUAAAUACAAAUCUGCUCGGGGGGCUAAUAGUCUUAAGUCGAUAAAAAACUUCAAUAAAGGAAAUAUAUCCUCGAGAAGCCCAAGUCCUCGAGAUACUACCCUAAGUCUCGAUCUAAAAACACGUUGUCUUUUAUCAAAGGUCUUAUGCUUGAGGAGCUAUGUAGUGUUAUAAUUGCAAAAGAGCCCACCAAGAGAUACGACAUUUUUGGGACAAAGAGAAGUCAAGGUCAAUAACUAACCCACGACUUCCUAAGAAAUAGGGAUUCAACGGUCCAUCAUUGAAUGAGUGGACGGUGACCCUUCCCAAGAGAAUCAUAGGCCCUAUAAGACAUAUAUAAAUACAUCUCAUGUGGAGGAGAAAUGAUAGAUCUUAUGUCAUACACAUAAUUAAACAAUAAAGCAUAGAGGUUACCAAAUAUCAUCUCUCAUAUGACCACACCCCUCGGAAGCUAUACUUAAGCACAUUGUCCAUCAAAAGGGUCUCUCGCCUUACGUGAGCAGAACUCCUAAACCAACAUACAACACCACCUCAUGGGACUUAUCGCCGUCAUGGACAAGUCCUAACCAGCCACAAUUAUUAUAAACCUACUAAGACCUUUGAGUCUCUCUGCCCCUACAAAGGAAACAAACACACAUUUACUUUUAACUAGUAACAAUAAAUAUAUAUAUAAUAUAUAUAUAUAUAUAUAUUAAUAGUAUAUAUAUAUAAUAUAUAUAUAUAAAUAUAAUAUAAUAUAUAUAUAUAUAUAUAUAUAUAUAUAAUAUAUAUAUAUAUAUAUAUAAUAUACCAAAUUACCCGACCUAAACCAACACAUACAUCACUGGGCUGGGUUAGUUUGAAUUUAUUGUAAAAAUAUUUUUUUGACUCAAAAGAAUUUAUUUUAUCUUAACUUUUAAUAAUAUAAUUUAUAAACCGUGUGAAUAUAUACUUUCUCAUAAUUUAUCAUUUAAAUGAAACUAACUAUUCUAAAUUUACUCUUUUCUUUUAAUAUAAUAUUCUAAAUUUACUUCUAAAAUAUCAUUAUCAAACACCACAGUUUUUAACCUAAGUUGUUUUUUUUAAUUUAAUUAUUUAUUAAACACCAAUAACUUUCAAAUGGUAAUUGAGAAAAAACAUAAAAUCUCUUUUGAUCUUUAAAAACUGAGUAGUAUAAUUUUAAAAAAUACUAUCAAGUUAAUUUUUUAUAAGAUGGUUUUUUGAGGUAUUUUAGUCGUAUAGAUACUACUUUAACCAACAUUUGAAAUUUAUUAAGAAAUUGAUAGUUUUUGUUUUCACAUAACAACUAUAACAACUUUGAAUUUAUAAGGGAGAGAAUAUGGAUGUGUGUGAAUGAAUGAUACAAAAUGAAAUACUUGAAUGGUAAAUUUUUCACUCUAAAAUACUGUGUAUUUGGUUCUACUGCAGAGAAAUUUAAUUUUGAGUAAAUCGAUUAGAUAAAAGUGAUUUUGAUUAAAAGUAAGUUGAAGAUAAAAUGAUAUAAAUUUGAAUAAAUUUUUUGUAAAAGUGAAUUAAAUAAUAAAUUUUAACAUAAAAACUACAUUAACUCAAAAAUAAUUAGAUAUGUAAAAAUUAAUUUUUUUAUAUCAAUAAUCAAUUAUGAUUGCUCAAAUACACGUAAUUUUAAGAAUUUUAGUGUGUAUGCGUGUUUAUCCAACAAUUCUUUGUAUUUCAUGUAUUUUUUUUUCAAAAGAUUUAUUAAAGUUUUUGAGCUCUUUAAUCCUCAUACACUCAAUGAACUUUAACUCCCUUUGAUGUUCUAUACUCGACAUAUGCUUCUUCAUUUUGUUAUUUGUAUCUUUUACUGAAACAAUUUUUUUAAUUACCUCUUUCCCACACUCGACUUGUUCCACUUCUGUUUGAUUCCUCUAAGGUCUCAUUUCGCUGGCCUCUAGAAUGCAGUGAGUUUAUAAAUUCAAAUAUAAGACAUUUAAACCACGAUAUUGCCCUGUCUUACAACAUAAGGACAAAUAUCUUAUAUUUUUGUGACUCUUUGGCCCCUUAGAGAGUAAAGAUGGUGUCCACAAUUUUGUUAUGGCUUUCGGACUCUGUCGUUCUGUUAUGGGAUCAGUUCUUUAAAGUUUCUGGAGGUACAUAAAGAUAAAGAUGUGAUAUCUAUUGACUCAAGAAGUGAAAGUAUUUCACCUUAGGGUAUCUUCUUCCCCUAAGAUUAUUACGAAGAGGUUGACAAUGCUUAGCAUAUCUCAUGAUUGUCGUGCAUUUAAUUAUCCCGAGAAGGCUUCGAUGAUAAAUACAUUUGUGGCGAUGAACGCGUAAGUUAAUAUGGAAUAUGUAUGUUGUUGUUAGAUCUAGAGGGAUCAUAACGUCUUAGAUGUGUUUGUUAGUCGUCAUAAGUGAAACAAAGUAUUUUUCAUGUCCAAUUGAGUUACAUCAAAACCUAUCUUCAGGGUCUCACUCACUAUCCUAAUCCGUGAUAUUUUCCUAUGAAAGCAAAAUGCCUCUUAGUAAAUUAUUAUUUUUGUUUCAUCGUUGAAACCUUGUGGACCUCUUCCUCUUGGGGAGGACCCUUAUGUUUCUCCGAGUAUACCGAUACUCCAUAAGAUGACGAUGAAGCAGUUAAUUUGCCUUCAGGCUCCUUGUUCAACCUCACAAUCUUAUUAGCAAUAAUAAAGCAAGACUAUAAGUUCUUCCUAAUUAUGAUAGUAGUUGAUCCUUUUUUUAUUCACCAUUAUAAAAAAUGUUAAAAAAUGUUAAAAUAUUGGAUGACAAAGUGACAUUCUAAAAUUUAUUAAAUUACUUAACUUGUGUGAAAUUAUAACUUAUAUUUUAAAUCAAAGUGAAUACUAACUCACUUAAACUUUAUUCAAUAAAAAAAAACAAAGUGAUUGCAUUCUAUUGAGACGAUUACAUGGAUGUCAGCUAGAGAUGCCUCAUAGCAUAAUUAAUUAUUUUAUUCUAUAUCUCUUUUCUUUGGCGCAUGGGUAAAUUCGUUGACGUGUUGUUAAAAUUAUUUUUCAUAAUAAUAUUUUUAAUCUUUAACAUAGCAUUAAGUGUACAUGUGAAUAAGAUCCAAAGAAAUUUUAGAAAAGUUUUCGGAAUCUUAAUAAUUGAUUAUUAGUAAUCGUCGUCCCUUUGGCACGACAAAAAGCCGCCACAGCUGAACAUAGAUUAUAAUUGAAUAUCCCUGUCAACAAAAUUAAGUUAAAUAUGAUUAACAUUGACAUAAUAGAAUAUAUAAAUAUUUAAUUAAUUAAUGAUAAGUGUUUUAGUUUUUAAAAAAACUAAUGAUAAGUAGACGUACACCACGAAAAUUGGAAAGGUAGGUUUGGUUUUCAAACUAACUUAUUUUCUAUAAGUUGGUUUUGUUAGGUACUUGUUAGUUACUAUUAACACCCACCACAUGAUGAAAGCAUGCAAUAUUUUUUAGUGGAAGUAAUGGACCCUAUUCAUUAUUCUUUCAACUCUUGAAACUACUAUUAUCAAUUUAUUCUUAGGUAUAUGAGGCUGAUUCUAAUUUUCUAUUGGAAUUAAAUUUGGUCGGCUAAAGAUUCUAAUUCGUUACAAAGUGCUUUUCAAUAUCAUACCACUUGGCUCACAUGUGGUUGGAGGAAGUGAUAAGAAAGUCUCAAAUGACUUAAUAGUAAUACUUCCUGGUUAGAAAUAAGGAAAUUCAAUCAAAGAUUUUUUAUAUCAAAAGAGUAAUUUUUUCUCCUUUUUUGUUUUUGAUUUUUGUUAUAGGAUAAUAUUUUUAUGAAAAAUUAAAACAUAAUAAUAGAUUAAUAUGUAGUGAUAUAGAAUUCUUCACAUUUAUAUGAAUCUUGAGAAUUAAAAAAAAUGAUAAAUCGAACAAAUAUACACACAAAAGAACACUGAUAUUUUAACGUGAAAAAUUCUUCAAUAUAAGAGUAAAAAAUAUGAGACGUCCAGACCAAAGAGAUAACUCUACUAUCAUCAAUUAAGGGUACAAGAGAAUCUUAAAAUGAUUCACAAACUAGUGUUAACAAUCGCAAACACAAAACAAACUAACUUACAAAUAAGAAUCAAAAUGCUGUAAAAAUUUCUUAAAUCUACAGCUUCAGUGCGAAGCAGAUAUCUCUUACCUCAUACCUUGUUUUGAAAUUUUGAACUGUCAAAAGUUAGAUACAUGUGUUACGAAUCUGCCCUCCAAAUUUGAGCUCGAUCCGACAGUUAAUGAAUCGAGGAUCGUCGAUUUAGUGAGAAUGGUUUUAGAAAAACAAGAAUAAAUUUCUCUUUUUUGAAUCCUUAUUUUCUCUCUAUCUCUCUCAAUCCUAAAUUGAUCAUCUCUAUUUAAAUAAGUGAGACGAAUAAGCUAAUUAUAUUUGGGGAUUAAUUACUAUGCACUGUUAGUGUAAAAAAAUUUACACGGUUGAUUCAUACUAGGGGUGGCAAAACGGGCUCGGCCCGCGGGGCAUGCCCGUUUUGCCCGCACUUUUGUGCGGGGCGGGCCAAGGAUUUAGGCCCUCACCCUCAAAUGUGUCCACCCCGCCCCGCCCCGUUUUUUUCGCGGGCUUUUGCGGGCACGUGUAUUUACAUAAAUUUUUGUAUUUUUAGGCUUAAAGAGUGCAGUGCCCGCGGGCUUUCCCCGCCCCGCCAUCACUUUUUUGCGGGGCGGGUCUAAGUUUUAGGCUCGCAUCCUCAACUAUUACCGCCCCGCCCCGCCCCGUUUUUUUGCGGGCUUUUGCGGGGCGGGCCUAAACGGGGCGGGCAUGCCCGUUUGCCACCCCUAAUUCAUACCAUCACCCGUUUGCAUUACUUUAUACUCCCUCCGUUCCUUUUUAAGUGUCACUUUUUUUUUUAAAAUUGUUUCUUUUUAAGUGUCGUUUCAAAGUUCAAUGUAGUAUUAAUUGUUGUAUUGUCAAAAUUAUCCCUAAUCAUUUAUUAUAUAUAGAGAAAAAGAUUAAAUAAAUUACUAAAAAGUUAAGGAUAUUGAAGGAAAAAACAUAAUCAUUGUUUAAAAAGUAAUAACAAUUAUUAAUUGUCUUGGUACGUGUAAAAUGUCAAAAAAACGACACUUAAAAAGGAACGAGGGGAGUAAGUUUUUAAAAUAAAAGUCAAACUUGUUUUAAUAUUCAAUGUUAUGAUUAACUGAUGGUGUAAAAUCUUUUUACACUAUCAGUGUAUUUCAAUUAAAUUCUUAUAUUUGGGUUUUUCUCCACAUAGGAAUGAAGCUCAAACUCAACACCACAUUCCCACAAUAUUUAAGGAGAUCCACAAACAUCAAAUCUUAAAUUUUAUAAAAAAUGUGUUUUGAUUAAAACUAUGACACUAAUAUGUUAUUGGUAUUUUUUUAUAAGAUUGGGUACUUGAAUAGUGAAACGAUACAAUGAAACAAAAUAAUAAAAUAAUUAUUGUGUAUCAUUGUCCACUGAUUAGUCUCAUUUUCUAAUAUAUAUAUNUAAGUUAAAUAAUAUGGUCGGGUUCAGGAAAUCUGCAAGACGAUGAGUACUUCCACGAUCUCCGGCCUGAAUUGUCAUCGCUAUACCUUUUUCUUCCAUUCCCAUUUAUCCACGGGAAAAAAUUUCUGAAUUCGGAGCCUCAAAAAGAUAAUUCUCACGGGAUCCCCAUUAACAUAUGCAAAUAGAUAUUCCUAGUUAAUAGAACAAAUAACUAGUUUUUAGAGAGAGAGAAUUCUAUUCAAUUAAAAUAUUUCUAAUAUAAUGCUAAUUGUGAUUAAAUAACACAAUUACUUCUUCCAAAUUGAUUUACCUUCUAAUUUAGUAAAUUAAUAAAAUUACUUAAGUAUAACUAACUUAUAACUACUCAUCCAUCUAGAUAACAAUCAAAUAAGGCUCGUUGGUUAGACUGUGCAACGAACCUUGAUUGAUUCUAGGAUAACAUUGAUCAACAUUGAUUACUAAUCCUAAAAUAAAUCAAAUGUGACAAUUUCAGUUUCUCUUCUAAAAUUUAGGAAUUAGUCUUUCUUGAAAACUGAAGGUGAGAAAAACAAGAAAGGGGGGUUUGAAUUGUUUUGGAAAAUAAGCGCUUUUUCAAAAUAAAAACCACAUAAGGAAUUUAUACUGGUUCGCUUAUAACACAAAGCUACUCCAGUCCACCCGGCCAAGGUGAUUUCGCCUUCAACAAGGACUUAAUCCACUAAUCUUGAAAGAUUGUUUACAACCAACGUCUAAGAGAAAUAUCCUCUUAGUCCGUCUCAAGUAUAUUCAGACCUGCGCAGUAUGCACUUGAGGAAAUAAAACAACUUAGAUAAAAUAGAGUUUGUAAUCUAGAGUGCUUCUAGGAUAAAGCAAAUAUUACAAUGGUGAUAGCAAAAAGAAUGUUUCACGUAUGAGCAAAAACUCGUGAAAGAUUUGGAGAGAGAGAUUGAUAAUUUCAGUGUACUUGCGUGUCUCUCAAUGAUGAUUGUUGUCCUUUAUAUAGAGGUGAAAGGACCGUUGAAAUUGAUGGCUGAUAAUAUGUCUUGAAUAAGAAUUAAUGUCAUAACUUCUGUUGUUUCUUGCCAAAACAACUUUGUCUCCCUGAGUAACUUCUUUCCAAAUAUAGUUCCUUCCCAUUUGAAUUUGAAGUUAACGUUACUUUUUCUGAAAUAGGAAACCCACUAUCAAAGUCUGCGUGACUCUGGGAAUCUUGCAAUCUUGCUGUGUUGAUUCGGAGCUUCUGAUGUUUAUCUUAAGGAGUUCUGACGAUGUCUACAGAUGACGCUGAGAGCUUCUGGAAUGAUAUACCGUUGUUCAGAGUCAGAACUUCUAGAGUGCACUUCUUCUUCAGAUGCUUCUGAUGUUCUGCUGUUUUGUAUCUGAUAUGGUUCUGUAUCUGAUAACGUCAUCAGAUUUCUUCCUUCUUUCUUUAGAACCCUGCACACUUAGAAACUUUUCGUUAGGGUGCCAUUUUUGGUUUCAUCCUUUGUUAUCAUCAAAAUCAUGGAAUCUGAUGAAGAACAAUUUUUGUUCUUACAAGAAAACUUUGUUGAACAUGUCAGCUAAUUGAUCUUGAGUAUAACAACACUCCACUAUAAGUUUAUCUUGAUUUACUUUUUCUUAAUGAAAAUCAAACAUUGCCACAAUGAGCUUGUUUUUCCCAUGGAAAUGAUAUUUCUUACUAGAUUGAUGGUUUACUUGUUAUCUAUCUUCAAAUUUAUUACAAUGUUAGCACUCAUCUUUAACGUAUUCAUGAGAUAUUUAUGAAGGAAAAUUGUGAUCCAAGACGUAGCGAUUUUUUUUAGUGAUCCUUACGAAUGGGCAUGAUCAGUGAUAGAAACCGUUACCUCUUGUGGGGAUUGAAACCUUUGAGGCAGAUCUAAAGAGUAAUCACGAGCGUUGAAUGGUGACAAUGUCUCUACUCAGUCCAUACGAACAGAUUCCUUCAGUCUCAGUGCUAGCUGCUACGAAUGAAGGUUUUGAGUUAGUGAGUGAGAGAGAGAGAGAGAGAGUGUGUGUGAGAAACGAAAUUUCAUCUAGUCGAAUGAUUCUACACAAGGGUUCUAUUUAUAGAACCACAUGUGUGAGCUGCAAGCUAAAAAGGCCAUUUUAGUCUAUGUGGCCCAUAUCUUAUAGUAUACCGAAAACCACUUAAGUGUGUAGUACCUUACCACAUUUCGUGUUUUAUUUAAGUGCACCGUAUCUUAUGAUGUUCUACAAUUUACUUAUGUGCACUGUACCUUACGGUGUUCCUUAUUUACUCUUUCUCUCAUCAAUCUGUCCUUUUGUGUGUGACCCUGUAGGUUUUCGUGACAUUGACAAUUAUAUUAAAUCACAUACUUAACAUAAUAAAUAGUGAGCGGUAUCUAGAAACACAUCACUGCUACUCAAGACACGAAAAUGUCAUGUGAUAUGAUAAAUCCUUUUUGUGAUAAUACAUGUGUGUACAAUUACCUUUUUUGCCGUUAUGUCUAUAUUGAACAUAAGGCAUAGACCAUGUCAUCCUUGUCCAGUUCAAUAUUUGGCCCUUAGACAUUUAUCAUGUUAUGCAGGAUGGGAAAAUUCCAUCUAGGUCACUCAUGUCCCUCAACAUGCUUCGUGGAAUACCCCAUCAGUUGUCUUUAUGGUCAUCCAGUUACGAACAACGUUUGAUCAACAAUAAAGCACUCGACUCUACAUCUAGGGUCCAUAGUGGUUUCAGGUCGAAGGGUGGUAUACACCACUAUCACCAUGAGAAUAACUUAUGACACUUUACAUAACAUUCUAUGUAGUAUUCUCAUAGUGAGUCAAUCCAGUAUAAAUAUUACUCAUAAUAUUCAUACCUAUGUUUAAAACUUGAUAACUCCUUAUCCAUGAUCCAUGAUAUGUGAUCACCAGUCUAUAUACAUAAUAGUCUUAAUGCUUUAAUGUUAUCCCACUUUACAACAAAGCUCGACUACAGAUACUUUAAGAAUAAUGUCCUUAUGUUUAAUGAGAUCUCAUGAUUAAGUCACACUUGAUACAUUAAACGGACUAGCUAUUCUAGGGACUUUAUUAAACAAACAUAAUAAAGAAAGCCUUUUAUUAUUAAUAAAUAAUUCGAUACAAGUACCAAAAGUAUUGGCCUCUAGGGCUUACACCAACAAUCUCCCACUAGCACUAGAGCCAAUCAGGCAUACCUCUAAUACCCAUAGAUCUAGUAUGAUCAUCAUGUUUCUGCUGCGCAAGAGGCUUUGUCAGUAGGUCAGUAAUAUUGUCAAGUGUAGGUACUCUGCAUAUUUUCACAUCUCCUAUAUCUAUUAUCUCUCGAAUGAGGUGAUAAUGCCUAAGUAUGUGUUUGGAUCGUUGGUGAGAUCUAGGCUCCUUAGCUUGUGCGAUAGCACCAUUGUUAUCACAAUAGAGAUAAAUGGGAUCCACAAUGCUAGGAACUAUGCCAGUGUUUGGAUCGUUGGUGAGAUCUAGGCUCCUUAGCUUGUGCGAUAGCACCAUUGUUAUCACAAUAGAGAUAAAUGGGAUCCACAAUGCUAGGAACUAUGCCAAGUUCACUAAUGAACUUUUUGAUCGAAACAACUUCCUUUGCUGCACUUGAGGAAGCAUUAUCCUCGGCCUCGGUUGUAGAAUCAAUAAUUGUAUCUUGCUUUGAAUUUUUCCAGCUCAUAGUGCCACCGUUUAAGCAGAACACUUAACUAGAUUGCGAUCUAAAGUCAUUCGUAUCUGUUUGGAAGCUAGCAUCGGUGUAUCCAAUUACAACAAGAUCUUCCUGACCUCUAUAUAUCAAGAAUGAGUCCUUAGUCCUUCUCAAAUACUUAAGGAUAUUCUUGACAGCUACCCAAUGAGCAUCACCGGGAUCAGAUUGAUACCUACUCGUUGCACUUAAAGCAUACAAGACAUUUGGUCGAGUACAUAACACGACAUACAUGAUAGAUCAUAUUGCAGAUGCAUAUGGAAUCUUAUUCAUGUGAUCCCUUUCUUCCUUAGUUGAAAGGGAUUAUAUUUUUGAUAGACACGAGCCAUUUUGCAUAGGUAUGAAUCCUUUCUUAGAAUCAUGCCUAUUAAAGCGUCUCAACACUUUGUCUAUGUAUGUGCUCUGACUUAGGCCAAGCAGUUUUUGUGAUCUAUCUCUAGAUCCCGAUUCCUAAUAUAUAGGCUGCUUCACCUAGGUCCUUCAUAAAAAACAUUUCCCUAAUUGAGUCUUUACUUGUUCCAGGUUAGGGACAUUAUUUCCAAUGAGUAAUAUGUCAUCUACAUAUAAUACCAGGAAGACGAUCAUGCUCCCACGAACCUUCUUGUAGACACAAGGCUCAUCUUCAUUCUUGAUGAAUCCAUAUUACUUUUCUGUUUCAUCAAAAUGAAGAUUCUAACUUCUGGAAGCUUGCUUCAAUCCAUAGAUUGAUCUCUGUAACUUGCAUAUCUUUUGGGCUUCUUCUGGUAUGUCAAAUCCUCCAGGUUGUGUCAUGUACACAUCCUCAAGAAGAUUCCAUUUAAGGGAAGCAAUUUUGACAUCCACCUUCCAUAUUUCAUAAUCAUGAUAUGCAACGAUAACAAGUAAAAUCCGAAUAGAUUUAAGCAUUGCAACUGGUGAAAAGGUUUCAUCACAGUCAACCCCAUGAAUUUGUUUAUAUCCUUUUGCAACCAGUCUUGCCUUAUAGGUAUGUACCUUACCAUCCAUGCCAGCCUUCUUUUUAAAGACCCACUUGCAUCCUAUAGGGUUAACUCCUACAGAAGGCUCUACCAAGGUCUAAACCUGGUUUGUGUACAUGGAAUCCAUUUCAGAUUUCAUGACCUCUAGCCACUUCUCAGACUCAGGACCAGUCAUGGCAUCUUGGUAGGUCACAGACUCAUCUAGAUCCAUGAGUAAUACAUCACCUUGAUCAUUUAUGAGAUAUCCAUAUCUCUCAGGUAGGUGACGUAUCCUGCUUGACCUACAAUGGUCUUGUUCUACUUGAGUAGGUUGCUCUUCCACAACUACUUGUGUUUCCUGCUCUAAUUCCUCCAUAGGUGUAUCAAUGCUUUGUGAUUUUUGAAUUUCUUAAAGCUCUACUUUCCUCCCACUUAUUCCUUUGGAAAUAAAAUCCGUUUCUAGGAAAACUCCAGUUCGAGCGACAAACACUUUGCCCUCAGAAGGAUUGUAGAACUAAUACCCUCUUGUUUCUUUAGGAUACCUCACAAAUAAGCAUUUGUCAGAUUUGGGAUCAAGCUUAGUUGAAAUUUGUCGUUUCACAUAAACUUCGCAACCCAACUCUUCAUGUAAGACAUAUGUGGUUUCUUACCACUCCAUAUCUCAUAUGGUGUCUUCUCAACCUUUUGGAUGGAACAUAGUUAAGUGUGUAAGUUGUUGUCAAUAGUGCAUGUCCCCAAAAGGAGUUUGGAAGAUUGACGUGACUCAUCAUGAAUUGAACCAUGUCUAACAUGGUUUGAUUUCUUCUCUCAGAUACACCGUUCCAUAGGGGUGUUCCAGGAGGAGUAAGUUGGGAUAGAAUCCCACACUCUUUGAGAUGGUCAUCAAACUCUAGGCUUAAAUAUUCACCAUCUCGAUCUGAUCGAAGAGUUUUAAUAUUCUAACCUAGUUGGUUUUGUACUUCAUUCUUGAAUUCCUUGAACUUUUCAAAGGACUCUGAUUUGUGUUUCAUUAAAUGCACAUAACCAUAUCUACAUAAAUCAUCAGUAAAUGUGAUGAAGUACUGAAAACCUCAUCUUGUUGGUAUGUUCAGUGGUCCACAUACAUCCGUAUGUAUGAGGUUCAAAAGAUCAUUAGCUCUUUCACCUUUUCUUGUGAAUGGAGACUUUGUCAUCUUUCCAAUUAAACAAGAUAUGCAUGUCUCAUAUGAUUCAUAAUCAAAAGAGUCUAAGAGUCCAUCUUUAUGGAGUUUGGAAAUGUGUUUCUCAUUUAUGUGGCCUAAUCGAUAAUGCCAAAGGUAAGUUGGAUUUAACUCACUAGGUUUCAUCCUUUUAGUAUUAAUUUUAUAAAUAGGCAUUUCAAGAUCAACGACAUAUAGUCCAUUGUUCAUUUGUGCAUUGGCAUAGAAUAUAUCAUUCAAAUAAAUGGAGCAACAAUUGUUCUUUAUUAUGAAUAAAAAACCGAACUUAUUCAAACAAGAAACGAAAAUAACAUUCCUGCUAAUUACAGGUACAUAAUAAUAGUUCUCUAACUGAAUUAUUAAACCACUAGGUAAAGUCAAUACAUAAGUUCCUACGGCUAAAGCAGCAACCUUUGCUCCAUUACCAACUCGUAGGUCAACUUUGUAACACCCCGAUUAAAAUAAGAGAAUUAUUUAAUUGAGUUAAUAUUAUUUUAUUAAUUUAAUUAAAUAAACUUGAAUUAUUGGAUUAUUUUUAUUAUUACUAUAGAUGUUAUUUAUUUUAAUAAUAAUUAAAUAAAUAAAAUAAAUGGAAUAUGAAGAGUGGAAGGGUAAAAGUGGAAAUUGGAUAAAAGAGGCCGCGAAGUGAGGACUCAGGUUGUUUUCACGUGUUUUGCCUCAGAGUCAGAAAGGGGGAGAAACGCUGAAGAGAAGAGAAGGAAGAGGAAAAGGAAAGAUUGCUCAGAGCUUCCUUCAAUCCAAGAGGUAAGGGGUCUGAACCUUAUUAAACAAUAAUAUGCUGAAAUUGGUGAAAUAUUGGAUGAACGAAAAUGGGUUUUAAUCAAAGGAAUUCGUAGAAAUUAAUUGCAAUGAUGUUAGGAUUUGUGAAAUCGAAUAGGGGACUAUUUGUAUUAGAUGAUAUGAGUGAUUUGUGUGAAAUUUGGACUGUGGAAGGAUGAAUUGGAUAGUCUCGUAGCAGAAAAGCCAUUGCAGAUCUGGAAAUCUGGUUUCUGGUCAUACGCGUAUGGCACUAGGCAAUACGCGUAUGAGAUUGCUGGUACGCGUAUGGCACUAGGCAAUACGCGUAUGGAUGAGGAAGAUGAUGUUUGAACGUGUUUUGGUCUCUGUUGUACGCGUAUGGGAAUGUGAUACGCGUAGCAUACGCGUAUGGACAAUGGGCAAUACGCGUAUGAAUUUGGUCAGGGCGUGGGUAAUACGCGUAUGAGCAUAGGCAAUACGCGUAUGGGCAGACUUGUGGUCUUUCCUGGGCUGUUGUUGUGCAGUUUUUGGUUGUUUAGGCUGAGCGAGGUAACUUAGCUGAUGCAUGGUAUACGAGGGAUCAUUUCCCGUUGCUUUGAGUGGUAUAGAUAUUAGUAGAGUGUGAUAAUACUGUGUUUGAUUAUGUGGCAUGAUGUAUAUGCUUUUGUGAUAGAAUGUGUUAAUGAUGAUGAUAACAUGACUAUAUGAUGCUGUUGUUGCUAUGUUGAUUAUGAUGCAUGCUUGUGUGCAUGCAUUCAUGAAAGGCCGAUGCCUAGUGAUGAACGGACUGAGUUCCAAUGAUGUUGUUGACUCCGGCUUGUUGAGGGCUUGGUUCUUGGCGGGACUCGGAUUCUAUGGUGGUGAAUCUGGGAGUGGGUGUCCUGUAGUUGGUCACAAAUGGGUAUACCGAGUCGUGUUGAGUCUAGCAUGGGUGUGUGCAUUGCCAUUUGAUAUGUUGUUUGUUGAUGUCAUGACUAUGUUGAUUAUGAUGAUUAUGAUGAGCUGUGUUGGCAUAUGUGAAAUAUAUUUAUGUUUAUAUUUCUGUCGUUAUAUUAUUAUUUUAAUAAUGUAAUUCUCACCCCUUCUGCAUGUGUUUAUGUUCAUCUAUGAUGAGCAAUGUGCAGAUAAAGAGGAGUAGCUAUUGUGAGGUUUGAAGAAUAAGUGUAGAGUUAUUCUACAGAGUCGAGUCAAAUGCUCUGGUCAUGUGCACCGGGUUAUGGGAUUCGAUAGAUAAUUGAUUAUAUUUACGUGUUUAUGAUGACUAACAUGUUGAGAUGUUUGUUGAGAUAAUGUUGAACCAUUAUUAUGAAUUGUUAUAUGAUGAAUGAUAAUAUUAAUAUUGUUUGUCCGCUGCGAAGUUUAAUAAAAUAAUAUAUGUUUUAUUGUUGUGAUGCGAUAAUUGUUAUGUUGUAAGAAAUGUACACUCUUCUACAUGUUGUACUCUGAUAAUCUAUUUAAAUAUGUCGUUUGGGUAGAAGGGUGUUACAUUAGUGGUAUCAGAGCAUGGUCAGUCCAGUCGAGUCAUAUGUGAUGUUUUCCCUGUUGGUCGAUUAGUGUAAAUGACACUGUCGAUAUUUAACGUUGUAGUUGUGUCGUGCAGAGAUAUGGCUGGAGAAAAUGACCGUGGCGAUUGCUGAGGCUUGGCUACUAUGGCGCAGCUAUGCAGGCGCAGCAGAAUCCGCGGUCGACGAGUUUAGGAAUUUGGGAAGGUUUCUGAAGAACAACCCUCCUACAUUCAAGGGCGCUAUGAUCCAGAUGGUGCUCAGAUUUGCUGAAGGAUAAUUGAGAGAUUUCCGGGUGAUGACGUGUACUGAAGCACAGAAGGUGCAGUUUGGUACGCAUAUGUUAUCUGAAGAGGCUGAAAACUGGUGGGAUAACAACUCGACAGAGGGUUGAAGUACCAGGUGCUGAGAUGACUUGGGAAAGAUUCAAGACGGCCUUUCUGGAGAAAUAUUUUCCUGCUGAUGGCGAGUAAGAAGAGAAUGGAAUUUCUGGGACUGAAGCAGGGUAACAUGUCUGUUGCUGAUUACGCUUCGAAGUUUGAGGAGCUGUGCAGUAUUGUCCUCAUUAUAAUAAUGCUGAGUGGAGGAAUCCAGAUGUGUCAAGUUUGAGAACGGGUUGCGUCCCGAGAUCAAACAAGGCAUUGGUUACCAGGAGAUUCGUAGGUUUCCUACACUGGUUAACAAGUGCAGGAUAUUUGAUGAGAGGCAAGGCUAGGACUGCUCACUACAAGAGUCUUAGUGAGAAGAAGAAUAAGGAUCGUGGUAGUCCUUAUGCAUCUCCGAAUGUAAAGGUAAGCAGAAAGUGGUAGAUGCGAAGAAGCCAAGUGGGGAGGAUCCGCCCUAAGCUGGUAAAUGUUUCAAGUGUGGCGAGGCCAGGCCACCGUGCUGAUAGCGUUACCAAGAAAGUGCUGAGAUGUUUCGAUGCGGUCAGGCUGGUCAUAGAGUUACGGAAUGUAAGGAUGCUGGUCCGACAUGUUUUAAUUGUGGCGAGAAGGCCAUAUCAGUUCGCAUGUGCUCGAAACCGAAGAAGGCGGCUACUGCAGCUCAUACUACUGGUAGGGUGUUUGCUCUGAGUGGGGCUGAAGCUCCUAAGAAGAUAAUCUGAUUAAAGGUACUUGCUUGAUUAAUAAUGUUGAAUUGCUUGCUAUUGUUGACACUGUGCUACUCAUUCGUUUAUUUCGUAUGAGUUGCGGCCAGGAUUGGUGUGAUUAUGUCGUCCCUAGGCGGAAGUAUGGUGAUGAUACUCCCUGCUAAUGGUUCUGUGAAGACUUCUGUUGUCUGUCGAGGGUUUGUCAGUUGACGAUCUUUGAGAGAGAGUUCGGGUUGAUUUGGUGUGCUUACCCUAGCACCAAAUUGAUAUUAUUCUGGGAAUGAAUUGGCUAGAAUUCUAUGGCGUGUUUAUCAACUGCUAUAGGAGAACGGUGGCGAUUUCUGAAGUUGGUGAGAAUGAUGAGCAAGAUUUCUAUCUGCUAAGCAGGUGGGGGGAUUUUGUGAAAAAUGAAGCUCAGAUAUUCGCUUUAUUUGCGCUCUGCAAUCGGAUAAGAAAGUGGUGAGUGUAGAUUUGCCUGUUGUCUGUGAAUUUCAAGAUGUUGUUCGGAGGAUGUAAGUGAAUUACCUCCAGAACGUGAAGUCGAAUUUGCCAUUGACUUAGUACCAGGUACGAGUCCAGUGUCGUGUCUCCUUAUAAGAAUGUCGGCAACUGAAUUAGUUAAUUGAAGAAGCAACUUGAAGAAUUGCUUGAGAAGAAGUUUGUGGCGUCCAAGUGUUUCUCCUUGGGGUGCACCAGUAUUGUUAUGAAGAAAGAAAAAGAAGGUACGAUGAGGUUGUGUGUCGAUUACCGGCAGUUGAAUAGGGUGACUAUCAGAAUCGGUAUCCAUUGCCGAGAUUGAUGAUUUGAUGGACGCAGUUGGUUGCAGCCCAUUUUUCAGUAGAUUGAUUGGCGUCGGGUUAUCAUCAGAUCCGAGUGAAGUCAGACGAUAUUGCGAAGACUGCUUUCCGUACGAGGUAUGGUCACUAUGAAUACACUGUGAUGCCGUUCGUGUAUCUAAUGCUCCAGGUGUGUUUUAUGGAAUAUAGAAUCGUAUAUAUUCAUCCGUACCUUGAUAAUUUGUGUGGUGUUCAUAGAUGAUAUAUUGAUAUAUCCUAAGACGGAAGAAGAGCAUGCAGGAACUCUGAGAAUUGUUUUGCAGGUGUUAAGAGAAAAGAAAUUAUAUGCAAAGUUAUCUAAAUGUGAGUUCUGUUGAAGGAAGUGAGUUUCUCUUGGCCAUGUGAUUUCGAGUGGUGGAUUUCUGUUGAUCCUGCUAAAGUUGAUGCCGUAUUUACAGUGGGGACUCGAAGUCUGCUAGUGAUACGCAGUUUUCUGGGGUUAGCUGGUUAUUAUCGCAGAUUUAUGAGGGCUUCUCUAGGUUGGCAUUGCGUUGACGCAGUUGACAAAGAAGGGUCAAGUGUAUGUGUGGGAUGCAGCUUGUGAAGCGAGUUUUGUUGAGUUGAGAGGCGGUUGCCAGUGCUCCAGUGUUGAUCUUGCUAAUCCUGGUGAGUCCUUCGUUGUUUAUUGGGAUGCUUCUUUUGAUGGUCUUGGUGGUGUUUUGAUGGCAGAAUGGCAAAGUUGUAGCUUAUGCUUCUAAGCAGUUGAAAGUUCAUGAGAGGAAUUAUCCUACGCAUGAUCUAGAACUUUGCAGCUGUUGUAUUUGUGUUGAAAAUGUGGAGGCAUUAUCUGUAUGGUUCCAGAUUCGAAGUGUUUAGUGAUCACAAGAGUCUGAAGUAUCUGUUUGAUCAGAAAGAGUUAAAUAUGAGGCAGAGAAGGUGGUUAGAAUUACUGAAGGAUUUGACUUUGAAUUGAGUUCAUCCUGGUAAGGCUAAUGUAGUUGCAGAUGCGCUGAGUAGAAAGUCUCUACAUAUGUCUAUGAUGAUGGUUCGGGAGCUUGAGUUAAUUGAACAGUUCCGUGAUAUGAGUUUGGGUUGUGAAGUUUCCGCUGAUAGUGUAAAGUUGGGUAUGCUGAAGUUGACUAGUGAAUUCUGGAAGUAUUCGGAAUGGUCAACAAGUUGAUGUCGCUCUAGUUGAUCAUAUUACUAUGGUUAACCAGGGUAAUGGUGGUAAUUUUGAGAUUUAUGAAAUGGCAUCACUGGCGAUUUAAAGUAGAGUUUGUGUUCCUGAGGUGUCUGAAUUGAAAAGGUAUUCUUGAAGAGGGCCAUAGGAGGUGGAUUGAGUAUCCUCCAGGUGCAACUAAAAAUGUAUCAAAUUUGAAGAAGUUGUUUUGGUGGGCUGGUAUGAAAGAUGGUUGCUAAGUUGUGUAUGCCUGUUUGACUUGUAGAAUCAAAGAUUGAACAUACAGAAACCGGCGGUAUGAUGCAACUUUGAAGAUUCCUGAAUGGAAGUGGAUAGCAUUUCCAUGGAUUUUGUGACGGGAUUGCGAGGACGGUGAAAGGUAAUGAUUCUAUUGGGUGAUUGUGGAUCGAUUGACUAAGUCGGCGCAUUUCUUGCCAAAUGAAGAUUAAUCCUCUUUAGAGAAGUUGGCAAGUUGUAUAUUGAGGAAAUAGUGAGGCUGCAUGGUAUUCCAUCCAGUAUUGUGUCUGAAGAGAUCCCAGAUUUACUUCUAGAUUUUGGAAGUUUGCAGAAAGCGUUGGGAACUAAGUUGAGGUUGAGUUCAAGCUUAUCACCUCAGACUGAUGGUCAGACCGAAAGAACUAUCCAAUCCUUGAGGAUUGUGUUGAGGCUUGUGUGUUGGAGCAGAGUGGUCCUUGGGAUAGUUAUUUGCCGUUGGUGGAGUUUACUUAUAAUAAUAGUUUUCAUGCUAGUAUCGGUAUGGCUCCAUAUGAAGCAUUGUAUGUAGGAGUGUAGAAACUCCAUUGUGUUGGUAUAAAUCAGGUGAGAGUGUUGUACUCGGACCUGAGAUUGUGCAGCAGACGACUGAAAGGGUUAAGAUGAUUCAGAGAAAUGAAGAUUUCUCAGAGUCGUCAGAAAGAGUUAUCAUGAUAACAGGAGAAAGGCACUUGAGUUCCAAGAGGGAAUCAUGUGUUCUUGAGAGUUACUCCGACGACAGGUGUGGGUAGAGCUUUAAAGUCUAAAAAGCUUACUCCGAGGUUGUGGGUCCGUAUCAGAUUUUGAAGAGGUGGGGAAGUGGCGUAUCGGAUAGCUUUACCGCGUCGCUUUCUAAUCUGCAUGAUGUGUUUCAUGUAUCUCAGUUGAGAAAAUAUAUGGGCGGAUCUUCGCAUGUUGUUCAGUGGAUGAUAUCCAGGUGAGGAUAAUUGACCGUUGAGGUGUUGCCAAUUCGGAUAGAUGACGCGAGAAGAGAAGACCCUGAGAGGUAAGAAGAUUGCCUCAGGUGAAAGUUUGUUUGGGGAGGUCCAGCUGGUGAGAGCUUGACUUGGGAGCGUGAAGAUCAGAUGAAGGAGUCGUAUCGCUCUAUUUGCUUGAGGUAGUUUUCGAGACGAAACUCUUUUAGUGGGGGAGAGUUGUAAACCCCGAUUAAAUAAGAGAAUUAUUAUUGAGUAAUAAUUAUUUUAUUAAUUUAAUUAAAUAAAUUGAAUUAUUGGAUUAUUUUAUUAUUACUAUAGAUGUUAUUUAUUUUAAUAAUAAUUAAUAAAUAAAAUAAUGGAAUAUGAAGUGGAAGGGUAAAAGUGGAAAUUGGAUAAAAGAGGCCAAAGUGAGGACUCAGGUUGUUUUCACGUGUUUUGCCUCAGAGUCAGAGAAAGGGGGAGAAACGCUGAAGAGAAAGAGAAGGAAGAGGAAAGGCCAAAGAUUGCUCAGAGUUUCCUUCAAUCCAAAGAGGUAAGGGUCUGAACCUUAUUAAACAAUAAUAUGCUGAAAUUGGUGAAAUAUUGGAUGAACGAAAAUGGGGAUUUUAAUCAAAGGAAUUCGUAGAAAUUAUAUGCAAUGAUGUUAGAUUUGUGAAAUCGAAUAGGGGACUAUUUGUUAUAGAUAUAUGAGUGAUUUUGUGUGAAAUUUGGACUGUGGAAGAAUGAAUUUGGAUAGAUCUCGUAGCAGAAAAAGCAUUGCAGAUCUGGAAAUCUGGUUUCUGGUCAUACGCGUAUGGCACUAGGCAAUACGCGUAUGAGAUUGCUGGUACGCGUAUGGCACUAGGGCAAUACGCGUAUGGAUGAGGAAGAUGAUGUUUUGAACGUUUUUGGUCUCUGUUGGUACGCGUAUGGGAAUGUGAUCGCGUAGCAUACGCGUAUGGACAUGGGCAAUACGCGUAGGAAUUUGGUCAGGCGUGGUAAUACGCGUAUGAGCCAUAGGAAUACGCGUAUGGGCAGACUUGUGGUCUUUCCUGGGCUGUUGUUGUGCAGUUUUGGUUGUUUAGGGCUGAGCGGUAACUUAGCUGAUGCAUGGUAUACGAGGGAUCAUUUCCCGUUGCUUUGAGUGUAUAGAUAUUAGUAGGUGUGAUAAUACUGUGUUUGAUUAUGUGCAUGAUGUGAUAUGCUUUUGUGAUAGAAUGUGUUAAUGAUGAGAUAACAUGACUAUGAUGCUGUUGUUGCUAUGUUGAUAUGAUGCAUGCUUGGUGUGCAUGCAUUCAUGAAAGGCCGAUGCCUAGUGAUGAACGGACUGAGUUCCAAUGAUGUUGUUGACUCCGGGCUUGUUGAGGGCUUGGUUCCUUGCGGGGAACUCGGAUUCUAUGGGGUGAAUCUGGGAGUGGUGAUCCUGUAGUUGGUCACAAAAUGGGUAUACCGAGUCGUGUUGAGUCAUGCAUGGGUGUGCAUUGCAUUUGAUAUGUGUUUUGUUGAUGUUCAUGACUAGUUGAUUAUGAUGAUUAUGAUGAGCUGUGUUGGCAUAUGUGAAAUAUAUUUAUGUUUAUAUUUCUGUCGUUAUAUUAAUUUAAUUAAUAAUGUAAUUCUCACCCCUUCUGCAUGUGUUUAUGUUCAUCUAUGAUGAGCAAUGUGCAGAUAAAGAGGAGUAGCUAUUGUUGAGGUUUGAAGAAUAAGUGUAGAGUUAUUCUACAGAGUCGAGUCAAAUGCUCUGGUCAUGUGACACCGGGUUAUGGAUUCGAUAGAUAAUUGAUUAUUAUUUACGUUGUUUAUGAUGACUAACAUGUUGAGAUUUUUUUGAGAUAAUGUUGAACCAUUAUUAUGAAUUGUUUAUAUGAUGAAUGAUAAUAUUAAUAUUGUGUCCGCUGCAACGUUUUAAUAAAAUAAAUAAUAUGUUUUAUGUUGUGAUGCGAUAAUUGUUAUGUUGUAAGAAAUGUACACUCUUCUACAUGUUGUACUCUGAUAAUCUAUUUAAAUAUGUCGUUUGGGUAGAAGGGUGUUACAAACUUCACCUUUUGCCAAAUCUCUACUCCUUUUUAGCCCCUGCACAUUGGUACAAAUGUGAUAACCACAUCCAGUAUCCAAUACCCAUGAUGCAGAAGUAGAUAAAUUAAUUUCAGUAACAAAAAUACCUGAAGUUGAAGUCUCUACUCCAUUCUUCUUAUCUUCCAGGUACUUUGGGCAGUUUCUCUUCCAGUGUCCGGUCUUACCGCAAUGGAAGUAGGUGUCUUCCUUUGCUAUGCCUCCACUAGGCUUCAAAGCAACAACAGUGGGUUUGGGUUUGGCAACUUCCUUGCCUUUCCCUUUAUCACCCUGCUUGGUGGGCCUUUUGUUUUGUUUCUUUCCAUUUCUGAUCAUCAGAAUGGACUUCCCUUUUUACUUUAGAUUCUGCUCGGAAUUUCUUAACAUGCCUAGUAGUUCAGGAAGAUUUUUGUCCAUAUCAUUCAUGUUGAAAUUAAGGAUAAAUUGACUGAAGCUCUCUGGAAACGUUUGCAAGAUCAAAUCAGUCGCAAGUUCCUUUCCGAAGGGAAACCCCAAUCUUUCAAGGUUCUCCACACACCUAAUCAUCUUGAGCACAUGGGGACCAACAGGGCUCCCUCAACUAACUUGCCUUGAAAAAGGGCUUUUGAAACUUCAAACCUUUCAUGCCUUUCCUACUCUUGAUAGAGCAUCUUUACGUGUCUGAUCAUAUUGAACGCUGCCAUGUUCUCGUGUUGCUUUUGCAACUUUGAGUUCAUGGUAGCUAGCAUGAGAUAAGCAGCUUCAUUGUCAUCAUCGACAUGCUUCUUAUAAGCAUUUCUUUCUUCCUUAGGUGCAUAACUAGGAGGUUCCUCUUCAGGAACAAGUUUCUCCAAGACAUACAACUUUUUAUCAUGCUUGAGGAUAAUCCUCAGAUUUCGGUGCCAAUCCAUAAAAUUUGUCCCAGACAAUUUUUCCUUAUCAAGGAUUGAUCACAAAAUCUUGUUAGAGGUGUUUGUUGUCAUGGUAACCUACAUGAAAAAUAUGAAAAUAUAAGUAUCAUUAAAAUAACAUAUUUAAUUAGGCCUUUAAUUAAAUAUGCUCCCACUAUUUUACUCAAAACAAAUGACCCUCACCAUUUGACUCGGAAAAUCCCAAUGGAAGAUUUUCUAGUGGGUCGAGAUCCACAUUUCACUUUGUUUUAAGUCCGCAUAGGCAGAUUACACAAAACUAGGUUAUUUAGGUAGAAACUCCUUCCAAUUGUAUCUAAUACAACUCUCGAAUAUUUUAGUUAGGUGAAUAACUCCUUAUUUCAAUCCAUCAUAUGGAUCAUUUCCAACUCUUUCUUCUAAACGUAUAUAAUCUUAUUAUAAUUUGUUUAGUUAAGUUUUACCCAUUGUUUUAGCAAUUGGAUAUUACAAUUUUCCCAUCAUACCUUACUAAUAUAGAACAUGCACCUCGCGUAGGCGAAACCUACAUUAUUCGAUACUAGUCUUGAUGAGUACUAAAACUUGGAAAGCAUAAAAUUAAUAUUUACUUCGAGGGAAUUUGCAAUUAUUUUGAUCUCACCGACUUAUUUAUCAUAUAAAUCAUCUCUCACAUGCGUUAACAUACAUUCACAUGCAUCAACAUACAUACAAAAUGAAACAGUUAUGGCCCUUAGCGCAAUUGUUCUCCCAAGCCAAUGAGAGAACCUAAGCUAACCUAAUAACGAUCUAAGCUUCUCCAAGCAAGAUCUUCAAGGUUGUCCUCAUUUGAUAUUGUAUUCUUCUCUUUCUUCAUAACAUUACAUUACAUAAAAGAAACUCGUUUUACAUACGAGGAAGUGAGAUGAGAAAAGAAGUUACAUUAAGAUAUUAAAAGAGAGGCAUAACACGUAGACCUUAUUUUAAAAUCCCAAAAACAAAAUAAAGGAAAACUAAGGCCAUAACUGAUCACCACAAGACAAUAAUAAUAAACACAUAAUUAUUAUUAAUUUAAAAUAUGUUAAUUAAAUAAACCAAAUUAAAUUUCGGCGAUUGAUUACACUAUGCAGAGUUAGUCGGAGGUUCCGCUGCCCGAGCAGCGCCCUCUACGGAGUUGUCAAGGGAAGCGCCCCAGCGCAAAAUUUUAAUGAAAAAUUCAUUUGAAACUGAUGUCGUUUUUUGCAUCAACACUUAAUACUUUAAAUUAAAAAAUUAAAAUUUUCCUUAUGAAUGGGCAUGAUCAGUGAUAGAAAUCGUUACCUCUUGAGUGUUGAUGCGAAUGGGCAUGAUCAAUCAUACUGAAUGAGCAUGAUCCUUUUCGCAUCAAUACACAGCGGAAAUUAAAAAAUUCUCCUUUAGUGAUCCUUAUGAAUGUGCAUGAUCAGUGAUAGAAAUCGUUACCUCUUGUGGCGAUUAAAACCUUUGAUGCAGAUCUAAGGAGUGAUCACGAGCGUUGAAUGGUGACAACGCCUCUACUCAGUCAACACGGACGGAUUCCUUCAGUCUCAAUGCUAGCUGCUAUGAAUGAAGGCUCUGAGUGAGUGAGAGUGAGAGAUAGAUAGAUAGAUAGAUAGAUAGAUAGAUAGAUAGAUAGAUAGAUAGAUAGAUAGAUAGAUAGAUAGAUAGAUAGAUAGAUAGAUAGAUAGAGAGAGAGAGAGAGAGAAACUAAAUUUUAUCUAAUCAAAUGCUUCUGCACAAGGGUUCUAUUUAUAGAACCACUUGUGUGGGCUGCAAGCUAAAAAUCCCACUUAAGUGUAUGUGGUGGCCUAUAUCUUAAGCGCGUUGUACCUUACCAUAUUUUAUAUUCUACUUAAGUGCAUCGUACCUUAUGAUGUUCUACAAUUCACUUAAGUGCACAAUACCUUACGAUGUUCCUUAUUUACUCUUUCUCUCAUUAAUCUGUCUAUUUGUGUGUGACCCUGUAGGUUUUCGCGACAUUGACAAUUAUAUUAAAUCACAUAUUUAACAUAAUAAACAGUGACCGGUAUCUAGCAACACAUCACUUCUACUCAAGACACGAAAAUGUCAUGUGAUCUAACAAAUCCUUUUUGUGAUAAUACUUGUGUGUAUAAUUACCCUUUUUACCCUUAUGUCUAUAUUGAACAUAAGACAUAGACCGUGUCAUCCUUGUCCAGUUCAAUAUUGGGCCCUUAGACAUUUAUCUUGUUUCACAGGAUGGGAAAAUUCCAUCUAGGUCACUCAUGUCCCUCAUCAUGCUUCGUGGAGUACCCAUCAAUUGUCUUUAUGGUCAUCUAGUUAUGGAUAAUGUUUGAUCAACAAUAAAGCACUCGGCUCUACAUCUAGGGUCCAUAGUGGUUUCAGGUCGAAGGGUGGUAUACACCACUAUCACCAUGAGAAUAACUUAUGACACUUUACAUAACAUUCUAUGUAGUAUUCUCAUAGUGGGUCAAUCCAGUAUAAAUAUUACUAAUAAUAUUCAUACAUAUGUUUAAGACUUGAUAACUCCUUAUCCAUGAUCCAUGAGAUGUGAUCACCAGUCUAUAUACAUAAUAGUCUUAAUGCUUUAAUGUUAUCCCACUUUACAACAAAGCUCGACUAUAGAUACUUUAAGAAUAAUGUCCUUAUGUUUAAUGGGAUCUCAUGAUUAAGUCACACUUGAUACAUUAAACAGACUAGCUAUUCUAGGGACUUUAUUAAACAAACAUAAUAAAGAAAAAAACUUUUAUUAUUAAUAAAUAAUUCGAUACAAGUACCAAAAGUAUUGGCCUCUAGGGCUUACACCAACAAUAUUGCAGUUAAUUUGCAAGGUGAGUAGCUAGAAAUCCACCCACAUACUUAACGUCACAACUUGAUAAGGCUAUAACAUAUUGUUUCUUAGAACAAUAAUAUAUUUUUAAUCCUUGAAACUAAAUAUAUAUCCACUUAUGCUUCUUUUAUCCACUUUCUCACCACACUUAUCAACAUCAGAUAAACCUUUCAGAUCUAGCUUUUUUGGCAUUAGGGACUUAGGAAAUAAGAUGGCAUAAUUGAUAGUUCCAUUUAUGUACCUCAACACUCUAUUUGAAGCUAACAAGUGAUAUUUUAAGGGAUUUCUCAUGAGCUUGGCCACUAAUUCAACAAAAUAGAAAAUGGAAGGUUUGAUUUUUCAUAAACACCUCAAUAUGCCAAACAACUUCCUAAUCAUAGUAAGAUCAACAUCUUCACCAUCUUUAUCAUGUAUGAGUUUAACCUUGCCUCUAUUGGUGUCAUUAUAGACUUGUAGUCAAGCAUAUCAAACUUUAUUAGAAUCAUUGUAACAUACUUGACUUGAUGAAGGAUUAUGCCCCUUAGUGUUUCAAGGAAUUCCAUUUCUAGGAAGUAUGUGAGUAUUCAUAGGUUUAUCAUUUCAAAUUCUACUUUCAUUUUAUUUUUGAACGCUUCAAUUUCAAUGAUGUAGCUUCCUGCCACUAGUAGGUCAUUUUCAUUUAAGCAUAUGAUUAACAUUUGGUUGUUUGCGCUUUCCUUCACACACACACACACACACACACACACACACACACACACACACCAUGCUUAAAAUUGCAUCUUUUGAAUCCCUGUUGAACAAAUACUUUGUUGAAUCUUUAAUUUCAUGCUCUUUGGCCUUGUUUCAAUCCAUGAAAAUAUUUGUGAAGCAUAUAUACCAUGUCCUCAUUACCUUUGAUUUAAAAUCUGGUGGUUGGUUGACAACGACAGUUUCGCCUAAUAUUCGAUUUAGGAAUGAAUGUUUUACAUCCAAAUAGAAUAUUUGUCACCUCUUAAUGCAAGCUAAAACAAUAACAAAAUUGAUUCAUCAUGAUUGGCCACAUGUGAGAAUACUUCGUAUUAAUAUAUUCAUUAUCUUCGUAGAACCCGUUUUCCAUCAAUCUUGCCUUAUGCUUCACUACUUUUGCCAUAAGAAUUUUCUUUAGCUUGUACACUCACUUCACAUCAAUGUCUUUCUUAUCAUUUAAUAGUUUUGCCUGCUCCCUAAUUUUAAAGUUCUCAAUAGAUAUAAUGUUUAUCAUGCAUAUCAUAUUUCCACACUUGUUCCUUCAAAACUACUUUGAAAUCAACUAGCUCAGAAAUAACAAAUAUUUCAUAAUAUAUUAAUUCACCAUCUUCACCAAUGACAUUGUCUAGAAUCACAUCAAAAUCAACCAAUCUUCUUGGUAGAUUUAUGUUUCUUUGUAUCGUGACUUUAAUAUGAGGUUCUUCGAUUGAUAUUGCAUCAUUCGCAUCACCCUCGUCAAUGUUUCUUUCUACAUUUAGUUACUUGUCAUCCAAGUCAACUACAUAACUUGAGUUGUACAUAAACCCUUGUUUCCAAUCCCAUGCUUCUUUCUCUAUCCCUUUGACAUCUAUGUUAUUCUCAAUCUUGUUUAACACGCGAUUGUACAACCAAUAUGCACCAGCAUUGUGAUAACCAACUAAGAUCACUAGUUGCCUUAUAUCAUAUAUCUUUUUUAUUCUUGCAUCAGAGAUAUAUUUGAAACAUAUUUAGUCAAACACUCUCAACUGAGUCAGAGUUGACUUCCUUCCUAACCAAGCUUCCUCAAGUACCAUCUUCUUCAAUCUCUUUGUAGGAAACAUUUUCAAGAUAUAAGAAGUUGUGGUAACUACUUCCCCCCAUAUAUUUUGAUUUAUCCAUUUCUCUUUAGUGUGGUUCUUUCCAUGUUUGUACAUUGUGUCCCUCUUUCCAUGUUUGUACAUUGUGUUCCUCUUUCCAUGUUUGUGGAGUAUAUGGUGAUGUGAAUUCAUGUAUAAUGUCAUGUUGACUGCAGUAGUCUUCAAAUUCUUUGGAUGUAUACUCUCCACUACCAUUUUCCCUAAAAUAUUAAACAUCUUGCCACUUUUUUCUCAAUUAGUGUCUUGAAUCUUUUGAAUGUCUCUAAGGCAUCAGUUUUAGCCUUGACCAUAUUUAACUACAUCCUUAUUGAAAAUUUAUCAACAAAUGUGAUGAAGUAUUUUUCCACUUGAUAACACAUUAAAGGGCCAUGUAUGUUGGAGUGAACUACAUUUAGUACCUCAUUCGACCUCCUUUGCAAGUUAUUAUUUAAAUUUUAUUUUGGAUUCUUUUCCGACAGGCAUGGUGAACAAGAGCUCUCAAAGUUGUAACCUUAGGCAUGGCAACACCAUCUUCUUUGAACGAAGUUGACUUAAACUAUUGAAGUUUAAAUGACCAUACCUCUUGUGCCAUAUGAGAUUCUUGUUCUAUUGAAUCAUGGUAGCAAAAUAACUAACCUCCACUAUAUUGAACAAGGUAUUGGAGGUUUUAUUUUUUGUGAGUACAAAUCUCAAAUCUAGUUUUAUUUUAGUGUCAUAUAACUUAAGUGAGACAUCAUCCACGAUUACUGAGUUUACCUUAUUUACUAGCAGACCAACACCCAUUAGACUACACUUCAUCUCAAGGAUGUUUAAAACCUUUUAUAAUAUUACUUUCUUUUCAUCUUGCAAAUGAACAAAAACAUUGCUCAUGACUUCUACUUCCAUUGAAUUGUUAUCAUUGGGCAACUUUUUGUUACUUAUCAUAUUAUUUAAACAUCAUGUGUCAAGGUACCAAGUCAUUGAAUCCAUUGCUUAUUUGUUUAUUGUCAUCAUCAACAUCAAUGCUUCAUAAUCAAAACUAGAUUCAUUUUAUGCCACAUUUAUUUAUUCUUCAUUGUUUGGAGGUUUGUUUCCUUUACCAAACCAAUAUUCAUUAGGAUAAUGUCCAAAAUUCUCACAAUUGCAACAUUGGACUUUCUUCUUUUCAAAAUACUUUUUUCUUGUUUUGAUUAUUCUGAUUCCAUCCUUUUCUUCUAUGAGAGGAUUAGGGUUUAUCUUCAUACUUACCUUUGUCUUUUCAACUAUUUUGCUCCUACUUUUUCAUUUUUGUUCGUCAGUCUCACUCUUCUUAAAUCUAGCAAAAAAAGUCUGUUCUUAUUCUUUAUCAUAGUUUCUUUCAACCAUAUUCAAUUCAAAAGAUUCAAGAGUGCUAUGCAAGUCUUCAAUCUUGAUGUCACUCAAUUUCUUUAUUUUUUCAAUUGUCAGCAUAGUAUGAUCAAAUUUUAUGGUAUGUAUUCUCAACAUUUUCUCUAUGACCAUCUCAUUUAUUAUGACAUCACCAAAAUUCUUCAUUUGAUAGGUAAGAGCCCCCAACAUUCUCAUUAUUCUUCAUCUCCAUCUAUUCAUAUUGUCUCCCUAAGACACGAAACUUCACUUUCUUAACAUUUGCAUCAUCUUUAUAGUUCUUCACAAGAAUAUCUUAAACAAUCUUAAAAUUUACAAAUUCAAUAAUUUUCUCAAACAUCUUGAUAUUGAAACAUUUUUUAAUGAGAAAUAAAACUAUUGUAUCAUUUGUCUUUGCAUCCUUCUAAGUUGUCAUACUUAUCUCUAAUGGAUUUGCAAUAUUUAACCACUUAGCUGACAAACUAAUAACCUUCUAGCUAACAUACUAAUAAUAAUUAAACAUGACUUGUUAGUUAGGUUAUGCAAUGAAUAUUAAUUAGUCCUAAAAUUACAUUGAUCAACAAAAAUGAGCUUAUAAAAAAAUAUUAUACUCUCUGGUACUUAAUAUAGAAAAACAUUUAUUUUUUAGAUUCAUUGUAUCUAGACUACAUGUAAUCCAAUACAUUAAUCUUAUAUAUAAAAUUUAUUUAGUUUCUUAACAAUUUUGAAGGCAAAAUUAAGGAUAACAUUGUUAUUUUAUAUAUAAAAGUUAUUAAGUCUCUUAAUAAUUUGGGGAAUUUUUUACUCAAAUACCCUACAUUUUCAAAAAAAAUCCCAAAAUAACUCACUUUUCAAAUAAUUUCCCAAAUUAUCCCAGUUUAAAAAAAACAUUAAGGUGUAGGUGGCAAAUCAAUUGACGUCUACCCUUAAUUUUUAAGAGGGGGCGCCAAUUGAAUUGGCUACAAUACAUGGUGUUGCCAAUCCAAUUGGAGCCCAUGUGUAUAUACUGAGAGAAGGCGUCAAUUGGUCUGCCGCCUCCGUGUAUUGUGUAAUUUUUUUGUAUAAAUAAAUGUGUUGGGUGAUUCAUUUUUCCACGUCUCUUUUCAUUAUAUUGCAAACAUGUUUCUUCUUCGUCGCCGCUAUGGAAAAGUGAUUUAUUCGAGAGACAAGCCUUCGAUGGAGAUGAUGUUUUGGAACAUCUGUUGUUUCGAGCAACUAAAGGGGGAGUUGGUUCGUUGGUUAGAUGGAAACAUACCAGAAGGGGAAAAAUUAGAAGUAUUGAGAGACUCGAUAACGUACGUGGUUAGGUGCGAGCUAAAAAUGAUAAGGAUGUUAGGGAAGUGAUGUUUGGACCAGAUGACAUCGAUUUGAUUGUUGUAAUCAGUUAGAAAUGAUAGCUGAGUUAGAGCAUACCCUGCAUUCGCCCCUUUUUUGCGAAGGUUCUUGUCUUUGAUUGCACACAUGAAGUUUUGUGCGAUAUGUCUAAUGUAAUAGACAUGGGUAGAAGGAGGAUUAUGCCAUCUGUUAUCAUGGUUAUUGUAAGCACUCUCAACGCCAGCAUGUUUAUCUGCAAUCAAACAGAGAUUGGCUUGUGGAUCGACAUGUGUUCUGAGAUGACUAAGGAAGAAACCCCAACCACCAAUGGUUUCACCUUCAACUAGAGAAAAUGCAAUGGGAAAGACAUUAUUGUUGCCGUUAGAUAAAAAUUCUACCGAAGACGCCCGAAUAAUAAAAACUAGGUGUUAUAUUAUGAUUUUAAUUGAUUUAUUUUUAUUUCCCGAAGGUAGUGGUUCUAGUAUGCAUUUUAUGUAUUUAUCUUUACUAAGACAUGUAGAUAGUGUCGCAACUGGGUUGCAAAAAAACAACCGGCGAAAAAAAGAGAAACAGAAGAGUCGCCACCGUUAGUUAUUUAUCCCAAAGGAGGGAAAGGAAACGAUCGAAGAAAACCUGAAGAGAAGGAAAAGACAAGGUCUCGCAACCAAAUCUUGGGUUCGGGAGUCGAUUAUGCGAAGGGAAGGUAUUAGCACCCCUACGAUUCCGUAGUACUCAUACGGGAUCCACUCUUGUUGUUCUACGCCUAAAGGUGUGUGUAUAUCUAAGGUACUAUUACUAAAAGAGGGUCAAAAGAAAAGAAAAUGACUCACAAGGAUGUCGCAUCCGCUGCCUACGUAUCUCAUCUGAACAUGAGAAUCGAAGUCUUCGUAGCUCGGUUACCUAUGGGUGAAAGAGAAGUGUGCUCGCUAAGACAUCACGUUGUGCCUACGUAUCCGUCAUCUGGAAUGAGAAUCAGAGCAAAACGUAGUUCAGCAAUACGGGAACAAGGGUCUCGAUUGCAACUAGGGCAAGAGAAAGGGAAGGUCUCGAUCGCAACGAGGGCGAGAGAAAAGAAUCGCAACAAGGGCGAAAGCAAGCAAGGAUUAGUUGUUAGUUGUCAGUCAAAAACUCGGCAAGACAUCGCGUCUCGUGCCUACGUAUCUCAUCUGAACAUGAGAAUCAGAGUUGUCGUAGUUCGCCAAACUAGGGGUUAAGGAUUGCCAUCUGAACAUGGACUUACAAAAGAGGACACCGGUUGUGUCAAAGGCAAGUGGGCAAUGUGUUCAACGUCCUAGCAGUAGGUGUCACAGCUAGCUGAAUCGAGUCUUAGGCAGUUACCUAUUUGCAAUUGAACGGACUGACAUGCCACAAGAUCGGAGACGCACGGAAGGUCUAAAAGGUGGGGAAGCUCUGCCCUAGAGUUAUCAUGCAAUAUGGACCUAUGUGUUAGGAUUUACAGAGGGGAAUAUCUACCUAAUGUUAGCAUGCAAAGAAUAAGGGAAUUCUACCUAUGUUAUCAUGCAAAGGGUUCUACCUAAUGGGUGCUACCUAAACGAAACAAGAGUCGACGGAUGGAGCAAGGAGAGGAGUCACGGAUAAGGGUAGAUGGCGAUGCCUGAGGCAAUCGACUUACAGGUAGAUGGCGAUGCCUGAAGCAAUCGACUUACAAGAGAAAUGACGAUGUGUGAAGCAAUCGACUUACAAAAGGAUGGAUGAAUACGUGUUGGUUCUGUUAAGUUUUGAAAAUGAUUACUCGAUGUUGGAUCGAGCUUUGGAUCUUGUUUUGAAAUGAUUAUCGGAUGUUCGUUUUGAUUCUUGUAUUAACAGAUGAAUAAAGAAUGAAAGAAUAAACAUUAUACACUUCAUGGGAGAGGGGUACAUUUGUUAUGAAUGGGGAUUGUUCAUGGCAAUCAAACAAUAAGAAUAUAUGCCUCAUACAGAAUGAAAGAAUAAACAUUAUACACUUCAUGGGAGAGGGGUACAUUUGUUAUGAAUGGGGAUUGUUCAUGGCAAUCAAACAAUAAGAAUAUAUGCCUCAUACAUCAUACAAGUAGGCAACAAUUAAUGAUCAAAUCGGAUAAGAAAACAAUGUAUAUAAUCCAAUCAAAGAAUCAAAUAAUGGAGCAUUAAACAAUGCAUGGGAGUAUGGACAUGUCAAACAAUCAAGCAAUAUUAAGCAUGGAUGAAAGAAACAAGUAUAGCAGGUAAUAUGUGAAUCAGACAGGUGAAAAGAAAUGCACAAAAGGGUCCACUGAAUAAUUUAAUCAGGAAAUGAGGUAAGGACCAAAUAAAAUCAAGAUGAAAGGCCUCUAAUACAUGGCAUAUGAGAUGAACAAGGGAGGAUGAAAAGAUCUCUUCAAUUGCCAUAAGCAAUCCCUAAGUCAAACAUCGAUCAUAAAGAAGUCAAUUGAAAAUUCAAGUCAACUUAAAAAAUAUCAAAUAAAUAGCAACUCAAUCAAGAAAAUUAUGAAAAAUUAAACUAAGUAAGGUGGGAUCAGGACAUCAUCAUCCCCCAAAAAUAUUUUAAAAAUAAUGAAAAUUGGUACAUAAAUUAAUUGAAAUAAAAUAGAGGUCAAAACAAAAGUCAACCAACCAAACUAGGUCAAAAAUAAAUCCAAAAUAAAUUAAAAAUGGAAAAUAAAAUUCCAAGAAAAGGUCAGGUUGACCAUGGGACAUUGGUCAACCUUCAUCCCAAAAAUCAAAAGCUAAAAAUAAUUUUAAGACAUAAAAAUAAAAUCAAGAGUAAAAUGUAUGUUAAAAUGGACCAUUUAGAAUAAAUAAUUAAAAUAAAACAUUAAUAUUAAAUAAAUACGAAAAUAAAAAUUAAAUAAAAUUAAAUAAGACAUUAAAAAAUAUGGAAAAUAUUUUUGGGUAUUUUUAUGAGUGAAGAAAAUAUUUUAAAAUAAUUAAAAUAAAAACAGAAAAAUAAAUUGAAAUAAAAAAAGAAAAUGAAAGUGGAAGGAAUGAUGCUAAUGGGCCAGGCGUGGGGUGUGAAGAGAAAAAUGCAGGCCCAAGGUCCAACCAAAUAUUCAGCGUGACAUGAAAUAAAUAACAUUUUAUUUUAAAAAAACCAUGUAACAUGUAUCAAUUGGGCAACUUUCAUUAAACACUAGAAGACAAAAACAGAAUGCACGACUAGGAUUAUAACAUGAGCGCACGAUCCAAUGGCUUAUAAGCGUGCCACAUAAUCAUCUUCUUCCACAAAACUUGGAACCCUAAUGCCAUGCACAAAAACGUGAACCAUGCAGUGAUUUUUCUCAAUCUUCCAAUCGAUAAUACAAGCGCUAUAGUGCACCAAAUGCCACGAAAUAAAAAGCAAAAUUCAAGUAUAAAAUGUGUAGAUCAUCAUGGUAUCUUGUUUUAGUAAAAAUAAUGGCUUAAUCAUGGAGAAAAGUUGACCACAAGAGGUCAACAUGGACACGGCAAAGGGCAAAAAAUUCAGCAUAAAUAAAUAUCAAUAACAAGAACAUAAGCAAUAUGAUUGGCAUGGUAAUAAUGAUGAGCAUAGCAUGAAGCAACCAUAACAUGGUCAUGGAAGAGAUGAUUACCUAGUGGAAAAUAGAAGUGGGAUGGUGCUUCCUUCUUGGUGUUUCAAGGCUUCAACUUGCUGACUUGUGAUGCUCUUGCCACGAAAUUCCAAUGCCUCCUUUUAGGUUUAGGGUUUCAUGCUUUUAAAUAUGGUGAAACAAAUGUUCUAAUGGGCCUUGAAAUCCAUGUUUUAUCCAUAAGCAACAUAAUGUAAAGUGACGUGUAUUAGGGCAUGUGAAGUUUGUGUUUUGGGCCAAAUUUAAGUGAGUAAAAUAUCCAAUGCAUGGCCAAAAACGUGGGCUGGUUUGUGCAGUAUGGCUUGGCUUGUUUGGCAAGCAAGAAAACAUUCCAAGGUGGUGACUUUAUGGCCAUGUAACUUAAUGAGCAAGUUACCAAAUGAUGAAAUAAUGCAAACAAUAGAAAGAUCUCAUGGAGUAUGUCAUCUUUCAUGUUGAUCACAAGUUGAAAUGAUGAGUGGAGGAAGGUGAAAAAUGGACCUCAAGUUCAGGUUUCAUCAUGCAAAACUGGUUGGGCCAGUUUGGCCUAAAAUCUGUCUAGAAAAUCAAGUCAUGGUGCCCACUUUAGGUGAAUGUAUCUCUCAAACCAUGAAUCUAAAUAAGAUGAUUCCAAAAGGAUAUGAAAGAGGACAUGGCAAGGUAUAAAUGUUGUGAAGAAAACAAUUUCAAAUGAUGCCUUGAAGUGCAAGAAAACUGGCCAAGAAGUCUUGACAAACUUUGAAGAUUUUGGACUUAGAAAUUUUUCUAAGUGUCCUAGAAAAAUGUCUCACUUUGACUAAGCAUAAUUUUCUCAAUUUUAAUCCAAAUGGAGCAAACGUUAUAUCUCUAGAAAGUUUGGAACAAGAGGAACAACUUUCAUAUUGGAAAAAUUUUCAAAUGGAGCUUUUAUCCUGAUGGAAAAUGGUCUUAAAGUGAGUGCAACAAUCAUGAAAACUUGCCCUAAAUGGCAAGUCAAUCAUUUCCAAAUUAAGUAACUUUUCCAAUUCCUGAUUAAAUGAUGAAUUCAUGAUCCAACCUUGAUCAAAUUUCAUAUGUAAGCUCCCCUAGGCAUGGAUUUUGAGAUUCCACUCUCAAAAUGUCAGGAGUUGACUUUUCUGGCCCCAUAGUUGACUUUUCCCCAACUGUCUGAUUCCUGAUUCCAUUGAUCAAUUGAAGCACCUCUAGCUCAAAUAAAGAGCUGAUUUUUUGUAUGUAGACCCUUGUGGACAUAUGGAGGUCCAUGGAAAAGAGUUUCACCCAAAGUUAGUCUUUAUUUGACUAAAAUAUGGUUUGGGAUCAAAAUCCCGAAAAUGAUCAAGAACUGAUUGCACUGAUUGCCAAUGGAUCUUUCUGAGAUAAUUGUGAAUCUUCCUAGGCCAAGAUGCCUCUCCAAUCAUGACAUGGAUAAGCUCCUAUAAUUCCAACCAAACAUUUCCUGUUGCAGGUAGCCAUGAAACCCUAAUUUCCUGAUUAAAUCCAGAUGAACACUCUGAUGGCUCUGAAUCCUUCACUGAUGAACUGAGGACCAUAAUGAGAUACCUGGAGCUACCUGAGACCCUUGGGGCUUGUAUGCUUAGAGAAUGAAGUCCAAUUCUCAAUCUUGCUUUAUGUGGGCUCUUUCUAUUAAGGAGUGAUCAAUAAAAACCUGAUUUUCAAGUCACUAACGCAGUAUGCAAUGAGUAUGACCUAGUAUGAUGCUAAUGAAGUGUGAAACAUAAUCCCAUGCUUCCAGGAAAGAUGAAGGGUAAAUUUUGGGGUAUUACAGAUAGAAUAAGAAGUUACAGUUGGGGAUCCACUUGUUUGGCCUAUCUUUAUAGCUCUUUGUGUAAAGAUACACACAAAGACACAUCUAUAUAUUUCUGGAUGUGCUGUUUUGCUCCAAGCACGAGGUUGGUUCAGACUACCGUCCCUAGCUCCCGUCAACCACAACCCGUUCACAUUCCCGUACGCACAAAAGUAAUUUCUUGACAAUGGACUAUAUUUACUUAUUUUACCGAUUAUUAUCUCUAAAUAAUAUAUUUACUUUUAUGGUUCAGAUGGUCGGCACGUGGUAUGAGUUACAACAGAUGUCUUAGACACUGUAUUACCCAGUAUCGCAAUCUCUUGGAUCACCUUCGACCAACAAAUGUAUUGUCAUUAACAUAAUUAAUUCGUAAUAAUUUGUUAAUUUCUUCUAACAAAUUUAUAGUCUAAUAUAUCUUCACAUUUCAAUUCAUUUGGCGUCCAUAUCUAAACUUGGAUCAUGACCAUGAAGUCAACGAACAAGACGCAACUGUUUGGACUGCAUGCGCACCGAUCAUAAGAUUCACCACUAUGGAGAUGCACCAUAAUGAUCGUGUUAAAUUGAAGUUCGGUAUGCUUCAACACAUCCCAGAUCCCCCGACAAACCUCGGAGAAUGGCAUCUACGAAAAGUUAACGACCAAUGGAACUUUAACCCUUGGCAAAGCUUCGCUUGAUCUGAGUGUCGAAAAUUGAAGCACCGACAAGACCAUGUCUUAACUGACGUUGUGAUUCAAAUUGAGGAAAAACCAACUCGUAAUUAUAUGGCUUGGUACAGAUCGGUUGAAUUUGAGUUCCUUGCCGAGGAUAUGUACCUAUACGACCCACGCCAGGUAACUUACACAUAAGAAGGUUCAACAUCUAACCCCUAAUUGUCAGACGGGCUACUCGCAACCCCAUAUCCAUCAAAAUUUCCGGUCCACAAACCUACGACCCUAACAUGCCAAACACCCAACCACAAUACCAAGAGCAUACCCCGUACCACCACCGACAAGUAGAUCAUCAUCAAGACACCCAACGUCGCUAUGCACCCAACAUAUCACCCUACCAUAGCCGCCUUAGCCAAAACACCCAGCGAUCAUUUAAUACCAACCGUCCAUCCUCCAACUAUAGCCAAAAAGCCCAAACAUCAUGAAACAAAAACAUGCAACAACCAUAUGACUACCAAACACCAUAAUAAUCAUUUCAACCUUUCUUCGACGCAUCAUCCACACCAAUGUCGCCCUUCAAUCGUCGUGGUCGCCCUCCAAUAACUCAAACAUAACCCAACUACUCUAGCAUGAGUCAUGAACUCAGAUAUGGCGGUAGCGCUUCAUUGCAUACAUAUGACUACGCAUAUUUGUCUGAAUAUCUUAGGCAAUCUCUUGUAGGUGGUGGUAAUGUUCCUGGGCCCUCAAAUACUCAAACACCUGGGGUGAAUCAUCAACGUGGGUUAGAGCCACGCGUUCGGGUAACUAGGGGAUGUGGAACCGGAGGUCGGUUAGGUCAUUUUGGUCAACGACAUUAGUCUUUUUGGUUAACGUAUGUAAACGCAUAUUAAUAUUAAUAUCAAUUGAUCCGAUUUCGACUUUUAUCUAAAAUGUACAUUAUUUUCAAAAAAAAAUACGAAACACACAUAGGUGUCAGACCAAUUGGCACCUCCUUUAUAACUUAACAGACAGGCGCCAAUUGGAUUGACAGCACUAGGUGCACUAGUCAAUCCAAUUGACGCCACCUGUCUAAGUUAAAGAACAGACACCAAUUCAUCUGACGUCACCUCUUCAAAGUAGGGUACUUUGGAAAAUAAUCUGGAAAAUGGGUUAUUUUGAGAAUUUUUAUGAAAAAUUGGAUUAUUUUGGUGAAAAAAUUCAAUUUAGAAGUCAAAAUUGAGGAUAUUCCACAAAAUAACAUUUUUUAUAUUUAUUUAUUUAUUUAUUAUUAAUAACCUAAACACUAAAUAAUAUUGUCUAUAUUUGUUUAUUUGUAAAAACUUGACCAUUUUAUCUUUUAUAAUUUAUUUAUUAAUAACCUAACACUAACUACUCAACCAUUUUUUUAUUAUUUUUAAUCUUAAUAUUUAAAGCACAACCAUUAACAAAUAGCAUUAGUCAUUAACAAAAACUAUAGAAUUAAUUUUAUAUUAUUAAUUAUUCAGUAAGAAUUAACUUUAUUCCACUAACUUUUAAUAUUCGUUGCAGCAUAAACAAAAAUAUAUGAUAUUAAAAUUAUUUAUUUAACUGAGUAUUUUAUUUUUGAUUUACAUGUGUAGUUUGUGUUUGAAAAAUAUAAACUGAAUUUUUAAUUUAAUUUUAUAUUUAACUCUCAAUGAUGGCUAUAAAUCAAAUUAAAAAGAUAAAAUUUCAUCAUUCAUAGCAAUAUUACCUCUCAAAAUCAAAAUAAUGUGGAGAGAAGUUUGUCGAACACUUAUUUAUAUACAAAGAGAUUACGUGUGAGAAGUGAUUUUUUUUUGGAUUUUGAUUUGAGGUUUUUUUACCGAGAUAAUCCACUUUUUCGAAAAAAUUCCCAAAAUACCCCACUUUUAGGAGGAGGCGCCAAUUGGAUUGGCGACCCCUCUUAAAAAUUGCAAGGAGGCGCCAAUUGGAUUGGCUAGGGCACCUGCCCUACCAAUCCCAAAUUGGCGCCUAUGUGUAAUUUUAAGAGGGGGCGCCAAUCCCAAUUGGCGCCCUCCCUUAAAAAAGCCUCAAAUGAAAGUUGUAGAUCUUUUCAAGACAAUGAAUUUGAGAUAUAAAUUUUGCUCAUUUGGAUUUUUUAUGAGAAAGUUAUGGGCCAGUUGAAGUUGGACCUUCUGAGUUUUUCAAACUGUUAUCUGAGCCUAUAAUUUUGUAGUAUUGCAUGUGUUUCUUUAGGAAUAUGAAUUUUUGUCCAACAUAACAUUUGAAGUAGACAUCCUUAAAUUUUCCAAUGAACUUGGUCCCACUUCAAAAUAAUUAAAAAUGAGUGAGUUAGGUCUUUGCGACUUGACCCAAAAUUAAGGGUUUAUCUCAAAACAUGAGUAUGUGAAUUUUGCCAAAGGGACCAACUUCAAGCCCUUCUGUUUGAAUGAUAAAAUCCUCAAUGACAAAACCUUCAACAUAAAGUUUUAGAUCUUUUCAAGAUAAUGAAUUUGGAUAAGUUUGCAUCAUUUGCAAUUUUUAUGAGAAAGGUAUGGGCACCUAAACUUGGACUCUUUGACAUUUUAACUGUUAUCUGACCUAUAAUGUUUUUGUAUUAUUGCAUGUGUUUGUGUUAGAGUUAUGAAUUUUUGUCCAACAUAACAAGUGAAGUAGACAUCUUAAAUUUCCAAUGCACUUGGUCCCACCUCAAAAUAAUUAAAAAUGAGUGAGUUAGUCCUUGCGAACUUGACCCAAAUUGGGUUUCUGUCAAAACACGUGUAUGUGAAUUUUGCCAAAAGGGACCAAAUUCAAGCCCUUCUGUUUGAAUGAUAAAAGCCUCAAAUGACAAAACCUUCAACAUAAAAGUUUUAGAUCUUUUCAAGAUAAUGAAUUUGGACAAUUUUUUUGUAUCAUUUGCAUUUUUUAUGAGAAAGGUAUGGGCACCUGAACUUGGACUCUUUGACAUUCUACAUUGUUAUCUGACCUUAAUGUUUUGUAUUAUCAUAUGUGUUUAUUUUAGAAUUAUGAAAUUUUGUCCAACAUAACAAUUUAAGUAGACAUCUCAAUGGAGUUUCAGUCAAACAUGUGUAUGUGAAUUUUGCCAAAAUGGAGUUUAGACAAAGAAACCUAAUGUUUGGAGUUUACACAAAGAUAAUUUGAUAUAAUACGAAUUAUAUUAUAAAAUUUGGAUUUUACACAAAGAAUCCUAAUGGUGAUGACGGCGAUCACCUAACCGACCUCCGGUCCACAUCCCCUAGCUACCCUAACCCUUGGCCCUAACCCACGUUGACGAUUCUCUGCACCGGUGUUUGUUCAUCUGAUGGUCCAGGAGCGUCAUUACCUCCUACAGAAGAAGCACGUUGAGGUAUUCAGCCAACUCAGCAUAGUCUUCGUAUCUCAAUGAUGGUGUCCCCGCCGUAUUGAGCUCAUGACCAAUGCCAGAGAAGUUGGGGUGUGGUUGACUCAUGGAUGGGCGACCGGGACGGUUGAAGGGAGACAUGGGUGGUGAAUGAUGGGUCUAGGACGGUUGGAAAGGUUGUUGGGGGUGUUUGGAAGAGAUAUGGUUGUGGGAAUGUUUUGUAUAUAUGAUGUUUGGGGUUCUUGGCUACGGUAGGAGGAGGGGCGGUUAGUGUUUUGGCUAAGGCGACUUUGGUAGGGUGAUGGUGUGGGUGCGAAGCGAUGUUCGGUUGAGGUUGAUGGUCCAUUUGUUGGUGGUGGUAUGGGGGAUGUUCUUGGUAUUGGGGUGGGUGAAUGGCAUGUUUUGGUUGUAUGUUUGUGUGUUUGUGGAACGGAAAGUUUGACGGAUAGGUGGUUGUGAGUAACCGGGCUGAGAAUGUUGUUAGGGUUAGAUGUUGAUCCUUCUUGUGUGUAACUUGUCUGGCGUGGGUCGUAGAGGUACAUAUCAUCAGCGAUGAAUUGAAAUCCAACCGAUCUGUACCAAGCCAUAUAAGUACGACUUGGUUUUACUCAUUUGGCAUGACUGCGUCAGUUAAGACAUGGUCAUGGCGGUGCUUCCACUUGCGACACUCUGAUCUUGCGAAGGUUUGCCAAGAGUUGUAGUUCCAUUGUUCGUUCACUUUACGCAUAUGCCAUUCUCCUAGGCUAGCUGGGGGUCUGGGAUAUUCUGGACCAUACCGAACUGCAGCUUCACACGAUCGGUGUUGUGCAUCUCCACUGUUGUGAACCGUAUUAUCGUGUGCAUGCUAUCCAUACGGCUGCGUCUUCAGGGUUGACCUGAUGCUCAUGAUCAAUUAAGGUAUGGACGCCAAUGAACUGAAAUGUUAAAGCGAUAGGAUUUAAAUGAAUGUAGAAAAAGUCAACAUAAUAUAGUCAGGCCUUCCGCAUACCUUGCUCCCAUGUCAUUGCAGCAUGCGCUUAUACUCGUCAAGACGCUUACACCCAUUUAUCUGAUGUGUCACAAGGCCAACACCAUCAUGAAUGUAUAUAGUCAAAGCUUUCCAGUACUACCCAAUGGAGGAUUACUGGCCUCCAUAUGAAGGAGAUAUUGUUGGCACAAUGAAGAGAUGCGUAGAAAGAAGAAAGGAAGUCCAAAUAACACACGUAUCAGAACAGAGAUGGAUUCCACAGAUAAAAUGAUAAGAUUAUGUAGUAUCUGUCGUCAACCAGGACACACAAAAAACAACUGUCCCAAUCAAGGAGCAUCAUCUAGAUCUUAAGCUUUUUGUAACAUUUUAUCUAGAUCUUAAGCUUUUUGUAACAUUUUAUCUAGAUCUUAAGCUUUUUGUAACAUUGUAUUUCUGUAACAAUCAAUCAUUAUAUAUCAUUAAGUUCUUGUUACAACGAGUUUCAUAACCAACAUCAGUACAAACAUCUGAAAACAUAAAUAAUUCUAACUGAUUACAACAAUCAAAUUAAUGUCAUCUCGACCGAACAUCAUUUCCCUAGCAUCCUUAUCAGUCUUCAUUCGCACCCAACCAAAGAUACUGUCAAGUCUCUCAAUACUUCUGAUUUUUUCCCCUCUCGGUAUUUUCCCGUCUAACCAUCGAACCAGCUCCCUCUUCAGUUGAUCUAACGUGGUGAUGUUCCAAACAAGCAUCACCAAUUGAGGUUUGCUCUCGCAUAAAUCACCUUACCGUAUCGGCGACGAACACCAAACAUGAAGCCAAAUGAUUAUAUGAGUUGUGAAACAAUAGGUCACACAACGCAUCUAUUUAUAAGACAAAAAGGCAUUUUAUGAGGGACUCGCCAAUUGAGUUGGCGCCUCCUUUUAAAACCUACACAAAGGCGCCAAUUGGAUUGGCUAAGGCACCUGCCCUAGCCAAUCCAAUUGGCGCCUCCAUUCAAGUUUAAACAACAGUCGCCAUAUGAACAACUUUCAUGUUCAUCAAAAAUCUAUUUGAAACUUGGAAGCUCAUCAUUCAUUUCAAAACAUUAUAGGUCAUUUUUGACAGAAACCCUAAUUUGGGUCAACUUCGCAGGACCUAACUCACUCAUUUUUAAUUAUUUUGAGGUGGGCCAAGUGCAUUGGAAAUUUAGAUGUCUACUUCAGUUGUUAUGUUGGACAAAAUUCAUAACUCUAAAAUAAACACAUGAAAUAAUGCAAGACAUUAUAGGUCAGAUUAUAGUUGAAAACUCACGAAGUCCAACUUCAACUGCCCAUAACUUUCUCAUAAAAAAUCCAAAUGAUGCAAAAUUUAUAUCCAAAUUCAUUUUCUUGAAAGAUCUACAACUUUAAUGUUGGAGGUUGUUUCAUUUGAAGCUUUUUUAAGGGAGCCGCCAAUUGGAUUGACACUCCUCCUCUUAAAAAUUACACAUAGGCGCCAAUUGGAUUGGCUAGGGCAGGUGCCCUAGCCAAUCCAAUUGGUGCCUCCUUGCAAUUUUUAAGAGGGGUCGCCAAUCCAAUUGGCGCCUCCUCCUAAAAAUGGGGUAGAUUGGGAAUUUUGCUGAAAAGUUGGGUAUUUUGGGAAUUUUUUCGAAAAAGUGUCUUAUCUCGGUAAAAAAACCUUUGAUUUUCAUCUUUUUGAUUAUAACAUUUGUAAAUAUGGAUAUUUUAUAAAUGAACUGCUUCCACUAUUUCAUUAAUUCAUUUAAGACUAACUUAAAUCCACUAAUUUUUUAUAUUCAAUUAAUUAUUAUUAUUUAAUACAAUAUAAGUUUAUUAUAACAAUUUUUAUCUUUAUUAUACUAUAAAAUAUAAUUUCCUAUUUUAUUUAAUUUUAUAUUAUUAAUUAUUUAAUAAAAAUUAAUUUUGCUCCGCUAACUUCUUAUUUUCGUUGUAGCAUAAACAAAAAUAUAUAAUGUUAAAAUUAUUUUUCUACCACUAAUUUAUUAUAUUAAUUUUAUUUAUUUAUUUUAAUUAUAUAAUAAAAACUAAAUUCCUCCCCCUAACUUCUUAUAUAUAUUUUUUUUAAAUCAUACUAAUUAAUAAUCCUCUAACAUCUCUCAUAAUAAAUUUUCACUAAGACUGAAUUUAUUUUAAUUAAUUGUUUAAAUUAUUUAUGAUAAAAAGAAAAUGAGACUUAUCAUUUAUUUAUAAUCAAUUUAAAAAUGAAAUUACAAUAGAAAGAGAAUGGGAUUUAGUGGUAAGUUAUUGUUUAGUGGAUAGAUAUACAUAAUUCUAAUAUUAAUUUGGUGGUGUGGAAGUUAUUAUUCAAUAUAUACACAAUACAAAGUGAUGUUUUCGGAAAUACAAAUGAAACAUCAACUCUCUUUAUAUAAAAAAGACAAAUAUACUACCAAAAUUGGUGGGAAGAUUAUUUUGGUUUUUAAAAUUUGGUGGGAAGAUGUAUAAAAAAAAAUUGAGGGAAAUUUAAUUUGCAUCUAAUUUUUCACGAUGAGGAUGUGGAAAGCCAAUUUUUUUGUUGUAAUUAUUUUUGGAUAGAAUAAAUGCUGACCAAUUUUUAUUUUAUCAACAUUUGGCUUAAUUAUAACAUUAAUACUACUAAAUAUUUAAUUUAGGGGUAUUUUUGGAAGUACAAGUUUAUUUUUCAGAAAAAUUAAUUAAAAAAAAUAUUCCUUGGUUUGUGUGAUUUCUUAUGUUUGUCUCUUACAAAUAGGAACGGAGGUAGUAUCUAUCAAGUUAUCAACUACUCUGAAUCCAAAAUUGUUAUUAAUCAUUUAAUGGAUUUUAAAUAAUUUGAUUUUGUUCUGAUUCCUAAAUGUGAAACGCUGAUUAUUCUUACUUUGUCUUUUUUUUCUAAUUAUGGUUAUUAUUUCACUCUCUUUCUUCUUCUUUUUUAAAUAAUUUGAUUUUGUUUCUUGAUCCUAUAUUUACGGGAUUAUUCUUACUUUGUUUUUUAUAUUUGUGCUAAUUAUGGUUAUAUUUGGUCUUUUUGGCGCAUCAAAAAUUAUUUUCAAUUCUUAAACUUAACUGAUUUUAUUUUUUAUUUUAAAUUCAUGUGUUUACAUUUUUUUGUUUUUAUAAUAUUUUUGGGGUAGAAGUUGCAUCGUGAUUCUUGCGUUAGGAAUUUCUAUUAUUCAAUAGUAUUAUUAAAACCUUAUAGAAGCAUAUUCAUUGAAUACUCGCAAUGACUUCUAGAAAUAAUUCCUUUGCGCAUCUAUCACGCCAUGAAGCGUGCCAUGUUCUUCUCUAUUUCAACUUUAUUUUGCUCUUAGUCAUACUUUAAUAUAUUACCAAUUUUGACUUUUACUCACACAAUAUUGUUCACUUUACGAAAUCCUUUACUUUUCAAUUUUGAAUUUACCACAUUGGCUAACUUUAAUUUCAUAGGGUACCCAUGAUUUUUUUAAUAAAAUCGUAAAGUUUGAUUUACGAUUCAAAAAUCUUUGACCGGUUUUCUUAAUUAGUAAAUUUUUUUAAGAAUUACAAAUUGGACUAAAAUCAUCAAAGAGAGCAAAGAAAUAAAGAAAAUCAAAAGCUUCCGACUUUAUUAGUAAUUUCCAUCUUCUGUGAGUAAUAUGAAAAUCGAAAAAAGGUAAAAAAAAAAAAAAAAAACUUAAAAAGAAAAAAAAAAAAAACCCUAAAAUAAUUUACAUGGCCAAAAACAUGAGAACCAGUCCAAGGUUGUUUUGUCUCAUUCAAAAAAGUGUCUUUAAGGUCUAUUCUUCAUCUUCAUCUUCUUCAUCGAUCCAAACCAUAUAAGAAAGUGGAUUUGAUGACAAUUUAGAUUUGUUAUUGUCAACAACACCAAAAGAUUGUGUCUUGUGGGUAUAUACCAAAGAAGAAGUUGAAGGGGUGGGUUUGAUCAUGGUAGUAGCUGAUUGUUGUUGUUGCUGUUGAUUCUGAGGAUGAUCUUCAGUGUUUGGCGUUUGGAGAGGAAGCACGGUGGGAGAAGCAGUAGAUGGUUGUGGUUGUGGACGAGGGUAGAAGAGAUCAGUGGGAAAAAAGUUAUAUUGUUGAAGACCCGCCAUGAGAGUAGAGAGAAAGUUUUUUGGAGUAUUUUGGUUUUUCUUUAGUAAACGUGAUUAAGGGAAGAGGUGUAUUUAUAGAGAAAGAUAGAGAGAAAAAAAAGUAAAAGUGGGUUCUAUACUUUUCUAGUUUUGUGGCUUGGGAAACAAGGGAUUUUCUUGAUUUUAGUGUACACUUUUUUCCCCCUUUGUCGAUGUUUACAAUUACGGUUUAAUUUGUCCGGUUUUCACUCUUCAUAUAUUGCGGCAAUCAGGAAGUUAGUUGCGGUUUAAGUAUGUUGAUAAUUUAUAAAAUUUACAAUUUUAUCUUUAAGGAAAAAAUUUAAAUUCAAUUUAUUACUAUUUUAAAAAAAUGUGAUUUCCUUUUAUAUAUAUAUAUAUAUAUAUAAUUAUAUAUAUAAUAUAAUAUAUAAUAUAUAUAUAUAUAUAUAUAUAUAUAUAUGAUAUAUAUAUGAGAAUUCAAAUAAAAAUAAUACAAGCUAUUGGUUUACAAGGGACACAACUCUCGUAAACAAUGAAUUUAAUUAAUUAUUUGACUGAUUAAUUAUAAAUGAGAUGAUUAAUUAAGAAAUAAAUAUAUUUUAUUUUAUUAUUAUUAAAUUUUAUUUAUUGAUAAAUUAUUUGAUUAAGUUUUAUUUGUUUAAUUAUUUAAUUAAAUAUAAUAAAUUAUUUUACUCUUGAUUUACUGCAACAAUUAAAUUAAAAAGUUAGUUGUUACAAAUAAAGAUUUGGCGUGUGUGAGAGAGAUAUAUUCCGAUGUGAUUUCACUAAUCUAAUUUCAUCAAUUCUUAAAGAUUAUUCACACAUAUUUUAUUUAUUGAACCAUGAAAAAUAAGUUGAAAAAAGUCAACUUAAAUACACCAUACAUAUAAUAAUAAUAGUAUAUUAUAAUAAUAAUUAUUAUAAUAAAUACAAUUUUUUUAAUUAUUAUAAUAUUUAAUAACUAUAAUAAUAAUAAAGAUUUUUAUUAUAUUAUACAAUUUUCUAUAUUUUAAUUAAGUACACGGUAAUUUAUAGUGUUUCAUAAUUCUCUUAAGUACAUCGUAUCUUAUGAUGUUCCUUAUUUAUUUAUAUCUCAUUAUUUGUUUUUAUGUAUGUAGUCAUGUAGGUUUUCGUGACGUUGAUAAUUAUAUUAAAUCAAAUAUUUAAUAUAAUAAAUACUUAGUGCUAUCUAGCAACACAUCAAUGUUACCUAAGUCACGAAAAUGUCAUGUGAUCUUACAAAAUCUUUUUUAAUAAUGUUUGUGUGUACAAUUACCCAUUUGUCAUCAUGUUUAUAUUGAACACAAGGCAUAAACCGUGUCACCCUUGUCCAGUUCAAUAUUGGGCCCUUAGACAUUUAGAAUGGACAAAUUUCAUCUAGGUCACUCAAGUUGCUCAACAUGAUUUUGUGGAGUACCCAUCAACUGUCUUUAUGGUCAUCCGAUUACAGACAAUGUUUGAUAAGCACUAAAGUACUCGACUCCUACAUCUAGGGUCCAUAAUGGUUUUAGGUUGAAGGAUGGUAUAAACCAUUAUCAUCAUGAGAAUAACUUAUGACACUUUGCAUAACUUUCUAUGUAGUAUUCUCAUAGCGGGUCUAUCUAGUAUAAAUAUUACUGAUAAUAUUCAUACUUAUAUUAAGACUUGAUAACUCUUUAUCCAUGACCCAUGAGAUGUGAUAAUCAAUCUAUCCACAUAAUAAUCUCAAUGAUUUAAUGUUAUCUCACUUCACAAUAAAGUUCGACUAUGGAUACUUUAAGAAUAAUGUUCUUAUGUUUAAUGGGAUAUCAUGAAUAAGUCACAUUUAACAUUUCAUUAAACAGACUAUCUAUUCUAAUGAAUUUAUUAUUUUGGAAAAAUAAACAUAGUAAAGAAAUGCUUUUUAAUUUUUAAUAAAUAGUUUGAUACAAGCACCAAGUUCUAAUAAAAUUAUUGGCCUCUAGGGCUUACACUAACAUCUCCCACUAGCACUAGAGCCAAUCAUGCAUACACCUAAUAGUCAUAGAUCUAGUAUGAUCAACAUGCUUCUACUUUGCAAAAGGCUUUGUCAGUGGGUCAACGAUAUUGUCAAGUGUUUGUACUCUGCAUAUCUUUAUAUCUCCUAUAACUAUUAUCUCUCGAAUGAGAUAAAUAUCUCCUAAGUGUAUGUUUGGAUUGUUGGUGAGAUCUAGACUCCUUAGCUUGUGUGUUAGAACCAUUGUCAUCACUUUAAGUUGUUGUGGUAACGUGUACAGUUGUUUAGUUAAUUCUUCCACUGUUUGAGUGAGAAGCUUAUUUUGUGCCAAGAUAGCGUCAUUUGAGCUUAACUCCAGAAUUCCUGAUUUUCCUUGUGUCAUACCUCUGUUGUAUUGCACCUGAUGAUUGUUGAGAGCCAUAUGAUUGAUGAUAGAAACUACCUCUUCUGCACUUUUAGAUAAUAGCGAACCAUCGACAGUUGCAUCAAGUAAAAGAUUUGGUUGUGGCUGCAGUCCAUUACGGAAAAUAUGGAUUUAUGUGAAUUCAUCAAAACCAUGAUUUGGACACUUCCGUAGCAUACAUUUGUAGUGUUCCCAUGCCUCAUAGGGUUUCGGUUUCACUUUGAGCGAACACGAUGAUUGUUGUCUUGGCAUCCAUGAAUCUAUUGUGUGGGAAGAAUUUGUUCAUAAAGUUUUCUUCCCCGGCGUUCUAGUUGGUCAUGAUUUGAGUAGGUUAGUCAAGAUAUCAAUCCUUUGCCUUACCGAUCAAGGAAUGUGGAAACAAUCUCAUAAAGACUUCCUCUUCUUCAGCUUCGGGUGCUCUCAUUGUACUGGCUAGUUUGUAGAAUUUAUUGAGAUGAGUGUAUGGAUCUUCAUGAUCCAACACUGCAAAAGGUUUGCAUAUAUGAUCUGCAAGAAUCCUGCUUUCAUCUCAGCUUAUCGAUUGUUUAGAGUGUUGGUGAAACGAGCUAACUGUCUUGGACUGUUCCGACAAGGUCCACCGUUGACAACUUCAGGUCCACCUUCUGGUUCAACCAUUGUUUCUUUUGUUGUAAGUGUUGAAGAAGUUGAUGUGGAAGCUCCUUUCUUUUGAUAAUUUUGCUUGGCUAGUUGCUUAUGCUUCUUGGUCUGUCUCUUGUUUCUCCUGUCUGUUCUUUCGAUCUCGGGAUCAAAAAGUAACUGAUCUACCGGUGUUUUACCUCGCAUAAACAGAAAUCAUAAAUCUAGCAAGCAAAAGUUAGUAGUACGAUGGAUAAAAGUAUAUAUACAAUAUUGCGAUGCUUCUAAUAUCUAAACGUCACUCCUCGGCAACAACACCAUUUUGAUGUUCAAUAUAUCAAAAGUAAAUAUUAUUUGUAUCGUAUCCACAAGGACUGAUGCGAUAUCACAACCGUUCAACGGUUUAAUAUAGUUUUAAGUGAAAAGUGGUCAAUUUGUUUCUCUGCAUAAAGUACGUAAUAUAAAAACGGUAAAUAAUAAGUGAAGUUUUAAAUAUGAGAAAGCUUAUUGGGAUUGGAUUUCAUCCACCCAUUGAAUAUGUAGUUUAUUGAUCAGUUAUACAAAAUCUAGAUAUUCAUCAAUAUCAUCAUGUAUCGCUAACAAACAGAGUUUAUGUCUAAACUUCUGAUGAGAGAUCGACCUUACUGUUUAAUCGACGAUUUCUCAUCCUAUUAAGCAAUAAGGUAACAUUAAGAAUCGAUACUUGCGGUGAAUGUUAAAUGUCUAGCAUUUAGAAUCUAACAGAUGAUUAUCUUAGAUCAAAAUUCGAACUGUCCUUCUCAAUAUCAAUUCCACUCUAUAAAGUUAAAUAGUGAAACAAAGAUAACAUCAAUAUUAAUUCAUGAAUAGAUUGUAUAUAACACCAUAAUCAAUAAACAUACAUACUGUUACGGUGAACUACAUCCAAUCCUAAUAAGAAAUGGAUUUAACUACUCAUGGUAACUUGGUACAAAAUAAAAGAAGAAGAUGAAUGGGCAUCAAAUACGAUUUUCCGAAAAUCUGAUGCGUAUCCAACUUCUUUCUCCCUUCCACUCUGCUCCUGUUUCUAUUUUUCUGGUGUGUUUCCAAACAGAACAAAAAGAUACCUACUGAAAUGACUUGAGUGCUAUUUAUAAUUUUUCCAAAGUAUCAUGAUCGCGCUACAACGCCAAAAACUGUGUUGCAGUGCACCCAGUUGCUUAGCUGUGAAGAGUUUUGAAACUGCAUUUGGACUUAAGUCGCCUUAGUGCGCUCUGCGUAGAAAAUUGUGUUGCAGCGCACUUGUGCUUUGCGCAAAAAGUUGUAUUGUAGCGUACUUGCGCCCUGCCUAGCAUGGCAAACGUUUCCUCAUUUUUCGCCCUGAGCGGUGCUGGCAGCGAGCCUCCAUUUGAAAAUGACUUUUUGAAUUUUCUUGUGGCGUGCUGCAGCAAGCUUGUGGUGUGCUACUCGUGUUUUGCUUCUUUUGCUCGCUGCUUUGCGCUGCAGCGAAUCAGUUUUCUUGAUUUGUUUUUUGGACUUUCAUUUGGUGAUUUUGCCUGAACUAAUUCAAAUCAAAGAUCAACAAGUAAUCACUCUAUUAACUAGUUUUCGUUUCUAAUUAAAACAAUAAUUUUUAUCAAGAAAUUCAUAUUAAUGGACCCUAUAAAAAUCAAGAUAUAGUGCUCUAAUACUCAUUCUUGACCACGUCUUUACAAGAGAGGUCUUUCCACACCUAUUUAAAUUUUUAGAGCAUGAUGAAGCGAAUACACCCUCCUUGAAGUUCACAAGGGUAUAUCCAUUCAACCCCCACAAAGGAAGGGCCUUUGGUCAAAGACCUUUUUAGAAAAUUAUAAUACUUGCCUUCUAUAGUUCAAGAUGACAAUAAAAAAUAUAUUAUAUAAAAUGUGAAAAAUGCCAGAGACACAAAAACAUUCACAUCGCCCUCCUUUAGAGCAUAAUAUUUUAAGUGUGUCAUUCUCUUAGUAGAUUAUGAGUAUAUAUAUAUAUAUAUAUAUAUAUAUAUAUAUAUAUAUAUAUAUAUAUAUAUAUAUAUAUAUAUAUAUAUAUAUAUAUAUAUAUAUAUAUAUAUAUAUAUAUAUAUAUAUAUAUAUAUAUAUAUAUAUAUAUAUAUAUANNNNNNNNNNNNNNNNNNNNNNNNNNNNNNNNNNNNNNNNNNNNNNNNNNNNNNNNNNNNNNNNNNNNNNNNNNNNNNNNNNNNNNNNNNNNNNNNNNNNNNNNNNNNNNNNNNNNNNNNNNNNNNNNNNNNNNNNNNNNNNNNNNNNNNNNNNNNNNNNNNNNNNNNNNNNNNNNNNNNNNNNNNNNNNNNNNNNNNNNNNNNNNNNNNNNNNNNNNNNNNNNNNNNNNNNNNNNNNNNNNNNNNNNNNNNNNNNNNNNNNNNNNNNNNNNNNNNNNNNNNNNNNNNNNNNNNNNNNNNNNNNNNNNNNNNNNNNNNNNNNNNNNNNNNNNNNNNNNNNNNNNNNNNNNNNNNNNNNNNNNNNNNNNNNNNNNNNNNNNNNNNNNNNNNNNNNNNNNNNNNNNNNNNNNNNNNNNNNNNNNNNNNNNNNNNNNNNNNNNNNNNNNNNNNNNNCAGGAAAGGGGAAGAAAUCCAAUCGCCCCCCUCCCCUUUAGAGCAUAAAAAAAUUAUUUUUUUUAAAAAAGUUGGGUGUCAAUUCCUCCUAAGUAGAUUAUGAGUAAUAUAUUUAUAUAUAGUAUAUAUAUAUAUAAUAUAUAUAUAUAUAUAUUAUAUAUUAUAUAUAUAUAGUAUAUAUAUAAUAUAUAUAUAUAUAUAUAUAUAUAUAUACUAUAUAUAUAGUACACCAUAUAUAUAUAUAUAUAAAUAAUAAUAUAUAUAUAUAUAUAUAAUAUAUAAUAUUUAAUUUGUAUAUUCGUUAGCUUUUCCUUUAACAAAAAGUAAAGAAGAUUAUUGAAAUAUAGAAGAAAUCAAAUACAUAGUUGAACAACAAUUUCACUCUUUGAUCGCUUUUAUUAAUUAUAUUAUAAUUCAACACCUUUCAUAAUAUACAAAUUAAAUCCAACUUUACAAUUCAAAAAUCUUUGACCGGAUUUCUUAAUUAGUAAAAAUAUUUUAGGAAUUACAAAUUGGACUCAAAUCAUCAAAAGGAGGCAAAUAAAUAAACAAAAUCAAAAGCUUUCAACUUUCUUAGUAAUUUCCAUCUUCUGUGAGUAGUAACAUGAAAAUUGAAAAAGGGUAUAAAACACAAACUUGAAAAAAGAGAAUAAACCAUUAAAUAAUUUACGUGGCCUAAAACAUGAGAACUAGUACAAGGUUGUCUUGUCUCAUUCAAAAAAGUGUCUUUGAGGUCUAUUCUUCAUCUUCUUCAUCAAUCCAAACCAUAUAAGAAAGUGGGUUUGAUGACAAUUUAGAUUUGUUAUUGUCAACAACACCAAAAGAUUGUGUCUUGUGGGUAUAUACCAAAGAAGAAGUUGAAGGGGUGGGUUUGAUCAUGGUAGUAGCUGAUUGUUGUUGUUGUUGAUUCUGAGGAUGAUCUUCAGUGUUUGGUGUUUGGAGAGGAAGCACGGUGGGAGAAGCAGUGGAUGGUUGUGGUUGUGGACGAGGGUAGAAGAGAUCAGUGGGGAAAAAGUUGUAUUGUUGAAGACCAGCCAUGAGAGAGUUGUAUUGGUUUUUGGAUCUUAAUUUUUCUUAGUAAAAGUGAUUAGGGGAAGAGGUGUAUUUAUAGAGAGUGAUUAGGGUUCUAAAUCUUUGUUGGUGGCUUGGGAUUCAAGGGAUUUUCUUGGUUUUAAUGUACACUUUUUUUCACUGGUCGAUGUUUACAAUUACUGUUUAAUUUGUCCGGUUUUCACUCUUAUAUACUGCGGCAUUUAGGAAGAUGGUUUGUAUUGUAGUUUAAAUUUGUUGAUAAUUUGUAAAUUUUACAUUUUUUAUCUUUAAGGAAAAAAUUUAAAUUCAAUUUAUAUAUAUAUAUAUAUAUAUAUAUAUAUAUAUAUAUAUAUAUAUAUAUAUAUAUAUAUAUAUAUAUAUAUAUAUAUAUAUAUAUAUAUAUAUAUAUAUAUAUAUAUAUAUAUAUAUAUAUAUAUAUAUAUAUAUAUAUAUANNNNNNNNNNNNNNNNNNNNNNNNNNNNNNNNNNNNNNNNNNNNNNNNNNNNNNNNNNNNNNNNNNNNNNNNNNNNNNNNNNNNNNNNNNNNNNNNNNNNNNNNNNNNNNNNNNNNNNNNNNNNNNNNNNNNNNNNNNNNNNNNNNNNNNNNNNNNNNNNNNNNNNNNNNNNNNNNNNNNNNNNNNNNNNNNNNNNNNNNNNNNNNNNNNNNNNNNNNNNNNNNNNNNNNNNNNNNNNNNNNNNNNNNNNNNNNNNNNNNNNNNNNNNNNNNNNNNNNNNNNNNNNNNNNNNNNNNNNNNNNNNNNNNNNNNNNNNNNNNNNNNNNNNNNNNNNNNNNNNNNNNNNNNNNNNNNNNNNNNNNNNNNNNNNNNNNNNNNNNNNNNNNNNNNNNNNNNNNNNNNNNNNNNNNNNNNNNNNNNNNNNNNNNNNNNNNNNNNNNNNNNNNNNNNNNNNNNNNNNNNNNNNNNNNNNNNNNNNNNNNNNNNNNNNNNNNNNNNNNNNNNNNNNNNNNNNNNNNNNNNNNNNNNNNNNNNNNNNNNNNNNNNNNNNNNNNNNNNNNNNNNNNNNNNNNNNNNNNNNNNNNNNNNNNNNNNNNNNNNNNNNNNNNNNNNNNNNNNNNNNNNNNNNNNNNNNNNNNNNNNNNNNNNNNNNNNNNNNNNNNNNNNNNNNNNNNNNNNNNNNNUAUAUAUAUAUAUAUAUAUAUAUAUAUAUAUAUAUAUAUAUAUAUAUAUAUAUAUAUAUAUAUAUAUAUAUAUAUAUAUAUAUAUAUAUAUAUAAUGUCAUUUACCUUUUAUAUAUAUAUUUUAAAAAGUUUAUAUGAGAAUUCAAUUAAAAAUAAUACAAGCUAUUACUCGUAGUUUACAAGGGACACAACUCUUGUAAACUAUGACUAGACUAUUGAAUUAUUAUUUAACUGAUUAAUUAUAAAUUGACAUGAUUAAUUAAGAAAUAAAUUAUAUUUUAUUUUAUUAUUAUUAAAUAUUAAUUAUUAAUAAAUUAUUUGAUUGAAUUUUCUGUAUGAAUUAGAUCAUUCAAUUAAAUUUAAUAAAAAAUAUUUAUUCGGAUGUAAUUAAUUAUUUAAACGUAAUCUCAUUAACUCCAUCUCACGAUUAAGAUAUUAAACAAAAUCUAAUUUCUAAUACAAUUUGAUUUUUUCCAUAAUAUAUUAAUUUUUUAAAUUUGAAACUAUUUUUCUAAAUUUCUAAAUAUUUGAUGAUAUUUAAUCCAAGAAUUAUACACUAUUUUAAACUAAAUAUUUUAGACACAAUUUUAUAAAAUAUAUUAAAUAAUAUGUUACCUUAUUGAUAUUUAUAUGCUCACUUGUAAAGCAUUAUUAUUGCAAAUAUUUUUAUAAAUUAUUAGGGCAACUGAAAAUGCAUUAUCUUUGAUUUUUAUUAAAGUAUUUUUUUUUUAAGAUUUACAUUGGUUAAUGAACAUUUAAGAUAAUAUUGUAUAAGUUCUUUUGAUUUUUAAAUUCGACUUUAUAAAAAAAAUGAAUGUCAUAGUCUCUUGAGUCAUUCACAAAAAUUUAUAAUACAUGGGAAUCAAUCCUCAUCAAUUUCGAGAAUCCAAAGGAGAUUUUUUAACAAAAAUAACCCACUUUUUCAAGGAAAUUCCCAAAAUACUUCUGGAUUCAAAAAAAUUCUCAAACUACCUCACUUUUAGGAGGAGUCGCCAAUUGAAUUGGAGACUCCUCUUAAAAAUUGAAUGGAGGCGCCAAUUGGAUUGGCUAGGGCAGGUGCCGUAGCCAAUUGGAUUGGCGCCCCUGUGUAGUACUUAAGAGGAGGCGCCAAUUCAAUUGAAGCCUCAGUGUAAAAUGCAAUUUUUUUUGGUAAAUGGUAUACAUGAUAGAUAAAUUUGAUAUAGGAUCAAUUGAUAUUAAUAAAAUUUAUCGUUUACACAAAGAAACCUAAUGGUGAUGACCGGGAUCACCUAACCAACCAGUCCCACAUCCUCUAAUUACCCUAACUCGUGGCCCUAACCCACGUUGAUGAUUCGGUACCGGUGUUUGAGCAUCUGAGGGCCCAGGAGCGUCACUUCCAACUACAGGAGAAAGCCUGUUGAGGUAGUCAGACAAGUCGGCGUAGUCUUCAGUAUGCACCGAUGGUGUACUGUCGUAGCUAAGCUCAUGACCCAUGCCAGAGAAGUUGGGUUGUGGUUGACUCAUUGACGGGUGAGUGGGACGGUUGAAGGGAGACAUGAGUGUGAACGAUGCGUCGAGGAAAGGUUGGAAAGGUUGUUGGGGUGUUUGGUAGAGAUAAGAUUGUUGGAUGUUUUGGUUUUGUGAGGUUUGCGCUUCUUGGCUAUGGUAGGAGGAGGGGCGGUUGGUGUUGAAUGAUCGUUGGGUGUUCUGCCUUAUGCGACUUUGGUAGGGUGAUGGGGUGGGUGCGAAGCGAUGUUGAGUCUCAGGUUGAUGGUCAAUUUGUUGGUGGUGGUAUGGGGUAUGCUCUUGGUAUUGGGGUUGAGUGUAUGAUAUGUUUUGGUUGUAUUUUGUGUGUUGGUUGAACGGAACGUUUGACGGACAAGGGGUUGUGUGUAUCCGGUCUAACACUGUUGUUAGGGGUUUGAUGUUGAGGUGUCAGGUGUGUAAGUCAUCUGGCGUGGAUCAUACAAGUACAUAUCCUCGGCGAUGAACUGAAAACCAACCGAUUUGUACCAAGCCAUAUAAGUACGACUUGGUUUUUCUUCAAUUGGCAUGACUGCGUCAGUUAACACAUGGUCAUGACGGUGCUUCCGUUUGUGACACUCUGAUCUUGCGAAGAUUUGCCAUGGAUUGAAGUUCCAUUGAUCGUUAACUUUGCGCAGAUGCCAUUCCGAACUGCAGCUUCACACGAUCACUGUUGUGCAUCUCCACAGUUGUGAACCGUAUUAUCGGUGUGCAUGCAGUCCAUAUGGUCGUGUCUUCAGCGUUGGCCUCAUGGUCAUGAUCCAAAUUAAGGUAUGGACGCCAAAUGAACUGAAAUGUGAAAGAAGAUAGGAUUAUAAUCUAGGUAGUUCUUCAAUUGUUUUAUAUUGCUUUAAUAAUUCAAUAAAAGGAAUGCAGUGUCGGUCGAAGGUGAUCCAACAGGUUGCGAUACUGAGUAAUACAGUGUCUUGGACAUCUGUUGUAACUCAUACCACAUGCAGACCAUCUACACGAAAAAGUCAAAAAAUAUUAGUUAGAGAUAAUAAUCUUUAAAGAAGUAACUAAAGAUAUAUCAAUUUAAACAACUUAUAUUUGUGCAUACGGAAAUGUGAAAGGGUUGUUGUUGACUGGUGCUAGGGACGGUAGUCUUGACCAACCCCAUGCUUGUAGAAAAAUAGCACAUCCAGAAAAUGUAGAUGUGUCUUUGUGUGAGUUUUUACACAAGGAGCUGUAGAGAUAGGCUAGACAAGCAGAUCCCCAAUUGUUACUUCCUAUUCUAUCUACAUGUCUAAGUAAAGGUAAAUACAUAAUAUGCAUGCUAGAACCACUACCUUCGGGAAAUAAAAACGAGCCAAUUAACAGCAUAAUGUAACACCUAGUUUUUAUUAUUCGAGCAUCUCGGUAGAAUCCGUCUAAUUAUAAACUAUUAUAGUACGACUUAAGGCGUGAAAGUAGUAUACCUGACCUCUUGCGUUAUCAUCUACAAAUCAGUCUCCAAGAGAUCCAUGCAAAUUGAAUUUGCAUAGUUGGUUUUAUCUUAACAACCUUACCUUCAAUGGGCAAUCCCAAAAGCAUGUAGACGUCUUCCUAACGUCACGGUACACUCACCGGUUGGGAAUCAAUGUGUGUGUCUCUGGUCUCCAUCUUUCGCAUAAAGCUAGAAUGAAUUUGUUAUCUACGGACCAAGACAAAAUCUUGCUUAUAUGACCAAAACCGGCGGUUCACCAUAAGGUUGAAUCAUCGGGUCCAUAUGGACAUAUUCGUGGACCCGAGUCUGGAACCUUGAUACAUCCUAUGAGAAAUAACAGAACAAAAAACUUGACUAAGUUGGUAUGUUAAAAUAAAAGGGGGUUGGUGAAGAUGAAAGAUAAAAAGUUAACAAAAGAAAAAACUUACAUAUGUUGCGAUGUUUGCAACCGUUCCUCUAUGUGAUUCAUCCAUUGUGAGGAUAAACAUUUUGUCGGGGGGUUGGUUGAUCACACUGAAUCACACCGUGUUUUUGACUCGGAUUUCACAUGUUUAUUAGGACUUUAUUAUCAUUUUGUUUGUAUUAUGCUCUCUUUUAUGUUAUUUUCAGAUAUUUACCUCUUUUGGGCCCCUUUUAGAAGAAACGAAGCAAAAAGACCUAAAAUUAGGGUUUUUCGGCAAAUAUUGUACACAUGGCGGCCGCUAUAGAAGAAGCCAUAACUCAUUAGCCCUCAACCAGGAGAUAACUGCCACGUUCCCAUGAUCUUUCCCAUUUUCACACAUGGCGGGCGCCACCUUUGCAAAUCACGUUCCCACUAAGGAGUAGUUGAAGGGCACCAUGAUCUUUGCAAACUGCUGAAAUCCUCUUUAAAUAGUUCAUUCCAUUUCAUUUUCAAAUCAUCCAACUUAGUUUACAACACUAAGACUAUAUUCUUCAUCUGUAAAAGCGGUAAUCCGUCACAUCGGNUAAUCCGUCACAUCGGGGGGUUAUCGCAUCUUAGUGAGAUUGAGUUGGGUCACUUCGAGUUGCUGUCGUCUUUAUCUUCAGAGUCGGAGGUUUAUUUUCCUUAUACCAGAUUUAAAGCCUCCGUUUGGAGCAGGUUCUUAUUUAUCGCUUUUAUUUAUUUAUUUACUUGUCUCGCUUUACUUUAUUUAUUUUCCGUCUCACUUUACUUUAUUUAUUUUCCGUCUCGCUUUACUUUAUUUAAUUUCUGUCUACGCUUUACUUUAUUUAAUUUCUGUCUCGCUUUACUUUAUUUAAUUUCUGUCUACGCUUUAUUUUAUUUAUUUUACACGCUUUCCUCGUUCUUUAUGCCUCACAUUUUAAAAUAACUUUUCAUCAUGAUCAAUAUCGUUGUGUUUGUUGGUAUUACCAUAUCUGGAUAAAUCUUUUAAAGGUUAGAAUGUAAGGAUCGCGGUUAAAGAGAUGUUUCACAUAUUGAAUCUGUAGAAAUACUUUAAAGGCUAUUUUGAUUUUUAACUUGAGUUUUCUGAAACAAACUGGUUUAGUUUUAACUAUUCAAGGAGUGCGAAAGCACCCUGCUUAGUUAACUAGGAAUUUUUAUCACUUUAAGGAAAAAAUAAUUUUUGAACUGUUUCGAAUGCGUUGAUAGAUUUAAAUCAAGAAACUCCUUGGGUAAAACUUUCCAAAUCAAAAUCACUUUUCAACUAGUUUAUGAGUCUUAUUUCUUAAAAAUAAGUUUACUACUUUAGCGUUCUGCGCACCUUUUAUAAGUGACAAUAAAAGGCCUUAAUUUAAGGGUAAACUCGGUUCUGAAUACGCGAAAGCGACAUUUCCUGUUAAAUGGAUUCCUUUCAAGAGUAGAAAAUAUUGCCUCAUAAGUAGUUCUAUUUAGACAAUUGAAACAUCACUUAACUGACAUGAUAUACAUUCAAACCUGUUUUUAUCUGCACUGCAUUUAUUAUUUACCGUUGUUUUGCAACACUAAUAUCUCUUUUAUACCUCCUUAGAUAAACAUCGUAACGAUAAUAAUCGAUAGAUUGACGAUUUGGUCUAUGUGGGAUCGAUAUUCUUUUAUAUUACUUUGACGCGAUUCGUGCACUUGCGAAUUCACUGAUCAAGUUUUUGGUGCCGUUGUCGGGGAUCAACUUCGUCAAAUUUCGUCACCUGUUGUUACACCAUCUAGACUAAGACAUUAUUAGCCGGUAAAUGCGAAGAACCCGUAGUAUCGGAAAUUUAGUAGAUCCUUUAGCGGAACCCGAACGUUACACUUGUACACGUCUCUUACUCAUCUGAAUUAAGAAAGCUAUGGCCGAGAAUUGCGUCCGGAGAAUUCUUAAGGAAUUUGCCCAACCCUCUGACGAGGAACCUAGUUCGAGUAUAGUAAACCCCCUUAUUCCUGCUAACAAUUUCGAACUAAAACCUUCUCUGUUGCAAUUAGUGCAACAGAACCAAUUCGCGGGUCUCGCUACUGAGAACCCAAAUCAACGUUUAAAAGUUUUUAUCCAACUAGCCGACACCUUUAAAUCCAACGGUGCUUCACCUGAUGCGAUCCGUUUGAGAUUAUUUCCUUUCUCCCUUAGGGAUAGAUCACGUUCAUGGUUAGAUUCACUUCCAGCUAAUUCAAUAACUACCUGGGAAGACCUUAGGAGAGUAUUCCUUGCUAGAUAUUUUCCCCCUAGUAAGACUAUUGUUCUUCGAAACCAAAUAAGUAGAUUUACUCAAAACCAAGGAGAAUCGCUUUUUGAAGCUUGGGAGAGAUAUAAAGAGCUAUUAAGAGUCUGCCCACACCAUGACCUAGAACAAUGGUUGAUCGUUCAUACCUUCUACAAUGGACUCCAUUAUAACACUAAGAUGAGCAUCGACGCUGCCGCUGGUGGCGCACUGAUGAACAAACCGUACCCUGAAGCUUGUGACCUAAUUGAGGAUAUGGCCUAAAACCAUUACCAAUGGGGAACUGAACGAUCAUCAAUAGAGAAAAAGGAGACCCAAGGUGGAAUACAUGAGGUAAGCUCUCUAGACAUGAUGCAGGCAAAAAUGGACGCUUUAGCCCUUAGGAUCGAACAUAUGUCUACAAACACUAACACCGCAACGAUAGUCCACACAGAGUGCGAACUCUAUGGAUCUAAAGGACACGAAUCGGCGGAGUGUAACCUUUUAAACGACCUGAACACCGACCAAGUGAAUUACGGCCAAGGUAACCCAUUUUCAAACGCUUACAACCCUAGAUGGAAGAAUCAUCCGAAUUUCUCCUAUAAAAACUAGAACCCUGUCCAAAAUCAUGCACCUCAUAGACCGCAAGGUUAUCAAGCCCAAAAACCGAAUCAACCUAUGCAAGUUGUGCCCCAGAAGUCUAACCUUGAGAAGAUCAUGGAGAGCUUUAUAUCGGGCCAAACUCAGCAAAAUAAAGAAUUCCUAAACCAGAACAUUCACGUUAACGAACUGAUAACGCAAUUAGGAACCAAGGUUGAUCAGAUAAUCACUCAUAACAUGAUGCUUGAAACCCAGAUCUCACAGGUAGCACAAAACCAAGCCCCACAAACUACACCUGGAGGCCAAUUCCCUGGACAACCUCAACCAAACCCUCGAGGGCAAGCUAACGCUAUCUCGUUACAAAGUGGGACCGCCUACGAAGGGCCUCAUAACCCAGCGAUGAGCGAGUCCAAAACUUCUAAAGAAAAUAUACCUACCAACCAAGAAGAGGAACCGGUAGAACCCGAAAAACAAACUGACCAAGAAGGAGAAGCCAUGGAUAAAACUUACAAACCACCACCCCCGUACAAACCAUCAAUCCCAUAUCCGCAAAGACUUAAACAAACCAAAAUCAACAACCAAUACCAAAAAUUUAUAAAAGUAAUAAAGAAGCUUCAUGUAGAGAUUCGUUUCACCGAAGCUAUCACCCAAAUUCCGUCUUACGCCAAAUUUCUCAAAGACAUCUUAACCAACAAGCGUAGGCUUGACAAUCCCAAACCCUUGGAAUGCAAUUUUAUUUCUGAGGAUAAACUCGCUAAGAAGGAGAAAGACCCUGGUAGUUUUUUUAUACCUUGCAUCUUAGGGAGUCAUGUGAUCGACAAAGCUUUCCUAGACUUAGGCGCUAGUGUGAGUUUAAUGCCCUUAGCUGUAUGUAAGAGGUUAAACUUAGGAGAGUUACAACCAACUAAGAUGUCCCUCAAAUUAGCCGAUAGGUCUGUUAAGUAUCCUGUAGACAUUUUAGAAGACAUAGUUAGGAUCGGUCAACUUUAUAUCCCAACAGACUUUAUGGUCAUGGAAAUCAAGGAAGACGACGAUAUCCCUAUCCUUUUAGGUAGAUUAUUCUUAUCAGCAGCCGAAGCUAUAAUAGAUGUUAAAAGAGGAAAAUUAACCUUCGAAGUAGGGGAUGAAAAGAUCGAGUUCAUUCUUUCAAAAUUCCCGAUGGCACCAAUCCUAGGAGACGCAUGUUAUGCGAUUGAUAUCAUAGAUGAGGGCAUAAGAGAAUUUGAUCGAGGAGAACCCGUGAUCGAACCAUUUUCAAACCCGAAUGAUAAGGAUGACGAGCUAGAGGAAACAAAACCUCACACUAACGAAUGUUUGGAUCUUACGCCACACCUUUCACCAAAUUCUCAAAAACCAGCUCAAGAACUUAAGGAACUACCCAAGAACCUAAGAUAUGAGUUUUUGGAUAAAGAAAUGAACCGCCCAGUAAUAGUUAGUGCCACCUUAAACCAAGACGAAUUCUCAAAAACCAGCUCAAGAACUUAAGGAACUACCCAAGAACCUAAGAUAUGAGUUUUUGGAUAAAGAAAUGAACCGCCCAGUAAUAGUUAGUGCCACCUUAAACCAAGACGAGACGAAUCGACUCAUGAAUGUUUUAAGAAGAUACCCCUCUGCCUUAGGGUAUAACAUCUCUGAUUUAAAAGGUAUAAGCCCAUCCGUGUGUAUGCACAGGAUCUCGCUAGAGGAGGUUUCAAAACCUUCCAGAGAACAUCAGAGAAGAAUCAACCCUGUUAUGAGCGAGGUGGUAAAGAAGGAAGUCCUUAAACUACUAGAGGCUAGUAUAAUCUAUCAGAUCUCUGAUAGUAAAUGGGUAAGUCUUGUACAUAUGGUACCCAAAAAGGGAGGCAUCACAAUCGUGCAGAACGAGAAGGGAGAGCAUGUAGCUAAACAUAUAGAAGGCGGAUGGCAUAUGUGCAUAGAUUAUAGGAAGCUCAAUAAGGAACCUAGCAAAGACCAUUUCCUUCUUCCAUUCAUAGAUCAAAUGCUUGAGCGUCUUUCCAAUCACUCUUACUUUUGUUAUCUUGAUGGAUAUUCUGAAUUUUUCCAAAUACCCAUACACCCCGAGGAUCGAGAGAAAACAACAUUUACCUGUCCUUACGGAACGUUUUCUUACAGACGAAUGCCGUUUGGACUCUGUAAUGCGCCAGCUACUUUCCAACGUUGUAUGAUGUCAAUCUUCACAAAUUAUCUCGACAGAAUUAUGGAAGUAUUUAUGGACGAUUUCUCGGUGUGUGGGUUAGUCUUUGAAGACUGCCUCAUUAACCUUGAGAAAAUCCUAGAGAGAUGCGUAGAAGUUAACCUUGUGUUAAACUGGGAGAAGUGUCACUUUAUGGUUAAAGAAGGCAUAAUGUUAGGACAUAUAAUAUCUGAAAGAGGCAUUAAGGUCGAGAAAGCAAAGAUAGAAGUUAUAGAAAACCUUAACCCUCCAAAGACAGUUAGAGAAGUCUGUAGUUUUCUUGGACACGCCGGUUUCUACCGACGCUUCAUAAAAGAUUUCUCUAAAAUAACAAAACCCCUGACCGGCCUUCUAAUGAAAGACAUUGAAUUCAUUUUCGAUGAAAAAUGCAUCAAAGCCUUUAAUCAGUUAAAACAAGCACUAAUUUCAGCACCCAUUCUACAAACUCCGCAUUGGACUAAACCCUUUGAAAUAAUGUGUGAUGCUAGCGAUUUUGCUAUAGGAGCUGUUUUAGGGCAAAGAAAAGAUAAGAAACUACAUGUAAUAUAUUACGCUAGUAGAACCCAAGAUGCCGCUCAAUUAAAUUAUAUAACAACAGAGAAGGAACUCCUAGUUGUGGUUUUCGCAAUCGAUAAAUUUAGGUCUUAUCUUGUAGGAUCUAAGAUUAUAGUCUAUACAAACCAUGCAGCUAUCCGUUACCUUCUAACCAAAAAGGAUGCAAAACCUAGAUUACUCAGAUGGAUCCUUUUGCUACAAGAAUUCGACUUAGAUAUUAGAGACAAAAAAGGAAUAGGAAACGUAGUUGCUGACCAUCUUUCCAGACUAGAGCAUUUGAAGCCAGACCAUUUACCUAUAAAUGAUUAUUUCACCUAUGACAGAUUGAUAGCUAAUUUAGAUACCGUUCCCCUUGAACCUGAUAGAGACAACAUUGGGACAGUUUCAGAAACUAGCAGAGUACCAUGGUACGCUGAUUUUGUGAACUAUCUAGCCGCUGAUAUCAUACCCCCUGACAUCACCUAUCAAGAGAAGAAGAAGUUCUUUAAAGAUAUAAGACAUUUAUAUUGGGACGAGCCACUCCUUUUCAAAAGAGGAACAAAUAACAUAUUUCGACGUUGUGUCUCGGAAGAAGAAGUCAGAAACAUCAUAGAGCAUUGUCACUCUUCACCCUAUGGUGGACAUUCAAGCACAUCCAAGACAUACGCUAAGAUCCUUCAAGCUGGUCUUUAUUGGCCAACAUUAUGGCGUGAAAAACAUCAUAGAGCAUUGUCACUCUUCACCCUAUGGUGGACAUUCAAGCACAUCCAAGACAUACGCUAAGAUCCUUCAAGCUGGUCUUUAUUGGCCAACAUUAUGGCGUGAUGUCCAUACUUAUAUUAUCCAAUGUGACCGGUGCCAGCACGCUGGAAACAUUUCAAGAUGUGACGAAAUGCCUUUGAAGAACAUCCAGGAAGUGGAAUUAUUUGACUUCUGGGGUAUUGAUUUCAUGGGACCUUUUCCAUCUUCGAUGGGAAACAAGUACAUUUUGGUAGUCGCUGACUAUGUGUCCAAAUGGAUAGAAGCUAUAGCCGCACCCACCAACGAAACAAGAGUAGUCAUCAAGAUGUUCAAGAAUAAUAUUUUUCCCAUAUUUGGAGUACCACGACUUGUCAUAAGUGAUGGUGGAUCACAUUUUAUAUCCAAGGUAUUUGAUAAACUCUUGAGAAAGUAUGGAGUAAAACACAGAGUAGCAACACCAUAUCAUCCCCAAACUAAUGGUCAAGUUGAAGUAUCUAAUAGAAAGAUUAAGUAGAUCUUGGAGAAAACUGUUUCAAUAUCCAGAAAAGAUUGGUCUGAAAAGCUAACAGAAGCACUGUGGGCUUACAGAACUGCUUACAAAACCCCUAUUGGAACUACACCAUACCAGUUAAACAGAAGCACUGUGGGCUUACAGAACUGCUUACAAAACCCCUAUUGGAACUACACCAUACCAGUUGGUCUACGGGAAGUCAUGCCACUUACCUUUUGAACUCAAGCACAAGGCAUAUUGGGCCAUCCAGUCCCUGAAUUUGGAUUACCUAGCAUCUGGCAAGAAGCGAAUCCUUGAUAUCCACAAAUUGGAGGAACUCCGCCAGAAUGCUUACGAGAAUGUUGUUAUAUACAAAGAAAGAACCAAAGCUUGGCAUGAUAAAAGGAUUGUGAAAAAGGAAUUUAAUAUAGGCGAAUCUGUUCUCCUCUUCAAUUCGAGAUUACGACUUUUUCCAGGUAAGAUGCGUUCGAGAUGGAUAGGCCCCUUUGAGGUUUCCAAAAUCCUAAAAUCUCAAGCUCGAAUCGUCAAGCUAACGACUUAAACAAGCGCUGCAUGGGAGGCAACCCAUGAUUUAUUUUCCUUUGCUUUACUUUUACUAUUUCAAUUUAUAUUUUUAUUUGUUUUAUAUAUAUAUGUAUAUCUAUGUGGAGACUAACAGUUAUAAUAUUUGCGAUUUCAGGUGUCCUCUGUUUCUAAUUUAAGUUUUCAGGAUGGAAAAUUGCGACACUAUGCCAGUAAUCUUUUGUGACCCAGUUCAAGAGCAACACUAUGCCAUGUUUUCCCAGCGUCCAAUGCUGCCCACCAGAUAUCCCGACUCGAGCUGCAUGAAGGCAUUAGGCAUUGAGCCUAGUGUCAGGAAUUUGUGCAAUCAGUUGCAAUGGGAUGAAUAUACUGAUGUUAUGCAUGUGACUUACAGGAACCUGACUUUGGAGUUCUUGAGCUCCCUGGCCUACGAGCCCUAUGUUGGUCAUGCUAGUGAUGGUGGAUACAUUAAUUUCAGGUUGUUUGGGGCAGAAUAGACCUUCAACCACAAGCAUUUUGGUGACUUACUUGGAUUUCAGACUGCUUAUGAUGCUUUAUCUGAGCUCCCCAAGAGCUAUUCUCUGAGCCGAGACGUUGAGAAGUUUUUUAGUGACAUUACGUGUUGAGGUAGCCCUGACCCUUCCACCCAAAUCUCCAACAAGAUUCACAACCUUGCUUUCAGAUACUUUCAGAUGAUCAUUGCCCACACCUUCCUGGGGAAGAGUGACCUUGAUACGCAUGUGAGUGCUGAAGAGAUCUUUUUCAUGUAUUGUACCACUCAGUCACGCCCAGUAGAUUACAGAGCUUUCCUGAUCGAGAGUCUAUAUUUUAAUGCUUGCUCCGCUGUGAGCCCUAUACACGUUGGAAGCACGAUGACUCAUAUAGCCUCAGCCCUGGGACUUGAUAGAAGACUAUCUCACCUGACGUCUUACUACAGCUACACCUUGAUGGAUAUUGACUUCUGUCUGGACUGUGGCCUCAUGAGGAGAUCUUCUUUUCAACCGGAUCAAUACAGGCUAUUAAUCGAGGGUGAUACUAUUCACUACUUCACUUUACUGGACCCUCAGGUAACUUGUGUUAUUGAUCAGGCCAACUGGGCCUACGCCAUAGAAGGGUGAUCACACUGAAUUACACCGUGUUUUUGACUCAGAUUUCACAUGUUUAUUAGGAUUUUAUUAUCAUUUUGUUUGUAUUAUGCUCUAUUUUAUCUUGUUUUCAGAUAUUUAGCACUUUCGGACUCUUUUGGAAGAAACGAAGCAAAAAGACCUAAAAUUAGGGUUUUUCGACGAAAUUACACACAUGGCGUUGCACAUGACGAUCGCUAUAAGAGAAGCCAUGAGUCAUAAACCCUCAAUUAGGAGGUAACUGCCAUGUUCCCAUGAUCCACCCCAUUUACACACAUGGCGGGCGCCAUGAAGGGAUGGCGGGCACCACCUUUGGUAAUCACGUUCCCACUAAGGAGAAGUUGGAGGGCACCAUGGUCUUUACUAGCUGCUGAAAUCCUCUAUAAAUAGUUCGUUCCAUUUCAUUUUCUAAUCAUCCAACUUAGUUUUACAACACUAAGCAUAUAUUUAUCAUUUGUAAUAGCGAUAAUCCGUCACAUCGGGGGGUUAUCGCACCUUUGUGAGAUUGAGUUGGGUCAAAUCCAACUUAGUUUUACAACACUAAGCAUAUAUUUAUCAUUUGUAAUAGCGAUAAUCCGUCACAUCGGGGGGUUAUCGCACCUUUGUGAGAUUGAGUUGGGUCACUUCGAGUUGUUGUCGUCUUUAGUUUCAGGAGUCGGAGGUUUAUUUUUGUACCAGAAUCGAAGCCUCAAUUUGGAGCAGGUUCUUAUUUAUCGAUUUAUUCAUUUAUUUCCCGCAUCGCUUUUAUUUUGUUUAUUUCCCGCAUCGCUUUUAUUUUAUUUAUUUCCCGCACUCGCUUUACUUUAUUUAUUUUUCGCACUCGCUUUUAUUUUAUUUAUUUCUGGCAUCGCUUUUAUUUUAUUUAUUUCGCACAUCGCUUUUAUUUUAUUUAUUUUCUGUCUACGCUUUUACUUUAUUUAUUUCCCGCACUUGCUUUACUUUAUUUAUUUCCCGCACUCGCUUUACUUUAUUUAUUUUACGCACUUUACUCGCUCUUUACGCCUCACAUUCUAAAACAAACUUUUCAUCAUGAUUAAUACAGUUGUGUUUGUUUGUGUUACCAUGACUGGCUAAAUCUUUUAAAGGUUAGAAUGUAAGGAUCGCGGUUAAAGUAAUGUUUCACAUAUUGAAUUUGUAGAAAUACUUUAAAGGCUGUUUUGAUUUUUAACUUGAGUUUUCUAAAACAAACUUGUUUAGUUUUAAUUAUUCAAGGAGUGUGAAAGCACUCUGGCUUAGUUAACUAGGAAUUUUUAUCACUUCAAGGAAAAACUAUUUUUGAAGCUAUUUUCGGACGCAUUGAUAGAUUUAAAAUCAGAAAACUCCUCGGGUAAAACUUUCCAAAUCAAAAUCACUACUUUAGUGUUCUGCGCACCUUUUAUAAGUGACAAUAAGAGGCCUUAAUUUAAGGGUAAACUCGGUUCUGAAUACACGAAAGCGACAGUUCCUGUUAAAUGGAUUCUUUUCAAUAGUAGAAAAUAUUGCCUCACAAAUAGUUCUAUUUAGACAAUCGAAACAUCACUUAACUGACGUGAAAUACAUUCAACCUGUCUUUACCUGCAUUUAUUAUUUACCGUUAUUUUUAAAAUCCAAUAUCUCUUUUAUACUGCCUUAGAUAAACAUUGUAACGAUAGUAACCGAUAGAUUGACGAUUGGUCUCUAUGGGAUCGAUAUUCUUUUAUAUUACUAUGAUGUAAUUCGUGCACUUGCGAAACAAGCGAUCAAGUUUUUGGCGCCGUUGUCGGAGACCAACUUCGUCAAAUUUUGUACCCUGUUGUUACACUGUAUAGUCUAAGGCAUUAUUAGCCGGUAAAUGCGAAGAACCCGUAGUACCAGAAAUUUAGUAGAUCCUUUAGCGGAACCCGGACAUUAUACUCGUACACGCCUCUUACUUAUCCGAAUUAAGAAAGCUAUGGCCGAGAAUCACGAUCAGCGACCUCUUAAGGAAUUUGCCCAACCCUCUGACGAGGAACCUAGUUCGAGUAUAGUAAACCCCCUUAUUCCUGCUAACAAUUUUGAACUAAAACCGUCUUUGUUGCAAUUAGUGCAACAGGACCAAUACGCGGGUCUCGCUACUGAGAACCUGAAUUAACAUUUAAAAGUUUUUAUCCAACUAGCCGACACCUUUAAAUCUAACGGAGCUUCACCCAAUGCAAUCCGUUUAAGAUUAUUUCCUUUCUCCCUCAGGGAUAGAGCACGUUCAUGGCUAGAUUCACUUCCAGCUAAUUCAAUAACUACCUGGGAAGACCUUAGGAGAGUAUUCCUUGCUAGAUAUUUAAGAGCACGUUCAUGGCUAGAUUCACUUCCAGCUAAUUCAAUAACUACCUGGGAAGACCUUAGGAGAGUAUUCCUUGCUAGAUAUUUCCCCCUAGUAAGACUGUUGUUCUUCGAAACCAAAUAACUAGGUUUGCUCAAAACCAAGGAGAAUCACUUUUUGAGGCUUGGGAGAGAUAUAAAGAGCUAGAAAAGAGUCUGCCCAUACCAUGGCCUAGAACAAUGGCUGAUCGUUCAUACCUUCUACAAUGGACUCCAUUAUAACACCAAGAUGAGUAUCGACGUUGCUGCAGGUGGCACGCUGAUGAACAAACCUUAUCUAGAAGCUUGUGACCUAAUUGAGGAUAUGGCCCAAAACCAUUACCAAUGGGGAACUGAACGAGCAUCAAUAGAGAAAAAGGAGACCCAAGGUGGAAUACAUAAGGUAAGCUCUCUAGACAUGAUGUAGGCGAAAAUUUACGCUUUAGCCCUUAGGAUCGAACAUAUGUCUACAAACACUCACACCGCAGCAGUAGUCCACACAGAGUGCGAACUUUGUGGAUCUAAAGCACACGAAUCAGCGGAGUGUAACCUUUUGAACGACCUGAACACCAACCAAGUGAAUUACGCCCAAGGUAACCCAUUUUCGAACACCUAUAACCCUGGAUGGAAGAAUCAUCCGAAUUUCUCCUAUAAAAACCAGAACCAUAUCCAAAAUCAUACACCUCAGAGACCGCAAGGUUAUCAAGCCCAAAAAAUAAACCAACCUAUGCAAGUUGUGCCCCAUAAGUCUAACCUUGAGAAGAUCAUGGAGAGCUUCAUAUCGGGCCAGACUUAGCAGAAUAAAGAAUUCCUAAACCAGAACAUUCACGUAAACAAACUUAUAACGCAAUUAGGAACCAAGGUUGAUCAGAUAAUCACUCACAACAAGAUGCUUGAAACCCAGAUCUCACAGGUAGCACAAAAAGAAUUCCUAAACCAGAACAUUCACGUAAACAAACUUAUAACGCAAUUAGGAACCAAGGUUGAUCAGAUAAUCACUCACAACAAGAUGCUUGAAACCCAGAUCUCACAGGUAGCACAAAACCAAGUCCCACAAACUACACCUGGAUGCCAAUUUCCUGGACAACCUCAACCAAACCCUCGAGGGCAAGCUAACGCUAUCUCGUUACGAAGUGGGACAGCUUAUGAAGGGCCUUAGAACCCAGCAACGAGCGAGUCCAAAACUUCUAAAGAAAAUAUACCUGCCAACCAAGAAGAGGAACUAGAGGAAUCCGAGAAACAAACCAACCAAGAAGGUGAAGCCAAGGAUAAAACUUACAAACCACCACCCCCGUACAAACAACCAAUCCCAUAUCCGCAAAGACUUAAACAAACCAAAAUUAACAACUAAUACCAAAAAUUUAUAAAAUUGAUAGAAAAGCUUCAUUUAGAGAUUCCUUUCACCGAAGCUAUCACCCAAAUUCCGUCUUACACUAAAUUUCUCAAAGACAUCUUAACCAACAAGCGUAGGCUUGACGAUCCAAAACCUUUGGAAUGCAACUUUAUUUCCGAGGACAAACUUGCUAAGAAGGAGAAAGAACCUUGUAGCUUUUCUAUACCUUGCAUUUUAGGGAGUCAUGUGAUCGACAAAGCUUUCCUAGACUUAGGCGCUAGUGUGAGUUUAAUGCCCUUAGCUGUAUGUAAAAGGUUAAACCUAGGAGAAUUGCAAUCAACUAAGAUGUCCCUCCAAUUAGCCGAUAGGUCUGUUAAGUAUCCUGUAGGCAUUUUAGAAGACAUCCCAGUUAGGAUCGGUCAACUUUAUAUCCCAACAGACUUUGUAGUCAUAGAUAUCAAAGAAGACGAAGAUAUCCAUAUCCUUUUAGGUAGACCAUUCUUAUCAAUAGCCGGAGAUAUAAUAGAUGUCAAAAGAGGGAAAUUAACCUUCGAAGUAGGGGACGAAAAGAUCGAGUUCAUUCUUUCAAAAUUCCUUAUGGCACCCAUUCUAGGAGACGCAUGUUAUGCGAUCGAUAUCAUAGAUGAGUGCAUAAGAGAAUUUGAUCAAGGAGAAAAUAAGAUCGAACCAUUUUUAAACCCGAAUGAAAAAGAUGACGAGCUAGAGGAAAUGGAACCUCUCACUAAUGAAUGUCUGGAUCUUACUCCAGACCUUUCACCAAAUUCACAAAAACUAGCUCAAGAACUUAAGGAGCUACCCAAGAACCUAAGAUAUGAGUUUUUGGAUAAAGAAAUGAACGACCCAGUAAUAGUUAGUGCCACCUUAAACCAAGACGAGAUGAAUCCACUCUUGAAUGUUUUAAGAAGAUACCCCUCUGCCUUAGGGUACAACAUCUCUGAUGUAAAAGGUAUUAGCCCAUCCGUGUGUAUGCAUAGGAUCUCACUAGAGGAGGAUUCAAAACCUUCCAGAGAACAUUAGAGAAGGAUCAACCCUGUGAUGAGCGAGGUGGUGAAGAAGGAAGUCCUUAAACUACUGGAAGCUGUUAUAUUCUAUCAGAUUUCUGAUAAUAAGUGGGUAAGUCCUGUACAUGUGGUACCCAAGAAGGGAGGCAUCACAGUCGUGCAGAACGAGAAGGGAGAGCAUGUCGCUAAACGCAUAGAAGGAGGAUGGCGUAUGUGCAUAGAUUAUAGGAAGCUCAAUAAGGCAACUAGGAAAGACCAUUUCCCCCUUCCAUUCAUAGAUCAAAUGCUGGAGCAUCUUGCCAGGCACUCUUACUUUUGUUAUCUUGAUGGAUAUUCUGGAUUUUUCCAAAUACCCAUUCACCCCGAGGAUCAAGAGAAACCAACCUUUACCUAUCCUUACGGAACAUUUACUUAUAGACGAAUGUCGUUUGGACUCUGUAAUGCACCAGCCCCUUUCCAACGUUGUAUGAUGUCAAUCUUCGCAGAUUAUCUCAACGGAAUCAUGGAAGUAUUCAUGGAUGACUUCUCGGUGUGUGGAUUAGACUUUGAAGACUGCCUUAUUAACCUUGAGAAAAUCCUAGAGAGAUGUGUAGAAGUUAACCUUGUGUUAAACUGGGAGAAGUGCCACUUUAUGGUAAAAGAAGGCAUAGUGUUAGGACAUAUAAUAUCUGAAAGAGGCAUUUAGGUCGAUAAAGCAAAGAUAGAAGUUAUAGAGAACCUCAACCCUCCUAAGACAGUCAGAGAAGUUCGUAGUUUCCUUGGACAUAGCGGUUUCUAUCGACGCUUCAUAAAAGACUUCUCUAAAAUAAUGAAACCCCUGACCGGCCUUCUAAUGAAAGACAUUGAAUUCAUUUUCGAUGAAAAAUGCAUCGAAGCCUUUAACCGUUUAAAACAAGCAUUAAUUUUACCACCCGUUCUACAAACCCCGAAUUGGACUAAACCCUUCGAAAUAAUGUGUGGUGCUAGCGAUUUCUCUAUAGGAGCUGUUUUAGGACAAAGAAAAGAUAAGAAACUACACGUAAUAUAUUACUCUAGUAGAACCCUAGGUGCCGCUCAAUUAAAUUAUACAACAACAGAGAAGGAACUCCUAGCUAUAGUUUUCACAAUCGAUAAAUUUAGUUCUUAUCUUGUAGGAUCUAAGAUUAUAGUCUAUACAGACCAUGUAGCUAUCUGUUACCUUCUGAGCAAAAAGGAUGCAAAACCUCGAUUACUCAGGUGGAUCCUUUUGCUACAAGAAUUCGACUUAGAGAUUAGAGACAAAAAAGGAACAGAAAACGUAGUUGCUAACCAUCUUUCCAGAUUAAAGCAUUUAAAGCCAUAUCGUUUACCUAUAAAUGAUGACUUCACCUAUGACAGGCUAAUAGCUAAGAUAGAUACCGCUCCCCUUAAACCUGAUAGAGACAACUUUGGGACAAUUUCAGAAAUUAGCAGAGUACCAUGGUACGCUGAUUUUGUGAACUAUCUAGCCGCUGAUAUCAUACCACAUGACCUCAACUAUCAACAGAAGAAGAAGUUCUUUAAAGAUAUAAGACACUUCUUUUGGGACGAACCACUCCUUUUCAAAAGAGGAACUGAUAACAUAUUUCGAUGUUGCGUCCCAGAAGAAGAAGUCAUAAACAUCAUAGAACAUUGUCAUUCUUCACCUUAUCGUGGACAUUCAAGCACAUCCAAGACAUAUGCUAAGAUCCUUCAAGCUGGUCUUUAUUGCCCGACAUUAUGGCGUGAUGUCCAUGCUUAUAUUGUCCAAUGUGACUGGUGCCAGCGCAUUGGAAACAUCUCAAGACGUGACGAAAUGCCUUUAAAGAACAUCUAAGAAGUAGAACUAUUCGACGUUUGGGGUAUCGAUUUCAUGGGACCUUUUCCAUCUUCGUUGGGAAACAAGUACAUUUUGGUAGUCGUUGACUAUGUGUCCAAGUGGAUAUAAGCUAUAGCCGCACCCACCAACGACACAAGAGUAGUCAUUAAGAUGUUCAAGAAUAAUAUCUUUCCCAGAUUUGGAGUUCCACGACUUGUCAUAAGUGAUGGUGGAUCACAUUUUAUAUCCAGGAUAUUUAAUAAACUCUUAAGGAAAUAUGGAGUAAAACACAGAGUAACAACACCAUAUCACCCCCAGACUAAUGGUCAAGUGGAAGUAUCUAACAGAGAGAUUAAACAGAUCUUGGAGAAAACUGUAUCAAUAUCAAGAAAAGAUUGGUUUGAAAAGCUAACAAAAGCACUGUGGGCUUACAGAACUGCUUACAAAACCCCUAUUGGAACUACACCAUACCAGUUGGUCUACGGGAAGUCAUACCACUUAACUUUUGAACUCAAACACAAGGCAUAUUGGGCCAUCAAGACCCUGAAUUUGGAUUACCUAGCAUCUGGCAAGAAGCGAAUCCUUGAUAUUCAUAAAUUGGAGGAACUUCGCCAGAACGCUUACGAGAAUGACGUUAUAUACAAAGAGAGAACCAAAGCUUGGCACGACAAAAGGAUUGUAAAAAAGGAAUUUAAUAUAGGCGAUUUUGUUCUUCUCUUUAAUUCGAGAUUUUGACUUUUUCCAGGUAAGUUGCGUCCGAGAUGGACAGACCCCUUUGAGGUUUCCAAAAUCCUAAAAUCUGGAGCAGUUGAAAUCCGGAACAACUCCUGUAAUCUGUUUAUGGUAAAUGGAUAAGAGACUGAAGCAAUACCAAGGAAGCGACAUCCCCACAAAAUGUCAUGAACAAACUCUGACCGGCCCUCAAGUUCCUACCUCUAACGUAUAAAGUUCAAAUCGUCAAGCUAAUGAUGUUAAACAAGCACUGCAUGGAAGGCAACCCAUGAUUUCUUUUCCUUUACUUUUUACUAUUUCAAUAUCAAUUUUUCUUUGUUUUUUUAUAUAUGUAUACCUAUGUGGAGACUAACAGUUAUAAUAUUUGCGAUUUCAGGUGUCCUCUGUUUCUAAUCUAACUUUUCAGGAAUGGAGAAUAUUGACACCAUGCCAGUAAUCUUUCUUGACCCAGUUCAAGAACAACGCUACGCCAUACUUUCACAGCGCCCAAUGCUGCCCACCAGAUAUCCCGACUCGAGCUGCAUGGAGGCAGUAGGCAUUGAGGCUAGUGUCAGGCACUUGUGCAAUCAGUUACAGUGGGAUGAAUAUACAGAUUUUAUGCACGUGACUUACAGGAACCUGACUUUGGAGUUCCUGAGCUCGCUUAUCUACGAGCCCUAUGUUGGUCACACAAGUGAUGGAGGAUAUAUUAAUUUCAGAUUAUUUGGGGCAGAAUACACCUUCAACCACAAGCGUUUCAGUGACUUGCUUGGUUUUCAGACUGCCUAUGAUGCUUCAUCUGAGCUCCCCAUGAGCUACUUUCUGAGCUGAGACGUCGAGAAGUUUUAGAGUGAUAUCAUGUGUGAAGGUAGUCCUGGCCCUUCCACCCAAAUCUCCAACAAGAUUCACAACCCUGCUUUUCGAUACUUCCAGAUGAUCAUUCCCCACACCUUCCUAGGGAAUAGUGACCCUGAUACGCAUGUGAGUGCUGAAGAGAUCUUCUUCAUGUACCGUACCACUCAGUCACGCCCAGUAGAUUGCGGAGCUUUCCUGAUCGAGAGUCUAUAUCUUAAUGCUCGCUCUGCUGCGAGCCCUAUACAUGUUGGAAACACGGUGACUCAUAUAGCCUCAUCCCUGGGACUCGAUAGAAGACUAUCUCACCUGACAUCUUAUUGCAGCUACACCUUGAUGGAUAUUAAUUUCUGUCUGGACCGUGGCCUCAUGAGGAGAUCUUCUUUCCAACCGGAUCAAUACAGGUUAUUAAUCGAGGGUGAGACCAUUCACUACUUCACUUUACCUGACCCUCAGGUGACUUGUGUUAUUGAUCAUGCCAAUUGGGCCUACGCCAUAGAAGGGAAGGGAGAGACAGUAGACGCACCGAAAAUCGCACCUAUCAGAAUUAAAGUCCACACCAACAAUCCGAAUCUACAGAAUUUGAGCAUGCAAUCUGAAUUGGUUAAGCUUCGCUUGGAGAUAGCCGAGCUUCGCCAGGAGCUUGCUGAAGUUGCCUUGCAGGUCGAAGUAUCAGUUGCAUCACAUGACACCGAGACUGAUAUGCUUCAUGAUGAGAUCGCCGAUCUCCGAUGCCAGAUCGCAGAGCUUUGAGGAUACGAAGUCGAGGAGACUCCACUAUUUCCUGAGCAUUGAUGCCAUCAUGAACCAAGAAAUACCGUUUGAAUUUCCCUAUUUUCCCGUUAUUUACUAUUCAUGCUUAUUUUUAUUGUUUCCUUUGACAUUAUGCUUGCUUUAACUUUUCUAAGAUCUCUGGACUCGUGAAUUGUUAUUGACUUUACACACACACACACACACACACACACACAUACACACAUACACACACAUACACCUUCUACCUCAUGAUACAUGGUGCAACUGUACCUAGUGUUGUCCUACCUUGCUCUCAGCGUACAAAUGUGCGACAUGCGAGGAACUAGACAUAUGAUCUUGAUGCUUCACCCUUUACCGAUCCUUUGCCACCUAACAUUCCUAUGGACGAUGGGCAAGGGACCGAUGAUGAGUAUGACCGGCGCUACCAGUCAUCUGCUCAUGAUAUUCCUGCUGCAUCACCUGCACACACUGCGCCUUCUUCCUCUAACCCUUUUGUAGGUACCACUCCCGGUUUCUACAUCACCGAGGAGAUGUGGUUCGAGCACCUAGCUCGUGAGGAAAGGCGUGACACCCUCCUGAAUACCAUAAACCAAUAACUGUCAGAUAAUAUGAGUUUUAUGGUAGCUUCCCAGCAGCGUAGUGAGCAAGCACAUUGGACUGUCACUGAGUCCUUGCUUGCGAUCACUAAUGAGAAGCAACGCCAGCGACAGGCUAAUGAGCGCCCCUUCACUCUCAUCGAGGCCACCCAAGGAUCUCUCCUAGGUCGCUCUCAGCAGCUGCAGGAAGGACUUAGUACUCGAACCAGACGUUGUCAACCCAGGCAUCCUGACCAGGGCGGUGACGUUGACGGUACCGGUGCUCACCCAUAGUUCUCUCUCUCUCUCUCUCUCUCUCUCUUCCAGGUUACUCCUAUCCUAUCUCAUAUUGAAACAUUGAGAACAAUGCUCGGUUUAAGUGUGGGAGGAGAUUUUAUCGCUUUUCAUCUUUCCUUUAUUUUUAUUGCUUUUUAUCACUUUCCUUUACUUUUAUCGCUUUUUACCGUUUUCCUUUAAUUUUAGUAUGUUUUAUGCUUUAGUUGUUUGUUUUUUCCUUUCAAUAAAAUAACAUGUGUCUGAUGAGUCAUCUGUGUAGUGUAUCCUUAUUUCCCUCAUUUCUUUAACCUUACCAAAAAAAUUUUUAGCCAAGUAAACAAUACAUCUUGAACAUUCAGGCUAUAAGACAGGUUUAUAACAUGAUGUAAAAGACUUGGGAAAACUUUUUCUAAAAAUCGGUAUUGUCUUAACACCUUAGGCUUCAUGAUUAUAAGAGUCGAUCCCGAUACCCCAUAUGAUGUAGCCCCAAUUUUUGUUCCAAAUAAGUUCUUAAGUAGUUUAUCCUAGCAGUCAGCUCCGGCUUAAGCAUGCUCUACGUAGGGGACCGAUGAAAAUAAGUGAAUGAUCACAAAAAUUCCUGCUUUGUUCUCAAGUCAUAUGAAAAUCCGGGCUAGGUGAAUCUCACACGGUCAUUUAACCCAGAAAAAUAAAGACAUAUGCGAAACAUGCAGAAGAAAAAUAAAAGUUAUAUACAAAUAAGCCUAUUUGUUUGUUGGUUCAGAGGUAUCUGGUGCUGAACUUGGUAGGGUGGAUUACGAUCCAAUCUCCCACAACUGCAAAUUGGGUUAAAUAAAGGGGUUACACCAACUUAUGUACCGGAGCCCCAUGCUUAGAAAAAUAAAAUAAUAAACCUAUUUGUUUGUUGGUUCAGAGCUAUCUGGUGCUGAACUUGGUAGGGUGGAUUACGAUCCAAUCCCCCACAACUGCAAAUUAGGUUGAAUAAAAGGGUUACACCAACUUAUGUACCAGAGCCCCAUGCUUAAGAUCAUAAUCACUAACCGGAAUCUGGUGCUGAACUUGGUAGGGUGGAUUACGAUCCAAUCCCCCACAACUGCAAAUUAGGUUGAAUAAAAGGGUUACACCAACUUAUGUACCAGAGCCCCAUGCUUAAGAUCAUAAUCACUAACCGGACACUUUACUAUGAGUAUGUACGGAUAACGGGCUUAAUGUGAUUGCACCUGAAUGAAAAGGACUUUAAGAAAACGAAAAGAAGGCUUAGGUAUGGUGGGGUAAUGUGGAUUGAUUUGCAUAGGAACGAAGCCUACGACCGCAUUUGCGGGAAGUGUCACUACAAUAUCCUUAGUUCGAUUCGUUAGUACCUAUCGAUACUUUCCUUGAAUGAACUCAUAAGUCUUUUUGCCUUGAAUUAACUCUAGUUGAUAACGUUUUUCUUGCAUAACAAUAAAGUGUUUUGCUUGAGGACAAGCAAAGGUUUAAGUGUGGGAGAAUUUGAUCACACUGAAUUACACCGUGUUUUUGACUCAGAUUUCACAUGUUUAUUAGGAUUUUGUUAUCAUUUUGUUUGUAUUAUGCUCUCUUUUAUCUUGUUUUCAGAUAUUUAGCACUUUCGGACUCUUUUGGAAGAAACGAAGCAAAAAGACCUAAAAUUAGGGUUUUUCGGCGAAAUUACACACAUGAAUUAUGCUCUCUUUUAUCUUGUUUUCAGAUAUUUAGCACUUUCGGACUCUUUUGGAAGAAACGAAGCAAAAAGACCUAAAAUUAGGGUUUUUCGGCGAAAUUACACACAUGGCGUUGCACAUGGCGGCCGCUAUAGGAGAAGCCAUAAGUCAUCAGCUCUCAACUAGGAGGUAAUCUCCAUGUUCCCAUGAUCCACCCCUUUUACACACAUUGCGAGUGCCAUGAAGGGAUGGCGGGCGCCACCUUUGGUAAUCACGUUCCCACUAAGGAGAAGUUGGAGGGCACCAUGGUCUUUACUAGCUGCUGAAAUCCUCUAUAAAUAGUUCGUUCCAUUUCAUUUUCUAAUCAUCCAACUUAGUUUUAGAACACUAAGCAUAUAUUUAUCAUUUGUAAUAACGAUAAUCCGUCACAUCGGGGGUUAUGCAUCUUUGUGAGAUUGAGUUGGGUCAUUUCGAGUUACUGUCGUCUUUAGCUUCAGAAGUCGGAGGUUUAUUUUUGUACCAGAAUCGAAGCCUCCAUUUGGAGCAGGUUCUUAUUUAUCGCUUUAUUUAUUUAUUUCCCGUAUCGCUUUUAUUUUGUUUAUUUCCCGCAUCGCUUUUAUUUUAUUUAUUUCCCGCACUCGCUUUACUUUAUUUAUUUUUCGCACUCGCUUUUAUUUUAUUUAUUUCCCGCAUCGCUUUUAUUUUAUUUAUUUCCCGUAUCGCUUUUAUUUUAUUUACUUUCUGUCUACGCUUUUACUUUAUUUAUUUCCCACACUCGCUUUACUUUAUUUAUUUCCCGCACUCGCUUUACUUUAUUUAUUUUACGCACUUUACUCGCUCUUUACUCCUCACAUUCUAAAACAAACUUUUCAUCAUGAUUAAUACCGUUGUGUUUGUUUGUGUUACCAUGUCUGGCUAAAUCUUUUAAAUGUUAAUAUUUAUUUUACGCACUUUACUCGCGGUUAAAGUAAUGUUUCACAUAUUGAAUCUGUAGAAAUACUUUAAAGGCUGUUUUGAUUUUUAACUUGAGUUUUCUAAAACAAACUUGGUUAGUUUUAAUUAUUCAAGGAGUGUGAAAGCACCCUGGCUUAGUUAACUAGGAAUUUUUAUCACUUCAAGGAAAAACCAUUUUUGAAACUAUUUUCGGACGCAUUGAUAGAUUUAAAAUCAGGAAACUCCUCGGGUAAAACUUUCCAAAUCAAAAUCACUUUUUAACUAAGUUUACGAGUCUCAUUUCUUAAAAAUAAGUUUACUACUUUAACGUUCUGCGCACCUUUUAUAAGUGACAAUAAGAGGCCUUAAUUUAAGGGUAAACUCGGUUCUGAAUACGCGAAAGCGACAAUUCCUAUUAAAUAGAUUCUUUUCAAGAGUAGAAAAUAUUGCCUCACAAGUAGUUCUAUUUAGACAAUCGAAAUAUCACUUAACUGACGCGAAAUACAUUCAUUGUCCUUAGACUCCAAUAGCAACUCUUCAUGCUUUUUGCUCAAGGCAUGGAAACGCUCUUCCCACAUGUCCUUCUCUUGCUUCAUCUUGAUGAGCGUGUCUUCCAACUCCUCUAUAUCUUGUUUAGGGAGAGUUAAUGGCUCAACCACAACCAUAGACAUAGGUCUUUCACAAGGAUAAGGCAUCUUCAACUUCAUAACUCUCUUCUUUACCCAAAGAGUGUAAGCUUCCAAAGCUACACAAUUGCACGGACUAUGCUCGGAUCUUUCUUUCCUAUGCAUAUUAUGCCAAGCAUGCAUAAUCUUCUGCUUCAAAUGUUGGGGAUCUUUACCUUCUUGAUAGAAAAGACCUUCUAACAAAGUUUUAUUAGGUUUGUCUCUCAAUGGGAACCCAUGUUGGCGACGAGCCAAAGCAGGGUUGUAGCUAGUUCCUCCUUGUGUACCAAUGAGAGGCACAUUAGAGAAUUCACCACAACUAUCAAUAAUAUCCAAAUUGCUUAAGGAUGGAUCAUACCAAACUAUAUCAUCAUUAGUGAGAGACAUAAGUCUCUGAGACCACCUUAGACAUUGUUUGUUCUCCACAAAAGCAGGCGUCUGAGGCAAGUGCAAAAUAAACCACUUGUACAGAAAUGAGAGACAUAAGUCUCUGAGACCACCUUAGACAUUGUUUGUUCUCCACAAAAGCAGGCGUCUGAGGCAAGUGCAAAAUAAACCACUUGUACAGAAGAGGAAUGCAACAGACAAUAGUUCCACCACCUUUAGAAUUCCUUAGGUGCAAAGAGAAAUACAUAUCACCCAACAAAGUAGGCACAUGAUUCUCAAUCAAGAAAAGUCUAAUGGCGUUAACAUCAAUAAAACCGUCAAUGUUAAGGAACAAAGCUAAUCCAUAGAUAAGCAACACAAAGAUAGCUUCAAAAGCAUCCACACUACCAGCUUGAGCAAAAGUGGUAGCCUCCUUGAUGAGGAAAACAGAUGGCAAUCCAAAUAACCCUCCUUUAUUCACCCAAUGAGCCUAUAUCUCAGACUUCUUCAAGUGAAGAGCUUUAGCAAUAAUACUAGAUCGGAGAAUCUCCUCCAAUCCACUAUAAGGUACUCUACUAGAAACAGGUAUCCCCAAAAGAUGAGAAUACUCCUCCAAGGUAGGCACAAGCUGAAAAUCUGGGAAAGUGAAACAAUGGUAGAGAGGAUCAUAAAGCUGCACCAAUACACUCAACAACCCUUCCACUACAUCAGCAGACAAGAUGGACAAAAGCUUCCCAUGACAUUGUUUGAAGUCCAAGGGAUCUAAUACAAAAGAUGCUAGCUUCCUUAACUCUUUCAAUUCGAGACAUCUGAAACUGUACUUCUUAGUGUUCCUUCGUCCAUAAUCCAUGGUCUAAAAAUAUUUGCAAAUGAUACCUUAGUUCCUUGAAAUUUUGUGUGAUGAAUGUUAUGAUGCGCAUGAAAUGCAUGAAUACAACAAUCACAAGUAGGGGAUCACACACAAGGCAAACAAAGGUCAAGGGAUGAAUCAAGUCAUUGUCAAGAUCAAUCAUCCAUUUUGGUGGGUUAUGGUUUACACCUUAUCAACACCCAAGUUCCAUUGAUAUUGACAAGACUUGAUUGAAUCAACCAAGAAUCAAGGGUUUUUGUUGCAAGUCACGAGCAUGGAGUCUGGGUAAGAACCAUCCCAAAGGAGUGAACUAAGGAUAAAACCUGUAGAUCAUGUUCUAAAAAGUUCCCAGAGUCUUAAUUCCAUCUAUCAGAUAUUACAUGUUAAGAUGACUGACUCAUCGACCCAUAAUAUUCUCAAGAGAAACUCGUCUGAGUGUAGCAUCGCGUAACAACUGUUAUCAAGUCUACACUUGAACAGUUUCCGUACUACGUCCUAAAUAGGCCAAGAUGGGUUAGGUGUUCUAAGGUCCUCAACUUCUCAGACCCAAUUAGAAAUAGCAAUGCCUAACCACAAAUACUUGUGUGACAUUUCCAAAUCCAAAGGAGUCUCCACAGAUGGAUCUCAAGCCAACUUGUUAAGGACUACUCCACACAAGUUGAAAAUGACUAUACCAUCCUCCUAUUUAAUUUCACUCAAGUUCGGGUUAGAACUUAUCUCACCACUCAGAGAUCACCAAGCACAACAAGCAGAUUAUAUUCACACAUACAUAUAUACAAACAUCACAUAUAUACAAAUAUAUUCACACAAAAAGUAGGCUAAACCCACUGGAGACUACUCCCCAGCAGAGUCGCCACUUAAUUUCUGUAGCGGGAAAUUCAUGAUCCUUAAGCUACUGACAAGCUAAAGAUCAAUUAACAAGAGUCGCCACCGUGAUUUUAUUGUUUCCAAGGGAAAAGGGAAAAAAUGCAAACAAAACCCAAUUAGUAAGAAGUUUUCAAAUAAAAACUAAUAAAAAUAAGAGAUCACAGGUAAGGGGUUGGUUACACAGAGGGAAGGUGUUAGCAUCCAAAGUGUCCUAGGUACUCCUAGGGAGCCCUUUUUGUGUGCAUAUGUAUUUUGGACAAAGUGAUGUUUACAAACAAAUAGAAUGAGGGGAUGAGAAAAUAAUUGAUUAAUUAUAUUUUUGUGUUUGACAAGACCUUCGGUCCUGUGCCUACGUACCAACAUAAAAAUGAGGAAUCGAAACCACAUAGUUCGUGCUAGAAAUUUUAAAAUGAGUGUGUUGGUUUUAACAAAAUUUAGUUUGAAAGACACAAAGGUCUAAGAAUGGAUUGAAUGAGUUAGUUCUUUUUGGCUUUUUUGAAGAUUUAAGAAAAUAAGUUUGAAAAGGCAAUGGUAUAAGGCCAAAGUUUCUAUCUCUUGCAAAAGUGGUCAAAGUUUAGAACAAAAGUAGUUCACACAAAGAAGUUUUUGAAAAUGGAGGGAGAGAUUUUGAAAUUAAAAAAAUGGGGAGAAGAUGAAGAGACUACCCUAUGCACAAAAAUUUAAAAGUUUAAAGUUGAAAAGAUCUGACCAAAUGGGAGCAAUCCAAUAGACAAGUAUGUCAAUAGAAACCCAGAAUUCCCUUGGAAAAGAUGAAGAGACUACCCUAUGCACAAAAAUUUAAAAGUUUAAAGUUGAAAAGAUCUGACCAAAUGGGAGCAAUCCAAUAGACAAGUAUGUCAAUAGAAACCCAGAAUUCCCUUGGACUUUUCAGAACCAAGCAACACACAAAUGCACAAUUAUGUCAGUCUUGAAGAGUAAAGGCAUCAAAUAAAGAUGGCCUCAUCUAAGCUUAUCCACUUCAAAGAUCUUCUCAAGAUAGCCUAUGUAGCAGAUGAAUCCCACAAGUCACAGGUUCAACAUAACAGCUUAAUGAUAAUCAAUGUUGCAGAUGAAUCUAGAGAGAUCUAGAAUGAUGUAUCAGAUGAAUUCAAACUGGCAAGUUCUUGGUUCUUCAACAAGUUGGCAUUGGCCAAGUCCAUUAGCAAAGGAAAGUUACCUAGAUUCUAUGUCCAAUUGGGGAGGUCAAACAACAGUCCACUCAAAGUCUUUUAGGGUUUUUGUUAUUAUUAUGUGCAUUAAUGGUCAAAGACCAAUCAAACAAUCAAAGCAACAAAGUAUAUCACACAAUAUGGUCCAAAUGGACAAAGUGAAAAUUGCAUAAAUAUAAACAAUUAGAAUGAUAUGUACAAUGACAAAUGAUAAUAGAACAAUAAAAGUAAAUUGCAUUAAAAGUAAAAGCUUGAAAAUAAAGGUUAGUGGUUAGUAAGUUAAUAGUUAGUUUUGUUUUGCUUUUUGAUUUCAAGACAUUCUUUGGAGAACACUCAACCCACUCGCCACAAGCAUGGAUCCUUGAACCAAAACAUCUUCCAAAGGAAGGAAAGAAGGCCAAGUCUCCACACAAUACCAUGGAAGAGGGGAGACUUACAAUCUCACUAACUAGAAUGCUUAUGCCUUUUAUUCACAAAUUUAAAGUUAUGUUAAGCAAUUGUAAUUGGACUUACGUAGAAGUCACAACUAUUUGAGGUCGGGCAAUAAACUUUUGGUGUUAAUGCAGGUUGGAGACAUAGUAUUAAGAACUAUGCUCAUUAAACAUACCACACACAAAAAUAUAGAAAAGAGUGUGGCCUAAUCUCAUCCAUACUCAUGUUAAUCUUUCAAUCAACUAACAUUAGGACUUUGAGAUGUCAUUGGCCAAUUGAAAAUGAAUGGGUGAAGAAGGGGAAUUAGAUGAAGAGGGAAAGGGAUGAAUGAGAUCACAAAUUGGUUAAAGGAGGACUUUUACCAAAUUAAUAUUAUUCAUUCAUUUUGGGAGAUGGAAUGUACAUUCCAUCAAUCCCCUAAAUCCAAUAAUAUUAACUUGACAAAGUCAAAUCAACCUUGACCAAGGCCCAACAACAAAUGAGAAACUCAGAUAAGUCAAUCCAAAUGGUCAACACAAUUUAAAUGACAUUUAUUCAAUUAAAAAUAGUAAAAUAAUGUAUUAAAUUCAAAUAUGUUUUGUCCAAAUUCUAAAAUCAUAUCAAAACACCAAAUAAAUGGCCAUGUGAUUUAUCAUAGGUCAAACAAGGUCAAAGGACCUUGGAUAAAAAAAUUCAUAAUUUUUGGAAACUUAAAAAUAUUUUUAAACAAUUAAAAACAAAUAAAAAAUCAAUUAAUUCAUGGAAAAUAUUAAUAAUGAUCCAAAAAAUAAUUUUAAUUCAGAAUAUGAAAGAGAAAAAUAUUUGAAUUUUUUUGGUGAAAGUCCCAUAUUUUUUGGAUCAAUAUUAAAUUUAUUAUGAAUUAUUGAAAAUAAUGGAAUUAAAUGAAAAAUAAAAAUAAUUUUAAUUCAGAAUAUGAAAGAGAAAAAUAUUUGAAUUUUUUUGGUGAAAGUCCCAUAUUUUUUGGAUCAAUAUUAAAUUUAUUAUGAAUUAUUGAAAAUAAUGGAAUUAAAUGAAAAAUCAGAAAAUGCAAAAAUACGUGGACCAUCAGAUCUCCCGCAUUAAUUGAGGUGGCAGAUCUAAUGAUCCACAGUGCACGUUCCACCAACACGUGAGUCAACUGCGCUGCAAACUUGUUAAUCACAAUGCACGGCUAAGAUUAGAACACAGGAAUUGGAUCACACGGUCUAGACCUCAAACACAUCAUCACCGGAGCCAAAGCUCUGGUUGUCUUCUCCGGCGAGCUUCGCCGGACUGGUCAUCAUCAACCAUCACCAAAAUUUCAAACAGGGACAUGAUUUCAAAGAGAAAACAUCACUGAGCACGAAUAUCACCUCCAUUUCUUCCAAUUCCAACUAUAUUGAGAGAUAUGUGGAAUUGAAAAAUGAGGUUCAUGAUUUGAGUUGCUUCGAUUUAGCACCAAAACAACUCAAACACCUUGCCUACAUUGGUAGGACUUCAGCCAACACAACAAUCAAGAGAAUUGAGCAAGAAACAAGGAGAAUCAAAGAGUUGAAAAAUUCUGCAAAUUACCUUCAAUGGAGGUCUGAGCUUGCUAGAUCUUGAUCUGAAUCGUGCUUUGCUUCACUUCAAAUGCUUGCAGAAGAGGAAUGGAAUGGCUUAGAAUCAAUGAACUCAUGGAGAAUUGAAUUCCAAAACAGUGGAGAUUCAAGUUCAAAUUCAACUUAAUUUUUCAGGUUUAUCCUCUCAAUGCAAAGGGUUUUCUGUGGGGAUUCAAAGCUGGCGCAAGGUAUGUGUCCAUUCUGAGCAAAUGCAGUUCAAUUUAUAGAGAAUUCAAAUGAUAACUGCACACUCCUUCAAGUUUCCAAUUUUGGCAAAAUGAUGUAAGCAAGCUGCAUGGGCGCGCAUAGGCCCAUGAAAUGAUUGUCUAAAAGUCCAAAGAUGCACUGAUUGAGCUACUUGAAGACCGAGUGACGAAGAGACAGAGAGAGCUAGAGGUUUCAUCUUCUAGCAGGCCUCAGUGUUCCAUUGCUUGGAAGAAGAUUGUUGACCAGCUUGUCCUCGAGAAGACCCAGAUGAAGGCUUCUUUUGAGACCGAGAUCUGCCACAUUCGAAGGAAGUAUGCGCCUUCAGCCAGAUCUGCUGACACUAUUGUUAGGGAUCCUUAGGAUGACUAGUCUCCUUUUCUCUUGUAUCUUUUAUUUUGGUUUAUGAAAUUGUACUCAGUGUAAUCCUUCCAAUUUAUAUAAAUGAAAAGAGAUUUUUGGUUAUAUCAAAUUAUUGCAAUUUCCAUUUCACUUUUUAUAUAUUUGCGAAUGAUAUAGUAAGUUCCUUGAAAAAUAAAAAUAAUCAAACAUUGCAUUUCAUGCAUCAUUUGCAUAAGUAGGUUUUUGCCAGGUGUUUGAUCAGUGUUCUUCUAUGCUUUAGCCAAGCUGACUCACCGGUACAACACUCGAGCCAAUCAUUCAAAGAUCAUGGAACACCUUGAGCAAGAGAACCAAGACUUGAAGGAGGAGAUUGUCAGGCUGACUGCCAUGAUGGAGUCAGUUCUUGCCGCCCAGAGCCAAGCUUCUCCAACUCCUACAACUCCUCCCGCGAGGACUGUCAUUUCUGAUGUGGUUACAUCUACUGUGCCUGCUACCACCACCCACUUCACUCCGAAUCUACCUGCUGGAUUCCCUUGGGGAAUUCCACCUAACUUUGUGCCAGAGGGUUUCGCUCCCACUUUUGCUUCCAUGCCGGCAUCUAGCCCGAUCAUGUCUGUGCCACCUCCCGUUGUGCACACUUUGCCGCAUGUUAAAGACACCAUCUAUCAUUCCGAGUCAUCUGAGGGCCCGAACGUCUAUGAGAAGAUGGACGAAAUGAAGGACCAAUUCCUUGAGCUGCGCAAGGAACUGAAGACGCUGAGAGGCAAAGAUCUGUUUGGGAAGAGUGUUGCUGAACUAUGCUUAGUGCCCAACAUGAAAAUCCCUGUGAAAUUCAAAGUGCCUGACUUUGGUAAGUAUAAAGGGAACUCUUGUCCGUUCAAUCAUCUUGUUAUGUAUGCCCGCAAGAUGUCAGCCCAGACAGAUAAUGAUCAACUAUUGAUCCACUAUUUCCAGGAUAGUCUGACAGGUUCUGCGCUCCGUUGGUACAUGGGGCUAGAUAGUGAAAGCAUCCGCACUUUCAAUGAUCUAGGAGAGGCUUUCGUGAAACAGUACAAAUACAACAUGGACAUGGUGCCAAAUAGGGACCAGCUGAGGUCCAUGUCUCAAAAAGAUAAAGAGACAUUCAAGGAGUACGCCCAGCGUUGGAGGGAGUUGGCUGCCCAGAUCACUCCUCCUUUGGAGGAGAAGAAGAUGACAAAAAUCUUUCUUAAAACCCUAAGUUCAUUUUAUUAUGAAAGAAUGAUUGUCAGUGCCCCCAGUGAUUUUACCGAGAUGGUAAACAUGGGGAUGAGACUUGAAGAAGGGGUCCGUGAAGGACGAUUGUCAAAAGAAGAGGCAUCAACUAGCAAUAAGUAUGGGAGCAAUUUUAGCAAGAGGGAGGAUAAUGAGACCAAUGCUAUUUCAAGUGGGAGGCAGAGGAGGCCUCAAUCCAGAAGAAAUCCACCACCCCGUCAACAUCAUCAUCAAGUAUCUUCCAUUAUUCCAAUAUUUUAAAAUCAACCAGCAACACCAAUUCAACAACAACAACAUCAGUAUCAAAAUCAACGUCAACAACAACCACAAGAAAGAACAAACAACUACAAUAACAAUAAUUCCAACAACAAUCAUCACCAGCAACGUAAUUUUGAGAGGAAGAAGGUCUCUUUCGACCCAAUUCCUAUGUCAUACGUAGAGUUGUACCCGUCUUUAGUUCUCAAGAAUUUGAUUCAACCGAGGAAUCCACCGCAGAUCCCAGAACCACUUCCAUGGUGGUACAAACCUGAACUUCGUUAUGCUUUUCACCAGGAUUCACCUGGGCAUGAUAUUGAGAAUUGUUAUCCGCUGAAUUAUGAGGUGCAAAAGCUUAUGAAGAGUGGCAUGGUGUCUUUUGAAGACCGCGCGCCUAAUGUGAAAGUUAAUCUUUUGCCUGCUCAUGUGAAUACCUCAGUGAAUAUGGUGGACGGUUGUCCUAGUGAAUACAAGGUUUUUGAUGUGCGUUUUAUCCGUGGGUCCUUGGUGCAAAUACACAAGGACAUCUGUUUGGUGAGUGAAUGCAAACAUGAUCACGAAGGUUGUGAUGUUUGUAGUGUGAACCCAAGAGGGUGUGUUGUGGUAAAAAGGGACAUCCAGCGUCUGAUGGAUGAAGGCAUGAUUCAGAUUUGUCAAUCCCGUCAUGAAGAUGACGAUGUUAAUGUCAUUGUUCCCAUUUUCAAACAACCAAAACGGUUGGUGAUCCAGUAUGAUAGUGUAACACGGUGGGAGAACUGACUUUAGUUAAAUGUUGCGGAUAGCAAGAGUCGCCACCUUUAUUUUAUCCAAAAGGAAAGGACAUAAAAGAACAGGAAAGACCUUAAAAAGAUUUUGAGUUCGGGGGGUAGGUUAUACAAAGGGAAGGUAUUAGCACCCUUUAUAUCCAUGGGCUCUUAGUUACUUAGCUCACUUUGUUUGUUUGCAAGAGUGUAGUGUGUGAUUAGAAAAAUUUCUUUAAUUACUUUGUAAUGACCCUCGUAUGGGUGUAUACAAAGCCUAGUUUAGAAAUUGUGAGGUGUAAAAGUAAUUUUGAAAAGUGGGAGCAAGUAACUAUGAGAUACCUACCCUAGAUUAAGUCUUUCGUGUUCUCGUAUAUAUUCUUUCAAUGGUAAGACUGACCCUAUUAUUAAGGAAUAGGUAGUCCAUUACCUUGGAUGUGUUUAAGGGACGGGCGUAGGAUCAAUCGUAUGGUCAAUGAAGGCAACAUAAGGGGUGUUUCUUUAGCAAUCGUAGGGACUAUCAUCAUAUUUACCGAAGGGACAAGAUCAUAUAUCGUAGGCAACCUCGUAGGGACUUGAUCUUUUAAGUUUAUAGGGACUUGAUGAUUUUUCUGUUUGAAGGGACUUUGCUUAAGACACCCUAUUUUCGAGGACUUGACCAUUUAAGAAGGCAACCAGAAGGAAUACCUAGGAAGUACAGAUGGCGAUCAAAGAUCGACUUGCGUGUGUGAGUGUUUUUUUUUCAGAUAUUUGUCUUGAAUUUAAUUUUCUAAGUUCAAUUAUUUACAGUUAGUUUUUUGCACUCCUAAAUUACUAACCACGCAAUAAAUAUUUAACAAAAAUAAAAGUAAGAAAAAUAAAUUCCUAAACUAUUACAUGGCUAUGGGACAGAUACAUAAUAAUCAGGCGAGAAAGAUAAAUUUACAACCUAUACAUUUGUUCCUAAUAUUAUAAAUAAACAAAAUUAAAAUAAUGAAAAUAUGAAGCAAAAAUAGAAUAGAUAAAAGCAAAUAAUAUAAAAUAAUAAAUAAACAAUAGUAAUAAAGCAAUAAUAAAAUACAAUAAUAAUAAAGUGAUAAUAAAAGGUUAGAAUUUUAAAAGAAAUUAUUUUAGGUUAAACAAGUUAGAUUUUUUUAGAAGUUAUUAGAAAAAUAUGAGUUUAAAAUAAAUUAGUAAUAAUAAAGAAUUUAAAAUACAUUAAUGUACCAAAUUAAUAAAAUAAAAGAGGUAUAUGAAAAUAUUAAGUUAGUUAUUUACAAAAAAAUAAAGAUUAUAGAAAUAUCAAAUUAUUAGAUUAAUAGGUUUAUUAUUAUUAUUCAAUUAGAAAAAUGGCAAUUAGAUUUUAUUUACAAAAUAUAUAAGAAUUUAUUAUUAUAAGUAAGAAUAAAAAAAGUUAUUAAAAUGUUAGUAUUUAUUAUUUAUUUACAAAUAAUAUAAAGGUUAUAGAAAAUAUUGAAUAAUUAAUUUAAUAGGUUUUCACGCCCUACAUUACUAAACCACGCAGUUAAUAUAGAUCAAUGACGGAAUUUAAAUGGCAGAAAAAUAAUGGCAGAAAAAUAAAAUGGCAGGAAAAAUAAAAUGGCAGAAAUAAAUGGCAGAAAAUAAAACCCUAAUUAUUACAACGCUUUGGUGCAGUUAUAAAAUAAAGAUGGCGAAAAGUAAAACUGAAAAUAUUACAAAGUUAAAACUUAAAAUAUUACAAGGGCGAAGCAGUUACAGUGUAUGAAUAACAUAAAUAUGAGCGAAAAUAGGAAAUAAUAAUAAGGUUGUUAUAGGUUUAAGAAAAUGUUUAUGGUUUAAAGGAAAAACACGGUUAAGUUUUAGGUUUGAAAUUUAGAGUUUGUGGCGAAAUUGUCAGGGUUUAGGAAAAAUCAGGGUAGUUAGUUAUGAAAAAAAAUGUGCAGAUCUAAAUAAUAUGUAUAUAAAAAAAAUAUGUAUUAAAACACCGGCGUUGUUAGCGCAAAAUUGCGAUCAUCGCAACUGGAAUCGGAUAAACAAAAAUGUCACGCCUCAAACGUAUAUGUGAAACGGCGUAUUGACACGAUCCGAUCCGAAACAUAAUCAAAUUAUAAAUAAAUUAGAAAUAUAUAUAUAUUUACACACUAGUUACAUAUUAAGUAAUUAUAUAUUAUAUGACCAUAUGCAUUUAUUAACAACACAAAUUAUUAAUUAUUUAUAUUAUAUAUAUUGAAACAUGUAAAACUUAUAUAAAACAAACACAUCAAAUACAUAAUACAGUGAACCCAAAUUAUUAUACAUGUUAUACUUAUGUGCAUAAAAAAGAAAAACGACGAUAUCCUGAUGCAUGUAUCUGGAAUACAUAACACAGUCACACAUAAUGAACAUGUAUUUGAAACACAGUAACAAUAUAUCAACAAAAUAGAUAAAGUAUAUAUCAUAUAUAGACUAUUACCAAACUGUGUGUACGAUAGUAUAGAUCAGCCACUCUCAGUUUCUCUUUUUUUGUUCUGUCUUUCGGCCUCCUCUAUCAGUCAUGCUAGUAAAUUAUAUAUAGAACAAAUUAGGUUAAUGAUAAUGGGCCUAAGUUUAUUUUGAAACCCAAUAUUAAUUAAAAAACUGAAUAAAGGUUAAAUAAUUAAAAUAGUUAGAAAAUAUAAACUAAUUAACCUAUUUAUUUAUUCUAGACCCAAUAUAAAUAAUAGACUAAAAAAAAAAAUAAAAGUCGGGGCACCAAAAUACUCGAAAAAAUAAAAAUGAACACGUCAAAAUAAUCAGCACGAAAUAAAUGACUCGGAAAAAUACAGCGUUUGGUCGGAUUUUGAAAAUAAAAAUUAUGACCGUUUAAACUGCUCAGACUGAUCAACAUAUGACACAAAAUAGUCGUAAAAAUAUUUUAGGCAUGUCAAAUUUAAACCACGUGAAGCCGCAGAUUAAUGCUUACCCGGGGACAUUUGCAAACUUAAAACUUGACAUUUUUUUCGUUGACUAAUUUUAGGCACAGUUAAAAAGUUAAUUUGACCAGUCUGUUUGUAAAUUCCGAGAAAAUAUUACCGGCUAAAUAUUAAGACAGAAAAAAAUGUAUGCCUAUGAAGAUGACGGCAAAAUGAAAUGUGAAACAAACAAAUGUGGUUAGAGUGUAAAAAUAGAGGGCAAAUUUUUGGGGUGCAAGAGCUGCCCCUGUUCAAUGUUUCUGAAACCUGAGGAGUUAGACUUGGCCGUGUGUGCCAAUUCGUGACUUGGAAGGUUGAAGGGGAAUUGAACACAAAAAGCCCAAAUUGCACUCGCCGUUGCGUAAACGUAACCUGAUGACUGUUUAUAUGCUUAAGUGGGCUUGAAGAAUGCCACUUGGAAGAACUGGAGAUGGGCGCUGAUAGAUGCCAUCCAUAAUAUCAGGAGGUGAUAAUACAUUGAUGUUGAUACUGGAUAUCAGUAAUCAGGUGCUUCGUAUAGGCGUCUCUGAACUCGUAAUCUAAGAACAUAUUUUAAUUAAGUGUCCGGAACAAAAUACCUUCGUGGCGAUUUUUUCUGAAAUUAAGUAAUCAGCAGCUAAGACUUCGUAUAGAUCGAUCUCUGAACUGUUUUUGAAUUGUUGAUAAGACCAUUAGAAAAUAAAUCUUCGUGACGAUUAUCUCUUCUGGAAAGAUCCGGAUUAGGAAUAGAUCUUCGUAUAGACCCGUUUGCCUACCUAUCCAAAGGAACAAAGACAUAUCAGGGAUUAAAUCUUCUGAAAAUAUAACUGGACUAAGCAGGGAAUAGAUCCUUCGUAUAGACGCGUUUGCCUAAUAUCCAAGAACAAAAGAGUGUCAGAGGAUGAAAUUUCCUGAAAAUAUCCUGGACUAUGGGAAUAGAGUCUUUCGUAUAGACCAGUUUGCCUACUAAUCCAAGGAACCUUGAGUAAUGAUUAAGUAUCAAGACAUCACGAUCUUUCGGUAUAGCCAUCCGUUUCUUGAACCUGUUGUGAAUGUUGAUAGUAUUUUAUCUGUUCUAACAUUCCUGCAAGGAAAAGGUUAGUUUAUGCAAUACUGUUAUGCAAAUGCAUGGCAUGGUGCAUCUAAGUAAAUGUAUAGCACUUAUGGAUAAUGCCAUGGUAAUGAUUAAAAUGAUUAUGUAUCAAUCAGCGGCCUGAAGCGUCCCGGAAUCUUUGUAAACAACUGCUGGCUAGGGAAAAAUAAAUCCCGAUUCCGUUGCUGAAGAAUAUGAGGAACUCGUUCCCCGUCUGUUUGAUAGUAUAGUAUUUGUCACUUCCCAGUAUCGUUCGCGUAACUUCUUAUUGAAGGAAUAAAAGUUCUGAGUAUCCACGACUGAGGAUAAAAGAGAUGGACAUAAAUUCAAGGGGGGGAGACGUAAUUCGAACCAUCUUUUAUAAAGAUAUGAUUUUGCCUCACUGGGGAUUUGUAGUGGGAUGAAACCGGCGAAAAGCUUCGGUUGAAACUACUUACCCUCGUUCGUCGCUUAGUAAAUACUAAUUCUCAUUUUAUGCAUUUUGGUAAACAUAAUCGUAAUCCAAAAGCAUACAUACAUUCAAAACACAAAACCAAUGGACGUUUUUCGGCUUAUGUAAAUAGAGUAACAGUAAAUCUGGCUUCACAAGAUGAAUUUUUAUUUAAAUAUCAACAAAGUGGACCUAAUACAUAGGCAAGUUUGUACAAGGAGACAGGAAAUCCUAGUACGAGGAAUUUCGUCGUAAAUUUUUUAUAAAACAAAGAAAACAAAGCUAUGUGACAAAAUGAUCCUAUUGAGUUUUCCAAAUUCUACUAAUUUGCCAAUUAUCUUCAAAUAAUCUCAUCUUCUACUGUUGAUUAAGAAACCGAUUGGAUUGAUCUUUAUCGGUUUGAAACUUGAUUUAGGUAGCACCAUCAGUUGAAGUUACAUGAAGUGAUCCAAACGAGACAUAGUCAUACGCUUUAAACCUUAACUUUUUGCACUGGAUUGCCUUUUCCCAGGUUUUCAAAUCCACCGGGAUACCCUUUUUUGCCCAAGCCCGUCACUUGUCAGGUUUCCGACUUGGCCGGGUGUACAUAUUUUUUUAUAUAUACCCUAAUUUUCUGCCACCGACGCCUUUUUGGUUUGCCCGGAUUGCCCUUAUUUUUGCCUAGGCCAGUCAACCUAGCGGGUCUCUUUUUAUGCGUAGUAUUUUUUAACUAUGUCUGCAUUUACAGGCUGUGGAAAGUCUUCACCAUCCAUAGUGGUAAGCAUCAUGGCACCUCAUGAGAAUACUCUUUUGACCACAAAUGGUCCUUCAUAUGUAGGAGUCCACUUGCCCCUAGGAUCACCCUGUGGUAGUAUGAUACGCUUGAUUACCAGGUCACCAGCCUGAUAUACCUUUGGCUUAACAUUCUUAUUGAAAGCUUUGAUCAUCCGUUUCUGGUACAUCUGACCAUGACAAAUAGCCGCCAACCUCUUCUCAUCAAUCAAAUUUAUCUGGUCGAGUCGAGUCUGAAUCCACUCAUCUUCAUCCAAGCCUGCAUCCUUCAUGAUUCUUAAGGAAGGAACCUGAGCUUCCACUGGUAAAAUAGCUUCCAUUCCGUAGACCAAAGAUAAAGGAGUUGCCCCCUGUCGAAGUGCGCACUGAAGUGCGAUAACCAUGAAGAGCAAGGGUAACAUCUCAUGCCAGUCUUUGUAUGUUAUUGUCAUCUUUCGUAUGAUCUUCUUAAUAUUCUUAUUAGCAGCCUCCACAGCGCCAUUCAUCUUUGGCCGGUACGGAGAAGAGUUAUGGUGUUUUAUUUUGAACUGCGUGCAGAGUUCAGCAAUCAUCUUGUUGUUUCUUCCGGAGAGAGCGGUUUUUCAUUUUCAGAUGUAUAAAUUUGAUAGAUCCCAUCUUAGAAAUCAAAUAAAGUGGUAAUGAUUAACAUAUACUGACCCCCCCCCACCCCCCCCCCCCCCCCCCCCCCCCCCCCCCCCCCCCCCCCCCCCCCCCCCCCCCCCCCCCCCCCCCCCCACCCCCCUCUUAGUCGGCGAGCAGCCUAAGCAAGCAUAGCAGCUUUCGAGCUGGGAGUAUCUUGUUUCACAAAGUCGGUACCAUUUUGCUAAAGGUAGUAUACUUGCAUGCUCUUUUCGACAGACUCGUCAUGUUGCCCAACACACACCUUAUUGAAUUUUUCUUAACACGGUCAAAUACAUGAUUAGAGGUCUUCCCUUCAACUGGUGGCAAUUCAGAUUUAAAUAGGUUUUGGAGAUACUUUCUUGAUUUUGUCAAAAGCUUCAUUGAAUUCAUCAUUCAUCAAUCUCUUGAAUUUUUCUUAGCGAAAAACUCUACAUAGUCACGUAACUCCGACACUGUUUUUCCAAGCUGCUCUAUUUUGACUUCUUUUUCUUCUACUUCAGUACCAGAUUUCCAAAAACUUGAUUGGCUUUCUUUCAUGUGGCUGUAUAGCUUUCUCUUCUUGUUGUACUAACCUAGCAAGCUCUUACACAGGUAUUCAAAUUCUUCUCUUUCCAAUCUUCAGCUUGAUAGAUCGGAUUCUUCGAAAAUUAUAAUGGGGAAAAUUUAAAAAAAAAGUAGGAACUGUUUCUAUCAACAGGAUCUAGAGUGGAUGAGGAUCUGCAUUUGUGAUUGGGUGUGUGUAAGACACAAUAGCUUGAGAAAAUACAAUAAAAAGAAAACAAAGAGCCAAUAUUUACGAAAAAGAAACGUCCAUUGAUUUUUUUAUUUGAUGAAGUAUGCAAAUGAAAUGACAAUCCCGAAACAACAUACAUUGUGCCCGGGUAAGGCACACGGCUUAAAAGUUUUAAUUAUAAACUUAAAAUAACACAAGUAAUAGUAUUUACUCCUGACUAAAAGAGAUAGGAAUAACGGUUUUCUUCAGUCUUCCAAUUGUUGAGCCAUCACCACAGUAGGAAAGAAUCCAGUUUAUCCAGAUUGUAGUCUUCAAUUAUAGUCACCUACAGCAAUUGAUUUUGAUCUUCAAUGUUGCCUUGGAUUGGGUGAUACGAACAGCAGACAGACGAAUAGCCUUCUGGGACUCUGCAAGUGAAACCCAUACCAAACUUGUCAGACUUGUAGGAAUGUCGGGAAGCUAACCCAAAAUAGUAACAACCACUUCUUCCAACACCCGUUCUAGAUCUUUGAGGGAAGCAUUGUAGGAGGUACUGGUCAACACAAGAAACUUUUUUAACCAUAGGAGAGCUUAGUAGCGGGAAGACCCAAGGAACUAUUUCAUGUUCUGGCAAGGAGUCUCAACAUAUUCACUUCUCCACUAACAUACUUUAAAAUGUAUUCACAUGACUGACCAUAUAUUCUUCCUCUCAUAAACGUUAACGAUCUUUACCCUUCACUGAUAUCUCAACUUCUUGAUGUAAGGUGGAGGUCACAACACUGCCCGUGGGUCAGGGCGCCAAGCAAACAAGAUACGCAGGACGAAUAUCGCAUUACCAUAGAAAGGUAGAAUCGAGACUUAGAGUCUACUUGAUAGGGAGAUCGAAAAAAAAAAAAACUAUUUCUCCAUGGCACCACUCUUCUUGACCAUCAAAGGCUCUCCACCACUAUAUUACUAUGAUCUUAACACAACAUCUUCAAGACCUGAGCUUUCAUAACCUUUUGGGAAGUACAUUCAAUGAAGAGCCAUGUUAUCAAACAUGGAGACAAGGUAUUGCCCCUACAUUAAUGGAGAUUAAUGUAAAGCUCCUUGUUAUGGUUUCUUUUGGUCAGAGUCAAGUCAGCAUCAGAAAAACCUAACCCAAUAUCAUAAGGUCAAGAUGUGCAACACAAUUUUCCAAAUGAUCCACAGAAUUCAUUUGGUACAUGAAAGCAGUCCUUAAAGAAAUUUGAUCAAGGCUUUUAGCAGAGCCUCAGACACGCAACAAAAGACAACAUGGCGAAAAUUUUGGAGGGGAGUAAAUGCCCAAACUGUCAACAACAUCAUAAUCACUCUUAGAAUGAUCCUCAGCACUUCUUCCAUGUUGUUAGAGAGAUUUUCAGCAGUUGGUGCUUCAGUCUGCAAGGGUUUUCACAACCAAAGAGACCUUUGCCCGAGCAUCAGUAACUUUGCUCAAGAAGUGGAGUUAAGUAGGUUUGGAAGAACUGUAUUUUUUGAGGUAAGCAUGGAGGAAGAGAAUAAUUCUUCACUUCUGGUGAUCUUACUAAGAUCAGCAAUAUUAGUCAACAUCAAGGUUAUCAUCAAGUAAACACGGUGUAUCAUGUCAAGGUUUCUGCUUAACCCAUGGAUAUAAACAUCAGAUAAACCGGUAAUUCCAGGUAUAACUUUAUCAGAAGUAUAACGGAAUAAGGGCCAGGAGUGGGUAAUAAAUCGGAGGCACUCUAACUUCAAGCAACAGUCUUACUAGGCCCUUCAGCAAGUAAUUUUUGAUAGACCCUUUGAAGUGAUCUUGACAGUCUGUUACAAGGAGCAUUUCUGCUAAGGUAAAACACAGCGAGAAGAAUAAGUACCUGUUCAUAAGAAACCUUGUGAUGCAAUCAAUAUGGUAAUGUAAAUGCUUAUGCAAUGUUUUCAAGGACCGAAGGGAGAUUAAUUUGUUAUACCAACCAAAAGUAAAACUUUUAUUAGUCAUCAGACACUCUGCUUCCACUCUCGCGCGCUUACAUAAAAUGAAAUAAUCACAAAAAAUGGGUUUAAGCUCACCAGGACGUUUCCUCUUUGUGUUGAGGUAUGAUGUUAGAUGCCGCUCCUCGUGAAUUGUUGUUAGCUCCAGAUUCUUUCUACUUGCCUUGUAAUGAGUCUCAAAAGUAUCUCUUUGCUCCUUCAACUGGAUCCAGGACUCGAACAUCUCAUGUCAUGGGCCAUGUUCCUGGAUGAAGAAUGAUGUAAGAAUAUCCAGCCCAGAAUACAGGCUCAUGGUAAACUGGCAGGAUAGCAAGGAAUUGGAAUAUAAGAGUGAAGCACGAGAUCGUACCAUCUGAGAUAUGGUUCCAUAGGAAUAUGUAACUUGGUUCAGUCUUGCUGUAACUUGUUCACUACCCCAUGCCGUUAUGACCUUUACGUAACCUUGAGAAGAUCGUUGUCCGUAGUCAACACAAUAAGCCUCGAAAUAAGCAUGUCAUAGGACCAUCAGUCGAGCUACCAAACGACGUAGAAGCUAAAGAGGGGUUGUCAGUAGCCGCCCUCUAAUGCCAAGGAGUGGCACAUUAGGGAAUCCCCACAACGGUCAAUGAGGGUAACAUUCUUCCUAGAUCUAGAGCAACCAAAGAAUUAUGAAUGAGAAAGUGACAUAAUCCUCUUGGAACCACACCUGAACCAUUGUUUCAUUGCUUCAUCAACUGAUUGAGGAAGGUGAGAAAUAAACACCUAGAUAAAUAGAGGUUGCAAAACACACAGAGUUCCUCGGCCUUCGUAGUAUGGGAUAGAAGAGAGUGGUUAGAUGGUCUUCCAGUAAUGUAGGCCACUGAUUGCGACGCGAAAAGUUGAUGGCGUGUAGUUAUGCACUGCGUCUGGAUUGGGGAAACAUACUUAAGCAUACAAUAAAAUAGGGCUAAGAUCUCUCAAAGCAAUCAUAACUCAAUAGCUUGAAGAAUAUUGAGCUUUCUCCACAAUACCUAGCAAGAAUACCUUAAUCCAUCCUUUGUCUGGACAAUGUAUGAUUCUUUAAAUAUGUAAGGUGCAGCAAUAAUUCAGGUUUAGGCUCUUUUUUCCAAGCCUGUGAAGGGUUUUCGAAUCAAGAUAGUACAUACCAGAAGCUUGGAGAACUUUCCUUGUAGAACCAGCUGAUAGACGGGAAAUUGAAAGAAAUGAUGUUUAGGGGUCAAAAGACUGAAAACAGGACACUCAUCAUGUCCUCAUUGAACCCCUGAGUGACUAGAUCCAGUAAGUGACCCAUGCCUCUGAUGACACCUGGGAGUUUCAGACAACUUGAAGAGACCAAUCCCUUAAGCUUAGGAGGUAUCUCAAAAGUUGAGUCGCGAUAGUAAAUCCUACGGCAGAAGCAUGAACUGCAACAAAGAUAAAGUCCCUUUGGUCUUGAAAUGUUAGUGGAAAAUGCUUAUGCUUAUAGAUGCAUGAUGAUGCUAUGCAUGUUAUAGCUCAAUCACAAACAUUGGCAACACCAAACAAUAGCUACACAUAUGCCCUAGUUUGGGAAGGCUUGCUGAGGUUUAAAGGUAAGUACCCUCCUGAAGUUUAGUUGGAUUCAUCUGCCUAACAAAAAAACCAGGUUCUAAGGGAUCUCAAAAGCAGAUCCUUCACAAGGGUGGUUGUUCAGUAGCAACUUUACUUCCAACCAAACCCUCCAAGUUUAGGAUCUCAAUGAGUGUAGUAUCGAGUAAUCAACCAACUUCAGUCUUACCAAAGCCGGUUAUCUCACUACUUUCUAAAGGCCAAGAUGGGAUGACUAGGGUCUAAAAGUAGUUAGUGUAUGACAACAUAUGGCACGCCUCAUCUUAUCCUCAACUUGCUCUAUAGGAACAUAAGCACCACAAGAAGUCACACUAACUAUGGCACUCAGAUCAACCAUUAUCGAUAUACGCCGUACAGUUUUCCUUGGUCUAUUGCCAUUUUACUAAGGUACACUAGAUCCGGGUUAGGUGUUUCCCACACAUAAGAGCACCCAACCAGAUAAGUUAUAACAGCAAACAAGGCAAACAUUUUAAAGUGAUCUAAUUCCCUAAGGGUACCUCCUCUUUAUAAUCCCCAGCAGAGUCGCCCGUUCUGUAACACGGUGGAGAACUGACUUUAAGUUAAAUGUUGCGGAUAGCAAGAGUCGCCACCGAACUUUUUAUUUUAAUCCAAAGGAAGACAAAUAAAAGACAGAAAGACCUUAAAAAGAUUUUGAGUUCGGGGGGUAGGUUAUACAUAAGGGAAGGUAUUAGCAGACCUUUAUAUCCAUGGUUAAUCCAUGGGCUCUUAGUUACUUAAGCUCACUUUGUUUUGUUUUGCAAGAGUGGUAGUGUGUGUUAGAAAAAUUUUCUGUCAAGUACUUUUGUAAGAACCGUCGUAUGGGUGUAUACAAAGCCUAGUUAGAAAUUGUGAGGUGUAAAAAGUAAUUUUAGAAAAGUGUGAGCCAAGUAACUACGAGAUAACUACCCUAGAUUAAGUCUUUCGUGUUCUCGUAAUUUUUCAAUGGUAAGACUGUCCCUAUUAUUAAGGAAUAGGUAGUCAUUACUUGGAUUGUUUAAGGGACGGGCGUAGGGUCAUCGUAUGGGUCAAUGAAGGCAACACAUAAGGGGUGUCUGUUAGCAACUCGUAGGGACUAUCAUCAUAUUUUAACCAGAAGGGACAAGAUCAUAUUCGUGGCAACUCGUAGGGAUUGAUUUUAAGUUUUUAUAGGGACUUGAUGAUUUUUUCUGUUUGAAAGGGAUUUGCUUUAGACCCCUAUUUUCAAGGGACUUGACCAUUUAAAGAAGGCACACAAGAGGAAUACCCUAGGGAAGUACAGAUGGCGAUCAAUAGAUGACUGGCGUGUGUGAGUGUUUUUUUUUUCAGAUUUUGUCUUUGAAUUUAAUUUUCUAAGUUCAUUAUUUACAGUUAGUUUUUUUGCAACUCUAAAUUACUAACCACGCAUAAAUAUUUACAAAAUAAAAAGUAAGAAAAAUAAAUUCCUAAACUAUUAACAUGGCUAAUGGGACAGAUACAUAAUACUCAGGCGAGAAAGAAUAAAUUUUAACAACCCAUAUACAUUUGUUCUAAUAUUAAUAAUAAACAAAAUUAAAAAUAAGGAAAAUAAUGAAGGCAAAAUAACAGAUAAAGCAAUAUCAAUAAAUAUAAAUAAACAAUAGUAAUAAGCAAUUAAUAAAAUAACAUAAUAAAUAAGUAAUAAUAAAAGGUUAGAAUUUUAAAAGAAAUUAUUUUGGUUAACAGUUAGAUUUUUUAGAAGUUAUUAGACAAAAUAUGAGUUUAAGAUAAAUUAGUAAUAAUAAAAGAAUUUAAAAAUACAUUAAUGUUAACAAUUAUAAAUAAGAGUUAAAUGAAAAAUAUUAAGUUAAGUUAUUUACAAAAUAAAUAAAGAUUAUGAAAAUAUAAAUUAAUUAGAUUAAUAGGUUUAUUAUUAUUAUUCAAUUAGAAAAUGUCAAUAGAUUUAUUUACAAAAUAUAUAAGAUUAUUAUUAAAGUAAGUAAAAAACGUUAUUAAAAAUAGUUAGAUUUUAUUAAUUUACAAAAUAUAAGGUUAUAGAAAAAAUUGAAUAAUUAAUUUUAAUAGGUUUUCACUGCCCUACUUACUAAACAACGCGUUUAAUAUAGGAUCAAUGGCAGGAAUUUAAAAUGGCAGAAACAUAAAAUGGCAGGAAAAUAAAAUGGCAAAAAAUAAAUGGCAAAAAUAAACCCUAAUUAUUACAACGCUUGGUGCAGUUACAUAAUAAGAUGGCGAAAAGAAAACUGAAAAUAUUACAAGUUAAAACUUAAAAUAUUACAGGGCGAAGCAGUUACAGUGUAUGAAAACAUAAUAGGAGCGAAAAUAGGAAAUAAUAAUAAGGUUUGUUAAGGUUAAGAAAAGGUUUAUGGUUUAAAGGAAUAACACGGUAAAAGUCUUAGGUUUGAAAUUUAGAGUUUGUGGAACAUGUACAAGAGUUUAGGAAAAAUCAGGGUAGUUAGUUAUGAAAAAAAUGUGCAGAUUUAAAUAUAUGUAUAUAAAAAAAAUAUGAAUUUAAAAAACAACACGGCGUUGCUAGCGGCAAAAUUGCAUAAUCGCAACUAGAUGGGAUAACACAAAUGUCACGCCUCAUACACGUAUAUUGAAACGCGUAUUGACACGAUCCGAUCCGAAAACCAUAAUAAAAUUAUAACAUAAAAUAGAAAUAAUAUAUAUUAACACACUAGUUACAUAUUAUAAAUUAUUAUUAUAUGAUCCAUACUUUUUCAUUAACAACAAAAUUAUUAUUAUAUUAUAUAUAUUAUGAACAAUGUAAAAAAUUAUAAAACACACAAUCAAAUACGUAAUACAAUGAACAAAUUAUAUACAUGUAUAACUAUGGCAUAAAAAGCAAAACGGCGAUCUGAUGCAUGUAAUCUGAAUACAUAACACAGUCACACAUAUGAACAUGUAUUUGAAACACAGUAACAAAUAUAUCAACAAAAUAGAUAAAGUAUAAUAUCAUAUAUAAACUAUUACCAAUGUGUGUACGAUAGUAUAUGAUACCACUCUCAGUUUCUCUUUUUGUUCUGUCUUUGGCCCCUCUAUCAGAUGCAUGCUAAGUAAUAAUAUAUAGGAACAACAAUUAGGUUAAUGAUAAUGGGCCUAAGUUUAUUUUGAAACCCAAUAUUAAAUUAAAAACUGAAUAAAGUUAAAUAAUUAAAAUAGUUAAAAAUAAAACUAAUUAAACCUAUUUAUUUAUUCUAGACCCAAUUAUAAAUAAUAGACUAAAAAAAAAAGUCGGGCACCAAAAUACUCGAAAAAUAAAAUGAACACGUCAAAAAUAAUCAGCGCGAAAUAAAUGACUCGGAAAUAACAACGUUUGGUCGGAUUUUGAAAUAAAAAAAUUUAUGACUGUUUAAACUGCUCAGAGUGAUCAACAUAUGACAAAAAUAGUCGUAAAAAUAUUUUUAGCAUGUCAAAUUAAACCAUGUGAACCGAGAUUAAUGUACCGACAUUUGCAAACUUAAACUUGGACAUUUUUUUGUUGACUAAUUUAGGCACAGUUAAAAAGUUAAUUUUGACCAGUUGUUUGUAAAUCCGAGAAAUUAAUUCCGGCUAAUAUUAAGACAGAAAAAAAUUAUGUUAUGCUAUGAAGAUGAUGCAAAUGAAUGUGAAACAAAAAAUUGGUUAGAGUUAAAAAUAGAGGGCAAAUUUUGGGGUGCAACAGAUAGCAGCAAUAACCAGAAUGUCAGCAAUAUAUCAGUUUCGCCGUUGGUAAUACGGUUGGCGGGCCCAUCCCCCUAUGCAUCUGAUAAGGCUGUAUCGUAUCAAUACAAUGCUACGAUGAUAGAGAAAGGUCAAGAGGUUCCGAUGCCUACGACCAGUUCAGUAGUGAGCAUUGCAGAUGUUACGAAGGUGACCCGCAGUGGUCGAGUUUUUGGACCAGUUGUCCCUGAGAAUAAGGAAGAUUUGAUUGUUGGUAAGAAAGAGGAGGUGCCUAGCGUAGAACAUGCUGGUUGUUCAAGAGAUAAGUCUGGUGAAUUCAGCAAUUUGAAAGCCAAUAGUGAUGAUGAUGAGGUACUUCGACUGAUUAAGAGGAGUGAAUUCAAUGUGGUUGAGCAGUUGCUCCAGACUCCCUCUAAGAUUUCCGUGUUGUCUCUGCUUUUAAAUUCUGAAGUGCACAGAGAAGCACUCUAGAGAGUUCUUGAACAAGCAUACGUGGAUCAAGAUGUUACUGUGGCUCAAUUUGAUCAUAUUGGAGCCAACAUCACUUCAUGCAACAAUCUGAGCUUUUGCGAUGAAGAACUCCCUGAGGAGAGAAGAAAUCACAAUCUGGCUUUGCAUAUUUCGAUGAAUUGCAAAGAGGAUGCUUUUUCAAACGUGCUAGUUGACAUUGGGUCGUCACUCAAUGUGCUUACAAAGUCAACAUUGUCAAAGUUAUCUUAUCAAGGAGCGCCUAUGAGGUACAAUGGAGUAAUUGUCAAAGCCUUUGAUGGCUCUCGCAAAACAGUCAUUGGUGAAGUGGACCUUCCAAUUAAGAUAGGUCUGAGUGAUUUUCAGAUUACUUUCCAAGUAAUGGAUAUUCACCCGGCCUACAGUUGCUUUUUGGGAAGGUCGUGGGUUCAUGAAGAAGGGGAAGUUACUUCCACUCUGCAUCAGAAGCUAAAAUUUGUCAAGAAUGGAAAGUUGGUGAUUGAUGGAGGUGAGAAAGUGCUAUUGGUCAGCCAUCUGUCAUCUUUUUCGUAUGUAGAAGCUGAAGAUGAGGUUGGAAUGUCGUUCCAUGCCUUGUUUAUUUCCACUGAGAAGAGAGUUGGGGAAUCUAUGUCUUCUCUAAAAGAUGCUCAUAGAAUUGUUGAAGAAGGUCCUGUUGAUCAGUGGGGGCGCAUGGUAGAGGUCGCCGACAACAAGGGAAGAAUUGGUUUGGGGUUCUAAAAGGGCUCGUCAACUGUUAGAUCUGAAGAGAUGCAACUCAGUUUCUAUAGCGAUGGGUUCAUUCAUGGGAAUGAACAACAUUUAGCUGCUAUGCUAGAGGACAAUAAAGAGGAAGACUGCACCAACUUUGUAACGCAUGGACAGACGUGCAACAAUUGGACUGCUGUUGAUAUUCCUGUUAUUUUACAUCGAUCUAAGUAAUUGCUUUUAUAUUUUAAAAUCCUUCUCCUAUGCCUAAGGGAGAAGUGAACAUUGUUUGGGCAUUUUUAAAUUGAUCAUUAAUUAAAUUAAUUCUAUUCAUCCACAUCUUUGAUGUUUUGUUUUUCCUUUUUGCUUAUUUCUGAAAAUGGUAAUCACAAAAAACAUAAAUAAGCAAUAUAAUUGUCCAUCUGCAUAAUAUUUGGUCACAAAUUCACUUCUCUAAAAUCAAAAUAUCAAAUCAUUAUGCAGGUUAGUUCCUAACCCCAUUGAAUACAGUGCUCCUUCUCCUUCUCCAAAUUUUGAAUUCCCUGUGUUUGAGGCUGAGGAGGAAAGUGAUAUAUAAGUGAGUGAAGAAUUGUCUCGUCUUCUUGAGCAAGAUGAAAAGAUUAUUCAGCCGUUCGAAGAGCAGAUUGAGAUAGUCAACUUGGGUUCCAAAGAUGAUGUGAAGGAAGUCAAGAUUGGGUCUCGAUUGUGUCCAGAUGCUAAGAAGGGGUUGAUUGAUCUUCUUCAAGAAUAUUCAGAUGUGUUUGCUUGGUCCUAUUAAGACAUGUCUGGGUUGGAUUCUGAUAUUGUGGAGCAUAGAUUGCCGUUGAAGCCAGAAUGUCCGUCAGUCAAGAAAAAGUUGAGAAGAACGCAUCCUGAUAUGGCUGUGAAGAUCAAAGAGGAAGUUCAGAAGCAGAUUGAUGAUGGUUUCCUUGUAACUGCUGAGUAUCCGCAAUGGGUGGCCAAUAUUGUGCCUAUGCCGAAGAAAGAUGGAAAAGUACGCAUGUGUGUUGAUUAUAGAGAUUUGAAUAAAGCCAGUCCGAAAGAUGAUUUCCCUUUGCCACACAUUGAUAUGUUGGAAAGACAAUACUGCUAAAUUCAAAGUCUUUUCGUUUAUGGAUGGAUUUUCCGGAUAUAAUCAUAUUAAGAUGGCACCCGAGGAUAUGGAGAAGACCACAUUCAUUACACCCUAGGGAACAUUCUGUUAUAUAUUGAUGCCUUUCGGUUUAAAGAAUGCUGGUGCAACUUACCAGAGAGCAAUUACUACUCUUUUUCAUGAUAUGAUGCAUAAAGAGAUAGAAGUUUAUGUCGAUGACAUGAUUGCUAAAUCAAUUGAUGAAGAGGAACAAGUUGAGCAUUGGUUGAAGUUAUUCCAGCGUUUUUAGGAAGUAUAAACUCCGCUUGAAUCCCAAUAAGUGUACUUUUGGUGUUCGUUCGGGUAAGCUGUUGGGCUUUAUUGUCAGCGAGAAGGGUAUUGAAGUUGAUCCUACCAAGGUCAAAGCAAUACAAGAGAUGCUUGCGUCCAAAACUGAGAAGCAAGCCAGAGGUUUUCUCGGGCGCUUGAUUUAUAUUUCCAGAUUCAUUUCCCACAUUGUCGCAUCCGCGAAAAAACAACCGGCGAGCUCAAAUAAAAACACAACACAGAGCCGCCACUGCGCGUUAUUUAUCCCAAGAUAGGGAAAGGAAACGCUCAGAGAAACCUGGAAAGGAAAUGGUCUUGCGACCAAAGAGAAAGGGUAAAGGGAGUGGAUUACGCAAAGGGGAAGGUAUUAGCACCCCUCAACGUCCGUCGUACUCGGGGAUCCACGUUAAAUAAAGAAUAGGUUGCUAAAACAUCCACAACACACAGCACACGGGAACAGCAGGUGGGUUAAGA